rnacentral:lncRNA from 1 species
UGUUGUAAUUGCUAGAUUAGACCCAAUCACUGAAAAUUAGGUAACUUUGAUGGUCUUAUGUAUUUGCAAAUUUACUAAAUGUUUAAUCUUGUCAUAUUGAAUAUAUAGCUCAUACUAUUUUAAGAGGCAAAUAAUGGAUUUGAUGAUCAAGCCACAAUCACUUCCAAGACAAAAAUGGUUCCUAGUGAGUAUUUGCUAUAAAUAGUAAAAGUAGAAUGCUAACAUCAAAGGACUUUGAUUAUCAUUCUUAUAUUAAUAUAUGCAUUCACUUCCUUUAUUGUUUGCAAUUGAAUGCAUGGUAGUUCAUGUAUGGGAACAAAACUCUUACACCAAGGAAGUUGGGUAUUAGAAUUUUGUCACAAAUUGCAUUGUUUUUAGCUUGUUAGAGAAUUGAAGCAUAUUUGCUAUAAUCUACACAAAACAAAGGAAUCAUCUUACCUAUCCGAGACUGUAACACUAUUUAUUUAUUUAUUUAUUUAUUUUUUGUUAUAACAUGAAAUUAAUGUUACAAGAUAUAAAUGUUGGGAAUGAUGAAGUUAUGGAGAUAAUUUUCUUAGGCCUUUUAGAGAUUUCAGUUCAGGAAAGAGAAGACGAGGAGGACUAAUUAAUCUAAUAGGUUACAUCGUUGCACUUAGAUGAUGAUCCACAACUACAUAUGUUCAUGAAUCUAACGUUGAUGUUGAAAAAGUUUUGUUUGAAGAAGUUUAAAGUGGAAGUCAUAAUAUAAGUAAAACAAAUUUGUUUUAGCAGACAAUGUGAUCAUCAAUACAACCUCAUUGGCUUAGUGUUAACUUUAUGAAUGAUGGCCAAAGUAGUGAGGCUAGUGUUUCUAAUUUUAGUUAUGCUGGUUUGAGAUGAGAGAAAGACGAUGAUAGAAAUGUUGAUGAAGACAGUGAGAAUUAUGGCAAUGAUGGAAGGGAUGUUGGAUAAUAUGACCAAAGUCAACAUGCAUUGAAUCUAUUCAUUGAUGAAGUUGAUGCAUGCAUAAUACACAAGACAAAGACUAUAUAUAAUUCUAGAAGAGUUGGUCCUUAGAGGAGUUAUCAAAAAAGUCGAAUAGAGGGAGAAAAUAACAUAAGAUGACAACAUUUGACUAGAAGUCCCUUUUUACUAAUUUUGAGUUUAUAAGUAUAGAGACUAAAUACAGUAACUCAUAAAAUAAAGUUAACAUUUAUCCUUUUAUGGCUUACUUCCUUCAUCUUAUAAGAUGGGUUCAAGUUCAACUUAUGAUGACUAAUCCUUCUACACAAAUUUUAUGCACCAUCCCUAGAUUAGACACAAAGAGGAUUUCAAGCAAACACAUGAGUGAACUCAGAGCUUCCUAUCCAUGUAGAAGUAGUGGGAAGGAGUCAGGAGACCUAAUGCAUGACAUGUUCAUGAUCAUAAUCAAUAUUAUGCAAUCUCCAUGUCCUCAUUGAAUAUUAUCUUCAUCAAGAUGAUUUUCUUUUAUCCUCAAGUGCCAUGGAACUACAUUAGUCUUCAUUUGGGUAUUAAAGGAAUCAUUGAAAUUGUGACAUCCCACAUCGGAUAGGGGAGAAAGUUUCUAACGCUAUAUAUGUAGAGGCUCCUCUUAACCAAGUAGACGCGUUUUAAAGCCGUAAGGUCCCAUUAGGCCCAAAGCGGACAAUAUCUACACAGUUGGGAGCGAAUUGUUACAAAUGGUAUCAAAGCCGAUCCUCAACCCUAGUGUGGGGGUUUGUUUAGCCCCGUAAGGGGUGUUUGUCUAUUUGGCCCCACAAUCCCAUGGGACACAACGAGGACGUUGUGUGUACAUGGGAGGGUGUUUGUGACAUCCCACAUUGGAUAUGGGAGAAAGUUCCUAGCGCUAUAUAUGUAGAGGCUCCUCUUAACCAAGUAGACGCGUUUUAAAACCGUAAGAGCCCCUUUAGGUCCAAAGCGGACAAUAUCUACACGGUUGAGAGCAGGUCGUUAUAGAAAUGUAAUUUGUAUUAUUGACAUUUAAUGAAAUCAAAUAUUUAUUCAAUAUUAGUAUUGAAUGUAUAUUUUCAAAAUUUAUGUCUUCUCAGUGCCCAAUAUAAUAUUACUAUUGAACAUCACAAAUUUAUCAUUCAUCUAUAGACAUAUUAUUUUUAUAAAACAACUUUAAUAUGUGUAUUAUAUAUUAUUUGCUUUAUUAAUAUUCUUUCUUAAUAUUUUGAUGAGUUUUGAUUAAGUUAUAUAUAUAGCAAUGAAAAGAAGACCCUUCACCCAACUAAAAACUCUACAUAGAGAAGUGAAUUAAGGGAAGAGCUAGGGUCCUGAAUACAAGUAUAGAAGGAAAAGAGUGUCAUCACGAUUCUACUUUGUUAAAUAUUUAAAUUACCAACUAAGUUACAAUACUAAUUCAGAUUUUCUAAGUUCCCCUUCUAUUAUUCAAUAUGAAGAAGAAAUGACUCAGAAACUCCAGAUUUAACAUUGCAUGUUUGAUCUUGAAUCAAAAGCAGGAAGACAGGACGAUGUCAUGAAAGUUUUGGUAGAUUUUUGCGAUGGCUUUGAUCAUAAGAAGAAAAGCAAAGAUUUCUCUGAGGCAUUAUAACUUCAGGUAAAUAUUUUGUUAUUAUAUAAUUGAUCAUGCGAAGAAAAAGAGGAUUUCUUUUAGGGAGGCAUCACUGCAUGCCUUUCUUGACACUUUGAAAACGUCCUCGUUUCCCUUUUUGCCAAUGAGAUAUAGAAAUGCCACACUGAUCCUUUCAUGUGCCCGGAGAAUGUAAAAAGGAAAGUGAGCAAGUAUCACAUUCAAUAUCUAUCUUUGAAGCAAUCAAAUGCUGAAAUAAGAACUCUAUACCAUCUUCUAUUCCCACAUCCCAUCUGUCAAUGACAAAUGCAACUAAUGGUAUCUUUUUUCUUUUUAUAUAUUUAAUUUACGAAUACUUUUGGUAGGUUUUUCUCAAUAAUGUAAGUCCAAGACCAUCGCUACAAUCAAACCAAAGUUAUUUACAUUCCCACCAUUGUAUCCCUUUUCCUACCUAGCAGAAAGGAGCAUGUGACAGCAACCUUACAUAUGCUCUACAUAGGCAAACUGACAACCUGAAUUGGUUAACACAAUCGUAUUCAACCCAUUUUUCCAAUUACAUACAGAUGCGCUUGGCUGUCUGGAAUAAUAAUGUGAUAUGAAUGGUAGUGGAAAAUUUAGAAAAAUAAGAACUUUUUGCUGAUAAAGAUUUUUGUGGGAGUGAUUGAGGCUUUCUGGUCAGAGUGUUGAAUCUAUUUAGGUUCAUUUUCAUGCAUUUUCCCCAGAUAAUUCUCCUCAAGUUCCAAAGAGAAUGUUGAACUUUCGAGUGGAACACGAAAAUCUUCACUUCCCACCACAAUUCACAUGCUUAACAGAUGGAUAUAUUCUCCAUGGUACAGACUUGUAGGAGAGCUCUCCAGCUGUUUAAUUUCUUCAAUAGAGCUGGUGCAUUACUGAGUUCAGAGUGCAGCCAGAGGCUAAGCACCUAGUAACUAAUCGAAGUAGAUCGCCGGCUGAGCUCAAAUCCAUUCCAAUAUCAGAAUAAGGAGAAAUUGUAAAGAGAAGACAAGACAAUAAAAAAUUAGGCCCUUGAUGUAAUUUCCAGUUUCUACAAAGCGGAUCAAUUGUAAACAGAAGACAGACAAAUAAAAAAAAUGCAUAAUAGAUGGAGGCAGUUUAUGUGUUCAAAAUAAGAAUGUGUUUUGAGCAAUGUUUCCACUUGAUCUAGUGACAUGAAUGAGGUGCUGAGAUAGGUUUCCUGAGCUUCAUCUGUGAAACCUGGAAAGCCCUACUUAGUUCCCUGUACUUUCAACAUCCUCUUGAACUUGUUUUUGGUACUCCCUGAAGCUAAAACUCCUGUAUAUUGAAGGUUCUCUGUAACUUUGUAUCACAGCAUUGGCCAAAGAACAAAAGAAGUAUGCAAUGGAGAACCUUUCAACUUUUUGAUGGUUAAGGACUGGGUGUUCAACACUGUUAUAAAUCCCAUUGCUCCAUGCAUUAAGAAAUUUGACUUCAUUAUUAUUAUGGUUAGAUUGUACUUACACGGAAAAUGAUAGGUGGAAAACAUUCAUAAAUGAGUUUAGGUCCUCUAAAAUUUUGCAUGCUGCCAAUUUUUCUCCGAUAUGUCAAGUACAUAAUGAAUCAUCUUCUCAUUUUAAAUAGAAGAAAAACUUUUCUUUUGGGGGAGAAUGGAAGAGUUGCACAUAAUAUGUCGAGGGUUAGUGAUUCUUGUAUCUUCUUCAACCUUUAAGCCCAACAAAAAGUUUAAGAUUUAUUACCCAAAUGUCUAGGUGUGUGUUUUGGAUUUAGCUCUGGACGAAAAUAACCACUAAUUACUUAUAUGUUAGUUUUACAUACCAUGUGAAAGAGUAUUUCAUUCAGAGGUUGAUAGUUAAGAUAAGGCCCCUAUAACUAUCUUUAGGGUUUCAACAGAUGCCCAUUGAUUCAGUUGUUCCAAACUAAUGGAAAAUGACCAUAUUGUAGGAUGUUUAUAAUUAGAGCUUCUGGAUUGGGCAUAACUCCAAUCCAUUUUCCAUCUUUAAUGAUCUGCAAUCUUCCUACCUCAUCUUGAUGCAAUAUAGUGAGGAAGUCACUGUCAGUAUGCGGAACUAUUCUGAAUACAUUGGGAGAUACUAGACAUGGUGGGUAUCUGUUCAUUCGGAGAAAACAUGAACUUGGCAAGCAAUUCUCCGCAAAGAAAGUGGAUUUACCACUCAAAUUUUCCACCAAAAUUUGAGCUAUCUGUUGAGCCAGCUCAAAAACCUUUACUGCAAGCUCGUCAAUUGUUGACCUGAAAAAUCAAUUAUAAAGAUUACAAAAAUUAAGAAAAUUAAUGAAAGUUUACAUGGUCUUGAAGAUGAUAUUUUUGCAAACGAUUUAUAGAACAUACAAGAAAAAACUGAAUAAAAUAUACAUCACAAAAUCCCCCAUGACUUCUGCUAAAGAUCUCAAUAUUACAAGCCAUUAUUUUUUGUGGAUCCCUUGCAUGGCACAAACGGCAAACACCCUAAGACCCCUUUUGGAUUUGUGAACGGACUCAUCUUAAAACCUGGCUUUAGCCAUGUGGGAAUCUGGGGAAGUGGGCAUAAAGCACUCAGAUAUUUUAACAGCAGAAUGUUGUCACACAAAGCCCUCAAGUAGCCUGAAUGUAUUAUUUGUGAAUAAAGCAAGUGCCUAUACCAUCCUAGCUUUCAAGUGAAGAAUAAGGUUGGAACAAGCAUGUAAUGCCCAUAUUUUCAUGUACAAACCUGAGGCAGCUGAUUUCACUCUGUUCCUGCAUAUCGACAAGGGGUAUGUGAAAGGCUUCAGACCAUGAGAAUUGCAUGAGAGUGCUUGCAGUUUGUGUUCCCCAGCGGUAAUUGCCUGAUGGUAAGUUCAACAACUUCUCAUUGGCCUUUUUGUUGAAGGGCUGCCGGAAUAACUUCACUUGCUCAGAGCGCAACCAUGCCACAAUAUCCGAAGAAAUACCAUGAUUGACCAACUGCAAGAAGCCCCAGUUGGAUGCAGCAUCACAUAUUUGUCUUUGACACUCUUUCACUUUCCAAUGGGCCAAGAUUCAAGAGAUUUAGGUCAACAAGUGGAAGAUCAAGUUCAUCAACAGCAAAGAACUUCUGGAAUGCUGUUCCACUUUCCACUUCAUCUACACAGUUCCCAGAUGGUUCUACAAUUUUACCCAUGCUUACACAGGCUAGAAGAAUUAGAUGGAAACUUAUAGAACAUGAAAAUGAUCCAAACGUGAGUUUCCAGUGUCUUUGUGCUAAUUACCAUUGAUUCCCAAGUAUUCUUUAUAUUCAAAAUGGAGCAAAAUCAUCUAUCACCAAGUUGUAGGAUAAAAUGUGCAAUAUACAUUAGACAUUGAAUAAUGCCAUUAUAUGAAUUUAUUAUUUCAACCUGUAACUAGAAAGCAGAAUCUAGUCAUAUGGUACUUACUAGCAGAAAAACCAUGAAACUUAGUUUGUCCUAAAAACACCAUGUAUGAUGGUAAAUUUUGAGGAACAAGAAGGAUGCGUUUUUAUGAACUACAACGCCAGAAAGGUACCUAAAACUUGGUUCAUCACAAUCUUUUAACCAACUCGGUGGAAUGUAUCUGAAAUUUGGAGUCCUUUUAGUAAAAUAGUAUAUAUGCAUCGAAUUAUGAGUCGAUUUUAUAAUAAUUUUAAGAAGUGUUUGUAAUAUUUUUAACACUUAAAAAAUUUUAUUUUAGAAAUAAUAAUAACGUUUCGCCCCUUCACCACUGCAUGUGCAUGGUUGAUGAGUUUGCUUUAAGACAAAGUUUAGUCAGGGGACAUACAUGAAAUGUUGCCACAAUGCACAAAAAAUAAAGAAGAAAAGGUUGUGGUACGUAUUUCCAUACGGAUCCAAGCCAAGGAAAGAUGUAGCGAAUCUGUCCUCUCGAGUCUAGAACUACCUAGAUAUAUUCAUAAACUAACAUGCAAAUUUUUGGAUUCUCAGCCCGGCCCCAGUUUGAAUUAUUGAUCCAUACGUAAAAGAGUGCUCUAAUCUGAAUUGUUGAUAGCCUGAGAACAAAAAAGUAUUGGUUUUUGAAUGCAUUUGUACCAUAUAUUCCUAGCGUACUAGUAUUUGUCCUACGGGAUUUUUGUUGUCAGAUAGAAAGAACACUGCUGGUGUUUCAAUGCAGUUUCAAUGCAUUUGGACCAUAUAUUCCUAGUGUACUGAUUGAAUGCAUUUGUACCAUAUAUUCCUAGUGUACCAGUAUUUGUCUUACGCGAUUUUUGUUGAGGGAGAUAGACAGAUAGAGAGAGAGAGAGAGCAAUGCUGGUGUUCGAAUGCAUUUGGACCAUAUAUUCCUAGUGUACUGAUCUUUGAAUGCGUUUGUACGAUAUAUUCCUACUCUUAACGGUACAGUAUUUGUCCUACGGGGUUUUUGUUCAUAUAUGUAAGUGCUAAUUUGCAACGGUUUUCGCGCUAACUUCUCUACGCCCAUUAAGCGCUACGACCUGCCCUCUUUAGAUGGUAGACCACAUUGCUGCGGUUUUCUUGCUAGCCUCUCUAUGACCACCAAGAUUUGCAAUCUAUCCUCUUAAGCUCGUAGACUACCUUACUAGUUUUCCAAAUUCACUACCACAGAUGCACAUGUAAUUCAAGAGAUUAUGUGAAUGUAUUCAAAGAGAUAUUCAAAAUGGAAAUAUUCAAAGACGUGUAUAGAAUUAAGUGCAUAAUGAAGAAGAAUUUACUCUGAUAAUUUUUUGAAUUGAAAUUCAAUAUUUUUUUUCUUUGUAUAAUUUACUAUACACUCCUCUAUAAAUUUUAGAAAAUAAGCCAUAAAACUUAUACUUUCAUUAUCAAAUUAUCAAAUUCUUGACAGAGUUAGGGGAAGAGCUCAAAAUUGAACCUCUUGGUUACUAUCAAAUCAAAUGACAAGUCACUUAAAUGAAGUUAGAUGAACCUCAAAAAAAGCUCAGCCUAUCAUUAGAAACCAUGUCUUCCUCUUCUAAAGGAAAAAAAAAAACUCAACCUUAAUAUCCAAAGUUCCCAUUCAUGUUGUAGUUUGAUCUCAAUUAAGCAAAAUACUACAAGUUCCCUAUUGUGGCAAAACCAAAUCACCCCCCUUAGUUUGUGGCAUUAGUUUUCUUCAUCAUCAUGUGAGUGAAGGAAAACAUAUUGAAGAAAUUAAGGAAAAUGAGAGAAGCAAAAGUCUUACAUGUAAUACUAAUUAUAGAUAGAUUUCUUACUUCAUGGCUUCAUGAAACUAAAAAAGAAGACAUUUAAAGAAUGAUCUUCGGUGUUGAAAUAUUAUAUGAUGUAUGAACUUCUCUUAAAGGACAACAUCUCUCUAUUACAAUUAAGAGAUAAAUAAAUCUUAAAAAAAAUAUAUGGUUAUGAUUUUCAAAAAAAUAAAAACUAAAAAGGGUUGGAAUAUCUCAAAAAUAUUUAAAAGACUUCAAAAAUAUAUGUGACAAUCUAGUUAGCUAAAAUAAAAAAAUAAAAAAACAAUUUUCGUCUAAUACAAAGUUUUCCAAUUCAUUCCAAAACUUUGGACAAAGUUAUGAAAAGGUUUUGACUUCUAAUCCUUACCCAAUUUAUGCUAGUUCUUUAAGGGCAUAAAUAAUCUUCCACUACCAAAAAUGAGGAGGAAAAAAUAUUCCCCAAGCAUGCAAUUUAUUAUUAUUAUUAUUAUUAUUUACAACACAAUCAUAGUCAAAAUGAUUGAGGAGACAAAACUUCACCAUUUUUAGGUGUUACAAUAUUUUGAAUAUUCUAAUAUUUUUAUCAAGCUUUUACCAAAAGAAAUAUUUAUCAUGUUUCUAGGACUAGUUGGAUGUUUGUAUUUAGUCCCUUAAAAAGGCAUAGAAAGUAGGAGUUCAAUGACAAAUUCAAAAACCACUUUCAAAUUUACUAAAAUGAUCAAAAGUGAUUUCUUUCAAAAGACAUCAUAGAUUAAAGUAUUUAUGUUUAAAACAAAAUAUUAUAAAGAUGGUUUUUUUUCAAGCUCACAUUCCAUGAUAACACAUUAUUUUAAGGGACUUAUAGGUUCUUUAUUAAUUAAUAUGUAUGCAUAAGGAUGUUUUUGUAAAAAUGCAGGUUACACAAGAACUUAUGAAUGACUUUUCUUGAUUGGGCCACUUUAUUAAUUGGAGCCCAAUAAAGCUAAUUAAUUAAUUUAGACCUAAUGAGUUAAAUUAAGUGAUCCAAAUCCAAAAUAUAUUUCAAUAUAAGAUAAAAUUCUUUAUAAAGAUGAUGACAAAAGCAAAUCAAUGUUUUUGUGUGAUUCUCCAAGGAAGCUUGAUUUCCCCCCCUGAUUAUAACUCUAAGAUUCAUCGUAUUAAGAUGUAUUUCAAUAUAAGGACCUAAGAUAUAUACUUCUUUCUUGAAAUAUCAAGUCUUACAAAUUUGAGGUUUAUGACAUUUGAUAUUGUCAAAGAACUUUUCAUAUAUGGAAAAAUGAUAUUAUUAUAAUAAGUUUCAUAUAACAAACAAAAAUUAGUAAAUAAUACUAAUGCAUUCUACAAUAUAAAAUAAAUUUUAUAUAAGUUUUACAUUAAUAACAUUAGUUUAACUUUUAGCUAAAAUCAGAUAUAAAAUUAUUUCUAAAUAGCUUUUAACCAUAAAAUGAUUUUUACAUUACUUUUUUCUAUAUAAGAAUUUGCAUAUCACAUUUGACAAUGAUAAUAUGAAAUGAGAUUUGUGCAUAACUUAUGAUUAUGACAAAGCCAAAUAAUUUGCUUAUAACUCUUGACUAUAUAUAUAACAAAAUUUAAAUGAACAAAAUCAACAUUAAUAUAAAUAUAAAAAAUUUAUUCCAUAUUAACAAUCUCGAGUUUAAGAUCAUAAAAUUACCUUCAAAGCAAUUCAUAUUGAUAAGAAAGAAUUGAGAGAACCUCUUAUUCAAGAUGUCAUUUGUGUAAGAGAUGGAAAACCCUUUAGACGCUUUAUAGAUGAAUUCGAUUUAAUACUCAUUUUUAAGGAAAGUAAAUGCAACAGUAUCAAAUGAAUUUUUUGAACUUAAUUUAAGGUGGUGAUCAUCACCUUAUUUUUAACAAAUAGUACUUAUUAUAAUCAACUGUAACACGAUAAUUAUCCCAAAAAACGAAAAGUCACUUUGGUAGGAAAGUGACAAAUAGGAGUAUAUCCAAUUGCAAGGCUGCAUUUACUCUUAAUGGUCCUAUAUACGGGAAUGGGGUCACAAUUUUUUUGGAUGGAAAUGUUAAAUUAUUGAGUGAAGUCUUUGUCUUCAAACAUUUUACCCUCACAACUUCAUAAAUAUUUAAGAGAACAAUAAUCAUGAUUUGGUUCACCCAAUUCAACAUGUUUAUAAAAUGAAUUAUUUAGGUUAUGUGAUGUCAUCCUUGUAAGAUGGAGUUGUAUUUAUGUUGGUUGAUUAAUUAAGUAAAUUUCUCAAUAUGAUUAUACUUAAUAUUAUUUGGAUCAUAAUAUGAAUAUGGGAGAAUUAUGUUUUGGGGGUAGAUGGGUCCCCAAAUUAACAAAAGGUUCAUAUAACUUUUCAAAUUGAGUUGAAGGAUAUGAAAUAAUAACGGACAAAUAUACCCUUUAAAAACACAUAUAAAAUAUUUUAUAAAAUUAAGUUAAAUAAUUUUUUUUUCAAAAAUACGAAAUUAAAUAAAAGUAGUUUUCAAAAAUAUUAAAUUAAAUAAUUUUUUUUCAAAAAUAUUAAAUUAAAUAUUUUUUUUCAAAAAUAUUAAAUUAAAUUAAAGUAUUUAAAAAAAUAUUAAAUUAAAUAAUAUUUUUUAAAUAUUAAAUUAAAUAAUUUUAUUUUUAAAAAAUAUUAAAUUAAAUAAAUUUAUUUUAAAAAAAUAUUAAAAUUAAAUAAAAGUAUUUUAAAAAAUAUUAAAUUACAUAAAAAUAUAUUUUUUAAAUAUUAAAUUAAAUAAAAGUAUUUUUCAAAAAUAUUAAUUUUUUUUCUCAAAAUCAACUAAGGGCAUUUUUGGAAAUACUGAAGGAUGAUAUCCUUCAACUCAAUUUCCAUACUUUCAUUAGGUCUUGGGCUCAAUUUGAAAAGUUAGUGGACCUUUUGUUAAUUUGGGGACCCAUCUACCCCCAAAACAUAAUUCUCCCUAUGAAUAUUACAAGAUAUUCCUCCGAUACCUAUAAUCUUUGGUGUCAUUAACUAAAUAUAUUACAUUUAUAUGUGGUACCCAAUUCCAAAUUUUUAAAGUUGCAUUUUUAUUUUUUAUUUUUCCCUACUCCACACUUUUCAUUGGGAUUAGAGAAAUUAUCUUUCCCUCUAAACAAAAUUAUUAAAUUAAUUGAUAAAAUUGAUUCAAUCUAUAUCUUAUAUUAAUUUAUUUUUAGAAAAAAAAGAUAUAAAAUUAUAUAAAUUACCUUGAUGAAACUUAUUUAGACCUUAAUAAUCCUUAACAUUUUUAUCUCUAAAAAGCCGACUAAAUUAAUGUUACAAUACUCAAGUAUCCUCUAAGUAUGAAAUUCAAGAUCAAUUUAGGAAUAUAAAUAUAAUAGUGUGGGAUCGAGGAAGACUCUUCAUUCUCGUACCUGUAAAUUUAUUCUUUAUUUUUGUUUUAUUCCUGAUUUUAGAUUAGAAAGAAAGAAGAUGUGGAAUCCUUAUUAGAUGAAUAAAUUCCAUAUCCCCUAUUAAUAAUCCUAGGUGGGGAAUAUUAGUUAUUUUUUUUAUAUAUAUAAUUUUAGAUUUAGUUUUUCUAAUUUUUGGAUAUAAAAUUAUAUAUAAGCUAUAAAUAUUUAUUUCAAUUUUUAAAUAUUAAAUUAUAUAUAAUAUAUUAAAUUAUAUAUGUUCCUACCUCGGUUUUGAGUUUUUCAAAUUUUCUCUAUCCCGGAGUUGACCACAACCUUGAUUAUUACUUAUGGUCCUUGUCUUGAUUUUUUAUUUUUUAUUUUCCCUUUAUCUUUUGACCAUCCCUAAGCCAGUCCAUCCUCUCAUAAAAAAUUUAAGACAAACCCUAGGAAAUUCAAAUAUCAGUUUUCUUUUAAGCAUUUAGACUAAAUAAAAUUAAGUUGAUAUGUAUUAAUGCGUAAAUAUAAUAUCAUUUUUUUUUAUAAGUUUGAAUUUCAUGCAUGGAGCGGAAAUCGAAAUAUAAGAAAAGAAAAGAAAUAAGAAAAUCGUAUAAUUUUUUUUUUAUUUGAUUGAUUUUAUUUUUUUUCCAUCUUUCUACAAGGUUAAAUCAGGAAACAGGCAACACAUAAUUGUGAUUUGUUCUUUUCUUUUUGGGAAGGUUGUGAAUCUUAGUGGGGCCACCCAUUUAUGGUUGGGAGGUUAUGUUGCAAGACAGCCCCAAUGCCAUAUCAGUUGAAGUCUACCAAUCACCAUUCUCAACCCUAGAAGACCCCAUUGGUUGGUGGUUGAUGACUUCAAUGGUUGGAAAUUUGAUGCUUAAAAGUUUAAAUUUUGAUUAUUUAAAAAUAUGAUAAUUAUAAUAUAUUCAUAAAGUUUGAGAAGUCAACUAUUUUCAACCUUAUAAAAUCCUAACUUAAUAUGUGAUUCAAUAAGCUUAAAUAUUAGAGAAUAGUUGGGAUUUAUGUACCUUAAUAAGCUUAUAUAUAUAUAUAUAUUCAAUAAAAAUGAUUUUCCUUUUCUUUGAAAUUGUUCUAAAAUAUCUACAUAUCAUCCUUCUCUUCAUCAUAUCUCAUAGUUUGUUUGUAUGUGUUUUCAUUCUAAAUCUUUAUAUUUUUUGGGUAAUUAGAUCGAUGAUGAGUUUUUCUUAAUCUUUCUAUGGAUGUACCUAUAAAUGAGAUAUUGUUGUGAGCCAAUUGAAGUUGUCUCUUGCAACUAAUAUCGGUCAUACCCACACAUAGGGAGGCCUAGGAUAAGGUAUUUUCACAUACCCCACCAAACUAGACUAACUUUUCUUAUCUCCUUUACUUUUAUUUUUCUAUAAUUUUGAUUUAUUAUUUGUUACAUGUGCUAGAAUAUAUAUAUAUAUAUAUAUAUAUAUAUAUAUAUAUAUAAAGUAGGAAAAUUUUCUAGCAAUCUAAAAUUAUUAUUCUUCUAAUUGAGAAAAAUAUAAUAUAUUUGAUUUCUAUGUAGGUAAAACUAUAUAGAUAUUGGUUUGUAAAUUAUUUUAAUAGAAAGAAUAAAUUUAAUUAUCUAUUAAUUUGAAGUUUUACAAUUCUUUUCUUUUCUUACUUGUCAAAUAUCAUAUUUUCUUCCAUUUGAUAAGUAUUAUUGCUAUUUACAAAAAUCAAAUAUUAUUAGAAGAAAAUUAAGAUCAUGGUCUGAUACUUCUCUUGAGCUAUUUACGGCUUUCUAGUUACAUAAAAAUAUGUGCAAAAGGAAAUGAAAACUUUCCUAAAAUUUGGAAAUUAAUUCUACUUUGAUUUAUUUUUUCUAAGAUUAUUCUAAACUUGUUGGAAAGUAAAAGAAUGAUGCUACAAUUAUAUUUGUUUUGUUAUGUUAUAAAGGUCAUAAAUUUCUCCUUAAUCUGUGGCCAAAAAAAGAAAAAGAAAAGAGAGACAGAUCUAUAAUAAAGGCAUAAAAGAAUAUCAAAGUUUUAUGUGAUGAAAAUUAUAUGUAUAAUAUAAAUAGCCUUCAAAGGAUCUAAUUUUCUAUGUAUAUAUAGUCAUAAUAUUUUGAUAGGUUAUUUGAAAGACAAAGAUUUGAUAAUUUUGUUUGAGAAGGGGAUAAAUGAAUUAAUUUAUAUUGAAAAUCAAAUUUUUAUUGUAUAAAUUAAGGGAAAACGAAAAAAAUUAUUGAGAAAUAUUUCCUGUUGAGUAUUUAUUAUUAUUAUUAUUAUUAUUAUUAUAUAAUAAUAAUAAUAAAUAGAUCAUAUGAAGAAGAUUCAAUAGGUAGAAUAAUACCAAUUUUGAGGAGAGAGUCUCUUCCCCAUCCUUAUGAUGACAAUGCUACUAAUGUAAUGUUAGGAAGGGUUUUAGCUUAAAUGAGGUAGAGGUAGAAAGUGUUGUGAAGUACACUUCACAUGUAUCUUUGGAACACUCACCAUGUGAGUGUUGCCGUGAGAUUGCGACUAUGAGAUUGAAUUAUUCUAUAUUAACUCUCAUGAGAAUCAAGAUACUGACACAUGGUUAUUAAUAAUAUUAGCCUAUCUAGAAUCAAGAACCAAGUCUCAUACCAAUACUAUGUGUGUGACAUGUAAAAGUUCGGUUCAAAGACUUAAUUCAAGACAUAAUUCACUAUGAAUCCUCAAAUAAAAAUUGUCAACACUAAGAAUAAGUUCAAAUCCAAAAGACGUCUAUAUUGAUUACAUAUAUAAAGUUAUUCAAUUAUUUUCUCUUACCAUUUAUUAUUAUUUACACAAUUUAAAAGGUAGGGUGGGAAAAGGUUAAUAUGAUAAUUAUAAUAUAUUUCAUCUGAUUUUGAAAGUCAAUUGUUUGUUACGAAAUCUUAACCUUAAUAUGUAAUUCAAUAACCUUAAAUAUUUCUAGUAGUUAAGGACUUAUGAAUUGUAAUAUUUUUAUCUAUUAUAUCCAUAAAUGUCAUCUCUUAUUCAAUAAAAAUGAUUUUUCUUUUAUUUUUAAAAUUAUCUUAAAAUAUCUAUAUAUUACCUUUAUUUUCCUCUUACCUCAUAGUUUUAUGUGUCUCUUUUCAUGGUGAAUCUUCAUAUUUCUAGUCAACUUGAUUGUAGACAAGUUCUUUAUAAUUUUUUUAUGGGCGUGCUCAUAAAUGAGAUAUUGCAAUGAGCCAAUUGAGUUUUAUUUUAGAACUACUAUCCAAUAGUCGGUACUUACACAUUGGGAGUAAGAUAGCAUGUUCUUACAAGCUUCACCAAACUAAGCCAAUUUUUCUUAUAUCCAUUACUUUAAUUUCUAUAAUUUUAAUUUAUCAUUUCUUAUAUGUGCUAAAAUUUAUAUGUUUUUUUAUAAAGAAGGAAAAUUUCCUAACAAUCCCCGCAAAACCAGUCAAGCUUCAUCCUCUUGGCCUUAUGGAAUGAGGCCAUUUAACGACCUCCUUUUCCAUUCAUGUUAUUCCCCUCUUAAUAUUGUAAUUUAAUUUCAACAAAUUUAAUGAUUUUUUUUUUAAAUGCUCCAUCAUUUAAAUUAGUAUUUUUAUAUUCUAAGUCAUUUGAAUCAUGGAUGCAAUAUGUACGGAUUAGCUAACCAAAUCCAUGUGAGGUUUUAACAAAAAAUCAUUUUUAAAAUUCAUGUUUGAGGUAAGUCGGGGGGUUAUAUGAAUUUAAUUUUACUAUUUUUGUUAUUAUCUUAAAAUUCUAUCUCACUUAUUAUUUAAAUUUUGAAAUAAAUAUAUAAUUUUUAAAUGAAUUUAAUUUUACUAUUUUUGUUAUUAUCUUAAAAUUCUAUCUCAUUUAUUAUUUAAAAUUUGAAAUAAAUAUAUAAUUUUUAAAUAAUAAGUGAGAUAGAAUUUCAAGAUAAUAACAAAUGAAUAAAUUUAAGUCACGCAAUCCAAUCAAUUUGACUAAUCCAACUAAGUCAAGUGUAAUUCAACUAAUCCAACUUUAACUUAAAUUUAUAAGAAUAAAGUUGAACUAUGAUUGCAUCGAGUACCUAGGGAUGAGGUUGGGUUGAACUUUAUAUUUUUUAAUUUAAGUUGGACUCAUUAACUAUUCGAUCCAACCCACUCAAAUUAUAGUUUUAGUUUGAACUUUGAGUAUAUUUUUAAAUUUUUAAUUAAAUUAAAAUUUACUUUUUAAAAGAUGUUCUCUCUUUUUCAAAAUAUGGUAUAAGUCAUUUUGGGUAAUGUCGUAUUCAUAUUUAAGAAUUUGUUUCCAAGUCGACUAAGCUAAAUUUUGAAAGAAAAAUUGUUCACUUUUUGAAAUUCUUAGUCAAAUUACUAAACAAAAACUUGAACUCAAAUCUAUCUUAAGUUUUGAUUAUAAAUAAACAGAGUUCAAACUAAAUUCCAAAACCAACCUCAAUUGAAUUCUUUGAAUUUGAAGUUCUAAGUUUUAAAAUUUGAUGUGGAAAUUGAGUGGUAGAUUUUAUGUAUGGUUGAAUUUAAUAGAUAUUUUGUUAUCAUAAAUGUAUUAUAUAUGGGGACUAGGCGACAUUAUUUAUCUUUCAGCACUAUGCCGACUUUGGGGUGCAGCGACAAGGUACGGCCAACCUUGAAUGACUAGGAAUAAGACUCAUUGAAUAAGCUGUCGGGGCCUAUUAUUUAUUUAUAACUGAAGUCGGCAACCUUCUUUUCUAUCUUUUUUUUUAGGGAAAAAAAAUGUUAUUAAUGAAAUUAUGGCAUGUUUAUGAUUUUAUUCUUCUUUUUAAACCCAUUUUACUUUUCUUUCAUAUAAAAAUUAAAUCACUUGAAAAUUCAUAAAUUUCUAAGUAAUAUUAAUUAUAUUUAAUUAUUUGAAAAUGUAUAUGUUUCUAACUAAUUUUAAUUAGAAUAAAUCAAAUUAAAAAAUAAAAUAAUCCCGAACUUUGUAAAUCUAAUCAUUCUCAUAUUUUUAUUUGAAAAAUAAUCAAUCUUUUAUAUAAAUAUUUUUUUUAUCAUUUUGACUAUUUAUAUGUAUGUUUUAAAAAAAUAUUUUUUUAACGAGGAAAAAUGAUAAUAUUUUAUAAAAAAAAUAUCCAAAAAAAAUUUAGAGGAUUUUGAGCUUUUAAUAAUGCUUUUGAUCAAAUAGCCCUCUUAAUUAUAUUUGAUUUCUUCUAUAUUUUUCUUAAUAUUUUCUUGAAGUCAAACAUAAUAUAUUAAAGUUUCAAAUUUCUCAUUUGUUAUCAUCUGUGUCAUGAAUAAAUAAUAAUUUUAGGAAGUGUUUUUAAUAGUUUUAAUAUUUAAAAAAUAACAAUUUUUUAUUAUUAAAAAUAUCAUAAAUAUUUUUUAAAAUCAUUACAAACAUAAUUUAAAUUAAAGUCAUUUUAGGUAUUAAACAUUAAAUAACUAGACUUCGAUGCCCCUUUAGUCAAUAUCUAUCAUAAAUACUUCCCAAAAAAAUAGAAGAAUGAAACAAGCAUUAAAUUUCACCCUUCUAAGUAGGGUAGUUUUCUUAUUUUAAUUUCAACCUACCCAUCAAAAGCACAUUAAAUUUCGCCCUUCUAAGUGGGAUAGUUUUCUUUUUCCAUCUUUAAUUCAUUUUUCAAACAGGUACUAAUUAUUCUCAGUGAUGUAGAAUCCACCAGAUCACGUCCCAACCGCACCAACCCAAAUAAUGAAAGGUGACUUUUGUGGGAAAGUAACACGUAAGAGUAUAACCCGUGAAGGGACUGCAUUUAGACUCUAAUGGUCCUACACAUGGAACUCCCUUUAGACUCUAAUGGUCCUACACAUGGAACUCCCUUUUCUGUCAAUACAAAUAUAGCCAAUUAACCUAUCAUGUUGACAUGUUUUGGCCAACGGGGUCUACAUAUUUGGAUGGAAGCUGUGAAAUUAUUGAGUUGAGCCUCAUUUCCAAGUGUUUUUCCAAUUGGUACUCCAAAGAUAUCUAAAAGAAAGCAAUAAACUUUAAAGGGGAGACACAAGCUUCCAGUCACCACCAUAGCUCAAUCUAUAUGAGAAGUAAAUCUAGGGCAUUCAGAAUAGAGGAAAAAAAUAUGCUAAACAGCAAGCAAUAUUUUCCAUCAUUUAAACUAAACUAAUAUUCAGGAUUGUUACAGUUUCGGGUUUAUACAGCCCUAAUCAAUUACCAAAAGAGCAAACCAUACAGAUAUAUAAAGCAUACAAGUCAUGAGAUCAUGGAGAGGCCUCAUAUGUCCAAAACUGAUGCUUUAUUUAUUGUGUUGUCUAAUGACAGGACUGAAGUGCAAGGAUAGAUUGGAUGCUCUGAAGCCUCAUCUGCGAAAUCUUGAAAGCCCUACCUUGUCCCCUGUGGUCUUCACAUCCUCUUCAACUUGCUGUCUGUACUCUCUGAAGCUAAAUUUUCUGUAGAUUGAAGGCUCACAGCAACUUUGUAUCACGGUGUCAUGAGAGGGACAGAGGAAGUAUGCAAAAGAGAACCUUUCAAUUUCAUGGUUGGCAACAACUCGGUGUUCAAGACUCUUAUAAACUCCAUUGCUCCAAGCCUGCAUUAUGAAAUUGACCACAAUUUAUGCUCUGUUUGAGUUGAAGAAGCACAAGAUGAGCCCUAGUAUAUACUCUUCAAAUCUCAUACAACCAUGUUACCACUUGUUACAUUUAUUGAGAAUCAUCAUUUUAUUUCAAACAAGACAUUGUGUAGGGGAAAUAGAAAGGAUGUUGCCCAUAUUUCAUCUAGAGUUAGUGCCAUUUAAACCCAUAUGCCCCUUUCGAGAAGUUCAAUGGAAGAUUCUGGUAGAUAAGUAACCAAAUUAAAGGUGGCUGCUAGCAGUAGAGAGUGUUUAAAUCCACAGGAAAAUUUAAAUGCUUCCUAAUGUGUAUUUUUCACAUCAUAAAGAGCUUAAUCAUGUGAGGGGAAGAUAUCCCCCAUAUUUAGGGUUUCAAAGAUGGCCAUGCCAUUUGAGACCAUAUAAUAAAAGCCAACUUACCUGAAAUAAGUCUCCAAUGUUGAUAACUAGAGCAUCUGGAUUAGGCUUAACCCUAAUCCAUUUUCCAUCUUUUAGGAGCUGCAAUCCCCCCACCUGAUCUUGAUGCAAUACUGUGAGGAAGUCACUAUCAGUGUGCGGGAUUAAUCCAAAAACCUUAGACGACACCGGACAUGCUGGAUAUCUGUUCAUUCGAAUAUAACAUGAACUUGGCAAGCAAUUCUUGAAAAAGAAAGUGGAUUUACAGCCCAAAUUCUCAGCCAAUAUUUUAGCUAUUUGUUGAGCGAGAUCCGAAGCUUUAAUUGCAAACUCUUGAAGACUUGACCUGAAAAUUUGAUUGCAAAGAUUACGGAAGAAAAAAAAAACCCAGAUCAUACUGAAAGAACAAUGAUAUUACAAGAAAAUUUUAUUUGAAUAUAUCAUCACAAGUCUCCAAAAGUUUUGUGCCAAAAAUCUAAACGGCCUUCACUUUGAGUUCAUCUUUCGCCUGACCCAAACAGUCCUAAAAUAAUCUUAUUUUUGCGUAUGCUCAUCUUAGAACUAGAUUUAAUCCUGCUAUACUUUUGGUGAAGGACUUCACAGUAGAAUGUAAUAUCUUUGUCAAUACCAAAACCCUUCAAUAUAUGCCAGAGGCAAAGAAUAUAUAUGUAUGUAUGUUUAUAAAAUUACAUGGGUGGGGAGUGGGGGCAACUAAACUUUUCUGUGCUUGUUAUUACCCACCCUUUUUCACUCAAAACAAAAAGGGAAAGCCUUGUUUUAGGCAGUAAAUUGUUAUCGCCCAGGCUUUUCAAACUACUAUAAACAAAGAAGAAACUCCUUAUUUUAGGUGGGAAGCAUCUAAUCAAAGAAACCUGGUGGGCAGAUUUUUCUUUUGGGUUGUAUAAAUGGUUUAGAAACAAAGCAUAUCAUCCCCAUAUUUUCUUACACAUACCUGAGACCUUCGAAUUCACUUAGUUGGAAAAUAGUGGAAAGCGGGAUGUGAAAAGCUUCAGACCAUGCGAAUUGCUUCUGAGUAAUAGCAGUUUGCGUUCCCCAGCGGUAACAGCCAGAUGAUAAGUUCAGCAACUUCUCAUUAGUCUUUAUCUGGAAUGGCUGCCGGAACAACUCCACUUGCUCACGAUGAAUCCUGGACAAAAUCUCUUUAGAAACGCCAUGGUUGACAAUCUGGAAGAAGCCCCAUUCAGUAGAAGCUUCACAAAUCUUUCUCUUGCACUCUUCAUGCUCCAAGUUGCCAAGAUUCAAGUGACCUAGGUCAAUCAGCGGUAGUUCACAUUCAUCCACGUCGAACUUUGCUUCAGUUUCCUCUUGUUCUACAAUGUUUCCAAAAACACUGUUGACGAACUCCCCAAAUGGUGGCUCUGAUUCCAUUCUCACGGGCUGAAAGAAGAUAGGGAAAGUUGGCUUAGGAUAUAAACUGAACUGUGUAAUGUUUCUUGUGUUCUGGCUAGAGACUCAAGAGAUGGGGUAGUUUAGUAUAUUUUUGCAAAUGAAAAUGUUUCUUGUCUACCUAUAUAUGCACAAAUGGUGGAGUCUUCCUGUUCCCAACCCAAUAAAAUGAUACAAAAUGUCAGUUUCCACUGCUUGCCUAUGUGGAGUUGAAUCAUUCAUCAUCAAGUUGUAGACUAUACAACAUGUGCAAUACAUCAUACGCAUUAAAUGAUGCCCAUUCAAUAUGAAUGCUUGGGAUAUAACUCAGAGAAAGAAAAAGAGAGAAAAAUUUAAUGGGGGAUUUUUGUAAACAGUAACAUUUGGGGUUUCCUUAAUUAGUUUAUUUCUAACCGGAAAUUGCUAUACUUCAACAAACUCAAUCUCAAAAAUGUCGAAUUACUGUAAUUCGAAUGGAAGACUUGUGAAGAGUAAGAUUGCCCUUAUCACCACAACUGGUGAUUGAUGGGUGGCUGUAAACUGAGAAGACAUGAACUACAGACUCAAUGCUGAAGAUAAAAGAAGAUAAAAGGCUGUCAUAUGUAGUCAAUCCAGGACAAAAAAAGAUCAGGUGAAUCUUUCCACUAGACUCCAGAACAAACUACAUAUAAACAAACAAACCUGCUGAUUUUUGGGUUUGUAUCUACCCCAUUUUGAAUUAUUAACCAAUUUAUCAAAGACUGCCCUGGUUUGAAUUGUUUGUAACUCCAAAAAAACAAAACAAAACAAAAAUGAAGCUUUGAAUGCAUGUGUAUAGCCCUUUUGGGUGGAUCAUGAUACACUAGCCCAAUAGCCCUAGAAUAGUAGUAGCAGUACAUGUCCCUUCAGGCUGGGUUUCUACUCAUUCAAACUGCUACUAAGCAAUAAAGGUUUGUGUGUGCCUGUUAUAACAACAAUAUACUGUAAAUAAUGGUAAGAAAUUGUGUGAGAUGGAAGAAAGUAUUUUAAGUAACUUUCUGUGUGUGAUGAGGGAGAAGGGUGUUAUUCUGCAGAACAGACAACGGAGAGUUGAGGAGUAGUGUUUCAGUGCAAAAAAUAGGUGUAGAAGAGAUGUUAGUAGAAGGAAUGAAUGAGAGAAAAGCUUACAUGAGAGAAGAAGAUAUUAGGGCUCAAGUCUCCCUGGAAACGAGUUAAAGAUAAAAGAUAAAAUAUGUAUCUGCCUUAAGAUGGGAAGAAGACACCCAAUUUAUAGGUUAAUUGAAACCCGACAGUACUGAUAUUUUCAGAGGUAAACAGGAUAACCACAUGCAGAUUUAGAACAUAUGGCUUAAACAUGGCCCCCUAAUCUUUUCAGAGGUAAAAGGGGGAGAUCUUUUCAUUGUGAAGUCGGCCAUACUUUGACAAAAUGUCAAAGUAGCUCAACCAAUGUCAUGUUGUUCACAUUAAUAAUGAUACUCAUAUAUCAGAACCUUGCUAUCACGCCCUGAAUUGAUGGUUCUCAUGCCAAAUUGAAGGGGGGAAAAGUGAAGGUAAAAAAAUGUCACAGCUAAAAAUACAGUGGAUAUAUGCUCUUAGAAUUUUUUUUUUAUAAAUUUUAAUUCCAAACUUUUUCUAUUUCAAAAGGCAUAUAUAUACUUUCUAACAUAUUUUCUUUCAUAACAUAAUUUUUCAAAAACAUUGAAGUUCCAACUAGCUGAGAGUACAUCAUAUGACAUUUGAAACUUUCUAAUGAACCACACACAAACACAUUUAUAUACAUGUAUAUGUGAUAUAUAUACAUGUGCUAUUGAUGUGAUUUACCUUCCUAAGUGGCUGGUCUUUAGGCCAUCAAUUCAUGCAGGAUAAAACUUGAACUUUCUAGCAAGGUAAGCUUGAAUAGACAUGUAACUUCUUUUUCUAGAACUUAACUUGCAGAGGAAUGAGGAAACUUAGCUUAAUUUGUUUUAUAAUAUCAUGAUACAUACAUAUAUAUAUAUAUAUAUAUAUAUAUAUAGAUAUAGAUAUAGAUAUAGAUAUAUCACACCACUGAUAGGGUAAAUAAUUCUUUCUUUAAGAGUGCAGUAAAUUUUUUUAAAAAGAAUUAAUAAUUUCAAUCACCUGUCAUGAUCUGAUCAUAGACGUAGUACCUACCAUGAGCACACCAUAACACAUUCAAUAAAAGGAGACCCAGCAAAGCUGCAGUCAUGGUAGGAUCUCAACCCAUCUUGUACUUAAGUGGGAGUAUUUGACAGCAUUUUUAACAAAAUAAGCGUGUUUCUACUUUCAAUUCAAGAAGGGUGACCGUGAUCCCCAAAGCUUUGUCCGCAAAAAAAUGAACAUUACCCAUCUCAAGUACUCUAUAGCAUUUUUAUGAGUCCCUUACCCUCCCCCACUUAUCUCUGGUAGUGCCAUCAUUUCUCAUAGAAAAAGAAAGUUAUCUGAUGAUCAAAUCAUCUAAAGUUGGCAUUGUGUGGGGUUGGGGGCAACUUUGAAUUGGAUGGAAAAUCACACAUUGAAACCCCAUCUAUGUGUACUGAAGUACUGAUGAGUUGCCUUCCAUUUUGUUGGAGUGAGAUUAUUGCAGCAGAAGAUUCUCCCUCCUUACAAUUAUGAAAAGCUCAUCAUGAUGUCCGUCAAUAUUUAAUUGAUGAUAUUGGGUAGUGAUGCAAAACUAGCACAAAAGAGCAUCCAAAGCAACUACAAUAUAGAAGACACAUGCUUGCAUGCAUAGACUCAAAAUUAAUUCUUAGAGAAUGAAAAUAUUGCUGUUCACUAGUUUUGUUGAUACAAUGGUGUAUUCUCCAUAUACACUACUUUCAGUUGGUGGUGGUGUCCUACAAUUUGCCAUCCAACAUCUUAAAGUGGGAAGUAAAAGGACAUCCAGGUGACCCAAACAUAAAGGAGGGAAAGGUGCACGGGAGAUUCACGUGAAAUUGAACUUCUUUUUGUACGGGCACGUGACGCCCAGGUGUUAUCUCUCCCAAAAUGAGUGUCUCUAGUCUUUUCUAGCAAAAAGAAGCCACAUUGGGCAAAUGAACUAUAAUUCUAGACCAUGCAUGCAAAGGAGAACGUGGUGAAAGGUGAGACACAUAGGACACAAGGCCAUGUGGUGUUUCUCUAUUAUUAGAGCUGCCUUCUACUCUUCUGACUUUUGUUUUGUUUCAUCAUUAUUAUUUUUGGAUGCUACAUAAGCAUGCACUUUGUCUUUGGUAAAAAAGGCUUUUCAAGCUUUCAAUUACGGGAAUAUAAUGGGACAAGUUUGGGCAGUUGCACAGAGAACUGAGGACAUAUAUGAACCAAUGAGGUUUUAAAAUUUUUGUGGUAGUUUUUAAUUACACUAUAUUGUAUAAUAAUGAAGAUAAAAUCAUCCACGUUAAUGUAUUGAGUUAGGUUGGUAAUUUUUCUCCAAAGAUUACUGGUUUGAGAGACUCCUCUAAUACCAUGAAUCUUAUAUAUAUUGUGAUAAGAUGUUUUCUUUAUGUCGACUCUAUUGCUUUAAACUUUUUAUAGUGUUCUUAUUCAACUCUUAUUGUCGAAUCAUAGUUGUAAGUUCAUAAAUAUUUAACAAAUCUGCGAUCCUUUAUAGCCAAUUUCUAAUUUGGUUUUAGUCACCGUAGUAGUCGGAAUAUUCCUUCUAAUCAGCAACAAGAGUAUGUGUUGGACUAAAAUCAAAUAAUGAUGCAUAAAACUUGAGUUGUAUUGGAAACUUUUACUUGACAAUAUCAACUCUAAUUAUGAAAUAUAAAUCAAGAAAAAAUAAAAGGAAUGAAUAUCAUUAUUGAUUCUUGUGAUAAGAUGUUUUCUUUAUGCCAACUCUAUUGCUUUAAACUUUUUAUAGUGUUCUUAUUCAACUCUUAUUGUCGAAUCAUAAAUAUCUUUUGCCUUUUUUUUUUUUGGUUAUGUCCCUUCCACUUAAGUAUUUAAAAUUCAAGUAUGAUAUGUAGCACACUCAUAACAACAUAUGAAACUCCUAAAUCAAUUUAAUAAAUAAAAAAUUAUGUACAAUAUCAUCCGAUCUUUGUAGAAUUGUCCUCCUCUUGCACCACUUGUUCUCAAUUGGACAAUAUCAAGAUCAAUUAAAACGAUUGGGUUAAUAAUCCCCACAUUCCAAAUGGCUUCCAAACCAAAUUACAAAUGGGCUUAUUACUUAUUAGUAAAAGAUCUAUGGUGUCAAUAGUUGUUUUGGGUGUAGAUCAUGUUUAUUUGAUGAAUAUUAUUUUUGUUUUUUGCUCACUAUCCAAUCAUAAUAAAUUUAUUAGUUACUCCAAAACUUGGGCAACAUAUAUAUGACAAUAUAUGAACCAAAUGAUCAAUGGAUAUAUAUAUAUAUAUACAAAGAACAAAUCAAUGACAUUCAUAGGUUCUAAUAGAGAACAUGACAGAGUAAAGGAAAUUGUACAUAAAAGAUGAAAUAAAAUUCAGAAAAUAAAUAUGUGCAAAUUAACCAUAGAGAAAAGUGAGAAAAUGAAGGAAUUUGGAUUACCUUAGACUUUGUUCAACUUCUCAAUCCAUUGAAUGGGUGAGAGAAAAUGAGAAAAAUUCAUUGAAGUUGCAUGAAGAGGCAAUAUGGGGAAAAAUCUUAGUUGCAAUAGAUGAGUGUAUACAAUAGAUGCGUGAAGGGGCUUGUGGUUUAGGGUGGAAUAAGGGGCUUUUGUAUUCACACCCUAAACCACAAGCCCUUUAUUCCACCAAGUAUGACUGUUGCAGCUGAAUUUUUAAAUUUGGGAGUGGAAUAACACUAAUUAGGAGUGAAAAUAUGUUCAAAUUUCAUCUUUGUGUUAAAUUACAUAUUUGUGUAUAAGAUCAUAUACAUAAAACAUACGUUUUUUUUCAUUUUUUUAAAUUAUGAAAUAAUACAAUAAAUAUUAUAAAAUACUUCUUUAAACAAUAAAUAUACAUAAAACAUGAUUGAUUUUCCAAAACAAUUGAAUCUACAUCCAAGUCAAUCCAAUAAAAAAUCUUCUUAUAAAAGGUACGUCUCUUAUCAAUUCAGACGACAACUUUUACCAUACAACUUUUACCAUAUUCUAUUGUUCGUUUUUUAUAUGAUUGAAAUGUUAUUAUCGUGAUUCAUUCUUAAUAAAAAUACGAUAAUUUUAAAUUUUUUUUUCAUUAUUGCACUUUACAAAUUAUUUUUUUAAACUUAUCAUAAAAUUUUAAAACAAAAAAAAAAUCUGUUUUUUCCUUUAUAUUACUUUUACCGUCCAUCUUUAUUCAUAAUUUUUGAUGUCUCGUUUAAAAGAGCAGACAGAGUCUGAAUCUUUUUGUUUUCAUAUAUGAAGUGGACUUUUAUACAUCAUAUAGUUAUAGUCGGCAAUGGGUAGGGACAGAGAAGUAGAUAUUUUAUGGGAAAUUAAGAUAAGGAAAUGCAUGAGGGGUUGGAAGCAUUUAAUCAGUGGCUGGAGAUUAUGUUACGUGGGUGUUAGUGUUACACACCAAUUCAAAUAUUUGCAGUUGGGUGCCACAUUGUACUGCAUGUCGGUCGGUUGAAGCCUCGCCACUCACCACUCUCAGCCGUCAAAACAUUUGAAAACAACUCCUGCUUUUGUCUUUUCACCUUUUUUGGCUUUCACGGCUGCUUCUCUCAAUCCUAUCCUUCCCCAAAUAUUCAAUUCAUAAUCAAUACACAUAACAAUAUCCAAAUAUUCAAAACAAACUAUUAUAUUUAUCUCACCAAGCCUAAACUUAAAACCAUUUUUAAUAAAUUCAAUCUUAUUAACGAGCAUAAUAUACAUAUUGAGUCUAAAUCCUUUAAAUUUAAAUUUUCAGGAAAAUUAAUUGUUCAAUAUAUCAGAAUUUGAUUUAAAGAGAGGUCUCAAUUUGACCAUCAUUUCUAUAAUUUACAUUUUUCCUAUAUGAUAUGAAUCUAAAUUGUAUUUGUCUUUUGAUAUUAAGGAGCAUGUCAUGCACAUUAAGCCUAAGUGAGUAUUUGGUAAAUUAACUUAAUAACUUAAAAUGAAUUAAUAACAUAAUUUAAAUUAUUAAAUAAAUUAAAUAUGUUUGAUAAAAUAAAUUAAUAAUAUGACUUAAAGUCAAAAACAACUUUAAGUAAUUACCUUCAUAAUCUCCUUUACUACUUUAUAACUUUCACUAUUACUUGACCCCUUUUACCCUAAUUAUAAUUUAUGAUAAUAAAUAUGUCAAUUUAAUAAUUUAAAAUAAGUUAUAAGUUAAUUUUAUCUAACAACAUUGAUACUUAAAGUAAGAAUAAAUAAUAAGUUCUAAAUCAAUAAUUUAAGUAUAAUUUAACUUAAAGUCAAUUUAAAUCAUUAAAUAAUAAAUAUUAAACUUUACCAAACAUUUAAAUCAAUUACUACACUUUUUCUAAGCCUUAAAUAUUUUCUUUAUCUUAGUUGUCCAAUCUCUUUCUUUUCUUAUUUCCCUUGUAAUUUUAUUACUUAAUAUAUAGAGAUGUCAAGUAAUUUAGUGAUUUUAAAGCAAAAUUAGAAUACGUUUGAUAGUGAUUAUAAAAAAUAUUUUUAACAUUUUUAAUAUUUUAAGAAUAAAAAUUUUUAAGUGUUACAGAUAUUAGAAACACUUUUAAAAUUACUGUCAAACGGACUCUUAAUUUAUCUUUAUGAAAAGUGUUAAUACUUCAAACAAAUUAAUCAUCUUUCAAUGUUUUACCAUUAAAAUGAAAAAAAAAAAAAAAAAAAAAAGCGGAGAGGAUAUGUGCUAAAUAUUCUAAGGAAAUGUGAGAUUGUUGUUAAUCAUAGUUGUAUGAUAAUGACAUGGCUCAAAGACUUUGAUCUUUGCCGACUUGCAAGUUGCCAACGCAUGGGCAAAGUGGAAGUGGAACUAUCACUACAUGAUAAAUAGCCAAUUAAAUAACCUUGUCUUGUAAGGAAGUCGGCAACCCACGUCGGCUACCUAGAACCACAAAUUCCGACAAUCUUGGUGUUUUUAGAUAAGGGGACUACUUACAUCAUUACAUUUUCAAAAGAAAAAAAAAAAAAAAAAGAGGUAGGGUGUCAUUAAUGAAUUUGAUGGUACCAUUAAUGUAGUGAUGUUUGUCAGGAGAAAUUAUGUGACCAUUGAGAUAAGGUCGUACCAUUUCAUAGUCACAUGCCAACCAUUGAUUGGCGAAGUCCAUAUCAUUACCAACUGCACCACUCACCUUGAAAAAGACUUGUGAUCGGCUUAAAAAAAUCAUUCUUCCAAAGAAAAAAGUUUACAAUUUCAAAAGUCUCUGAUUGUAGGGUAAGUGAUGCAGAAAAAGGAAAGGAGGUAAUGCAUGGGAGUUUCACGUGAAGAAGUAACCUUCCUUUUCUAUCAUGAACCAUUCACGAGGGAGACAAAGAGACUAGUUGGAGACAUCAUGUUAAGUUAUAGUACUAGUGUCUCUUCACAAAUCAACAGGGCUUACCCUCAUUUUCAGCAUGGACCCUUUGAACUAUCCAUGAUAAAGAGUGCGAUGAGAUAUUAGGCCAUGAUGUUGGUCCUCUAUAAUUAGGAUAAUCCCUUACAUUUCAACUCGAUGCACUUCAAAAAGGAGAUCCUACGAGAUUGGAUUCUAUUGGUUGGAGACCUUUUAACAGCAAUGAUGAAUAUCGGUUUUAACGGGUAUACCAGUGAAUAUUUUAAUAUAAAAUAGAAAUAUUUUAUUAAAAGAGAUUAAAUAAUUUUCAAAUUGUGAAUAUAAUUCUUCUUAUAUUUUUUCUUAAAAAAUAACCUAUUUUUUACAUAAUUGUCUUUUAUUAUUUCAAAUAUUUACAUAUAAGUUUUAAAAUACAUGGUUAUUUUUACAAAAAAAUAAUAAUAAUAAUAAUGAGACCAUUUUUGAUCAAAUGAGACCAAAAAAAGAUGGGAGAUAAAAUUUCAAAAUUUGGGUUUUCAAAGAUCCAUUUAAUCAAAUAACCCUAUUAAAUAUUAAUGAGGCGAAAAUUGAUGAAAACUUCUGGACAUGAGAAAAAUUCUAAAAAAUGAUGUAAGAAGUAAUAAUGAAUAUUUUGAAAUUGUUUUGUUGAAAAAAAAUGAUAUAUUUAAUAAUAAUAAUAAUAAUAGUAAUAAAUUUGUAAUAUCAAAAAAUAAUAUAUGAAUUUGAAACACAAUAACAUUAAAAUGAUAAUAUUUUUAGUUUAAUUAUAUUAAAUGAUAAAAAAUAAACAAUGAUAUUUAAAUAAGCAUUUUUUUAUUUAAAAGCAUUGAUAAUUUUAUUUAUGAAUUCAUAUUUUGUCAUAUAUAUAUAUAUAUAUAUAUAUAUAUAUAUAUAGGCUUAUCUACUAUAAAUCCAAAAACCAAGGUUUAACCUUUGGCCUUGCCUGUUUUUUUUUUUAUUAAAUGUAAGUAAAAGCAAGCUACCUUGCUAUCGGUUAACAUGUAUGUGGUGGUUGAACUUGAUCCAACUCUCAGCCCAUUAAACAAAACUAAAAAAUUUCAUAUAUGGGCUAGCUGGGCUUGGACCACAUCACUGAAACGGCAAAAUAUAUCUCCAAUAUUCCAUUGGCAUGCCCAUAAGUGGAGGACGCCCAAGAACGUAACCAUAAUUUGUGUGCACGUCAAUGUGAGUAGUGUUAAAAUCUUAAGUACUAAAUCUUUAACUAAAUUCUCUUAAUUUAGAUUAGUCAUAAUAGACACCUUUUUUUUUUUCAAAAGUUAUAUUUUGUUGCUAUGAUUUAUUCUAUUUAAGAGUUCAUUUUGAGCCGGUGGGGGAGCCAAUUAAGGUGGAGGCACAUGCCCCCCUCAAAUUUUUGGCAAAAAAGUAUGUGGUCAACUAAAUUUCAUUAAGUUCUGAUAAAGAGAAGUUGUUAUCCUGCUCAGAUUGGAAACGCAUGAAGAUCAGUAAGUGGCGCAAAUUAUUGUGAUUCAGCAUCAAAUCAAGCUAACACUGUACCAAGAAUUAUCCAAACAGGAAAAGAAGAUCAUAUGUGCAUGAAAAGGCAUGAUAAUGAAUAGGUUUUUUGAUAGGUUGAAAGUGCAUAACAAAUUACAAAAAAUAAGUCUCGAGGUUAGCUAGAAAUAGCCAACUUCUAAAGAAGCCUAUCUCUGGAAGUAUGCAAUAUGGUGGACUGAAGUUUUUUCUUCUCUUUGGGUGCAAUGCUGAACUGAACUGAAUAUCCAAUAAAUACAUAAAUAAAAUAAAAAGAAAAAAAGCAAUCCUCAUAGCAGUUCCUCUUUAAAACAUGAUGCUUCAAGGCUUGUGAGAUCUCCUCUUGAAGCCACAUAAGUUUGAAACAAUGCCAGUUCUCAGUCUUUCAAGGGUUCGAUCCUUUUAAUCCUUCCAUCUCUCAGGAAUGAUCUGAAGGAGGUACAAUCAUAUGAACAUAAACUUUGAUCUCCUUUCUUCAUCAGGAUGCAUUUCCAUGCUGGAUCUAAUUGUCACAAAAACUCAGCCUAAAAGGGAACUUUUCUCAAAUUAUCCUUGUGCUUCUUUUCCUUUCUGAGUACUUUACAACAAGGGAAAUUUCUAACAAAUGUCCUAUGGGGCCUUCACACCUUAAGUCAUUUCAGUCAUGGAUAAAAUUGCCACACUCGCAUUCCGUCUUUAUCAUGAGUUUGCAAAGCACAAAGGCGAUCAUACAUACCGAAACUGGAACAUAACCAACACCCACAUUCUGCAAAAUUACACACCAGAAGUAAAAGCUAAUAAAGAGACUGGCUAUCCCAUGGGAAGACAAAUAAAUCCAUCAUUUUCUGAUAAGGAAAUAAAAAUAUCAAAUUCCUGUCAAGAUAACAGGAAGUUCCGACCAACAAGAGUCCUAAUGAAACUAAAGAAGGCUCAAGGCCCAGCAGAAAUUACUUGCUUUUCAAAACCCUAUUUUAAGUUCUAUACAUAUACAUUCUAAUCCCAACUCAUACUAGACCUUGUAGCAUUUUGUUGUAAAUGAGCGAAUAACCGAAAUGAAUUUUACUCUACUCCAUUUGUUUUUGAAGUACCUAUCGUCAACUCUCACUAUCUAAUGUAAAACUUUAAGAGUAAUUUAUCUAAUUGGUUAGAUUUAAAAUAAUAGGAUCUCAAUCAUAGGAUCCCCUAUAGAUAUUUAUAUGGAUGUUGAUCCAUAUCAGACAUCAAAUGAUCCUGAUCUAUUUGAAAAUAGCUAUUAUUCGUUUACCAUUUAUCAUGUUUCUGCAUACCUAAAAUCUUUCAUUUAUGUUGAUGAGGAAGCCACAUGUUAUACCAUUUUCCACUAAAUAAAUAUCUGUUUAAUGAUGGAUGAGACUCUUGAUGGGACAGCAUGGGGUAGGAUGUGUCCCUUCUUAAAUUUGAUACCCCUAUAACAUGUGAAUUGCAAAAGCAUUUCAAAAAGGCUCUCAUAGUAAGUAGGUCAAGAUGAGUACUGAAUUGCAAAAGCAUUUCAAUCAAAUUAAACCUGUUAUGAGGUGUCUCAUUUAUUCUAUUUUAUCUUCUUUUUUAUGUUUUAAAUUACUUUUAAAUAUUUAUUAACCAUAAAGAUUAGGAUCUCAAAAAACUUACGCCCCAAUGCUUCAAGGUUUAUGGCUCACCUUAGGCUUUCGUCUUUAAAAACUUUGGAAGAAACCUAAUUUUGCUUUUGUCCACAUGCUUUCUUGCAACGAAGACUCAGUUUUCAGGAAUGUACAUUACAUGCUUAAUUUUUGCUAUGUUAAGUGGGCAUGAUCUCAUGUUAUAUAUUCAGAGUUGAACACUUUAAGUAAUGGCAUUAAAUCUGCUCAUAACUUUCAGUCUUAAAAAAAUGCAUAGCACUCAACCAUUCUAUUGAUGAACUUCAUCAUUUGAUUGGAAAUAAACUUAUGUCCUAUAUAAUAUUCUUUAUUUCUGUCAUUCUUCUCUUUUUUUGCUAAACACAGUUUCACUAGACAAGAAAGAAAAACCAAUUACCCAACAAAGCUGAGAAAAAUAAACAAUGAAUAUAUUCCUCCUAAAAGUUGCUUGUCCUUGAAAAUGGACCAAUUAAUUUUACACUUAACAUAGUUGGCAAGUAGGAAAAUGAACCAAGCUACAAUUUAAAUUUCAGAAACAAAGGAGAAAUGGAAUCUGUACGACAGUGGACCAUCAAGCAGUAACUAAGCUAACCAUACAUUCAAAUUUUAUAUAUCUAUUGAAAAAGGGAAAAAAAAAACACAUAUUCAAAUGAUAUUAACCAUUGAACCAAUUUCUUACACUUCUAAACAGCCCUGAACAUUUCACAACUUAAAAAAAUUUAAGAACACACACACAGAGAUCAGGCCUAAAACACAAUUUUCAUAACAGAGCAAAAUGUAAGUUUCCCAAAUUAAUUUCAUUAUUAUAAAACACAAACAAGCAGACAAUGGGAGAGCAAAUCAGAUUAUUUUGAAAAAGGAUGAAAUCAAAAGAAAUAUUAAAAGCAUUGAGAAACACAAAAAUCAAAGAAAAACGUCAUUAAUAAAAAUGAAAACACGGAAUUGAAACAAUGAGAUUACAUUUGAUUGAGCUGUUUGUUGACUUCUUCAACCUCUUCCAGAUCCAUAAGCAGUUGACACACAAUAGCACCAUAUGCAAUUGAUAAAAUUCUGCAUUCUACCCACAAGUUAAUUUCAGAAAUCACAGGUCAAAGGAAUCAGAAACCAUUUGUUAGAUUUAGGGGUUUUCUUUUUAAAAUUUUAUUUCAUACCCCUCAGUUUUCUCAGCAACCAAAUGUAGUGAAAUGAAAAUUGGAACGCAAAUGUGUGGGAUUCUUACCACACACUCUGUGCUAGCAAAGAUGGCACCUCCAGGUCUUAAAGCAGUGGAAGCCAUGGAAGAUUAUAUUGGAGUGAACUGUAAAAAUGGGGAUCUGAAGUGAACUGAGCUGGUGUUGCUUCAAUGUUUUGAUUGGUUUGAAGAGUUUGUGUAGCUUCUAUAUACAGGCAAUAUGGUUUAAUCACUGAAAAUGAAGGAAAGAAGAGUGUUAUUUAUAGUUUGCAAAAUAUCCUUUCUGAUUUGGGACUGUUAUUAAAUCUUAUAAAUGCUUAAUAUGAUUUUUCUUAUUGCCAAUAAAGAAAAAUGGUUUUUCAUUCAUAUCCUGUCAUGAAGCCAGAAACUUUGGGCCCAUUUGUUAAUCGCUCUCAAAAACAGAAAAACAUGUUUGGCAACUAGAAACACAGAACAUAAUUUUCUGUUUUUAAAAAAUAAAAAACAUGAUGUUUUCUAAUAACAUAUUUUUGUUGUUUGCACUUGUUUUUGAGUGUUGCAUCAAUACUAAAACAUGAGUGGCUCGAUAGUCAAAAAUUUAGUCGAGUCACAAGUCUCAAACAUAAUGUGAUUAAUAAUAACUUGUUAGUUAUGAUCUAUAGUUGAAAAUAUCCUCUCCUUUUUUAUAGGCAAAAGAAUAAUAUUAUUAACAACACAAACAAACACACACGCACACAAAAAAAAAAAAAAAAAAAAAACAAAAACACACACACACACACCAAAGUACAUAGGAAUAGUUGAAAAAAUAUCCUAUUAAACGAUAUGAUUACCCAUAAGUAAAAUUAGAUCCAAAGUCUAAUUAUGGGAAUAAAUUAAAUGUGAUUAAAUUUAUCAAGAAUUAAAUAAGAUAUGAUCUAAUAGAAGAAUAUAGUCAAUUAUAAAUUAGUCAUUAUUUGGUUAAAGACAAAAAACCUGUCUUCACAGUGUUUGGCAUUUUAAAGGUCUUCCUUUUCCUUUUUUUCAGGUAGGAGAUUUUAUUUAUUUUUUAAAUGGUUCUUCCAAGCUUCCAUUUACAAUGGGAUUCAUUGGUAGCAUGGUAGGUAUCAUUUAUGUUUCCAUGGUAAAAUCAAUGAAUUUCAAUCCAAGCUAAAUCUCUUUUAUAUGUAAUUGUAUAAGAUAAUGCUCCCAAAUAGCUAAUUCAAUAAAAAUUAUAACUUAUGAUGUAGUCCAAAAUGGAAUCCUAGAAAUCUAAACAAUAGCAUUGACAAGUUAAAAGCAUUCAAAGAGAAUCCCUAGCCCUUUGUUUGGUUUCCAAGGAAAUAGAACAACAACAAAAACAACGUCCUCACUCCUAUGUUAUCAAUCAUUUUCUGCUUCCAAAAAAAAAAGUGGGGGUGGGGGGGGAACCUCUCAGAUCAACAAAGCAAACAGUCAGUGUGAAUUUUGAGCAAAAGCGGCAUUUUCCCGUAUUCCAGAAUGAUCGCUGGUGAAAAUUUAAUUACUUUUUUCAUAUAAUCUGCAUCUAAAAAUAUAUUUUUAUACAACAAAACGUUCCCAAAAUAGCAAAGACUAUUAAUCUGACAGAAAAUUUCAGUCUAAUCCAAAAUGAAAUCCUAGAAUUCAGAAUUUCCCACAGUAGCAUUCCCAGUUUAUAAAGGACUCACAGUGACAUCCGACCCCUCUGCUUGGUUACUAAGAAAGCGAUGAAAAAUAAAAGAAAACCACAUUUUGAUUGCAAUGCUGUCUCCCACUCUCUUUGCUGCCAAAAAUCCAAAAAUAAAAACUCAGAUCAACUAAACCAGAGUCAUAUGAGUUUUAGGUAAGGGCACAAUUUUCCGUAUUCUCGAGCUCUAGACGAUGAAAAUUUUACGAUUCAUUGUUUUUUUUUUCUUUUCUUUUUUCAUUUUCUCAGCAUUUAAACGAAUGCAUUGAACCUAGAAUUCGCUUGAUUGAAUUGGGAAUAGCGAUUGAAACAGUACCUUAACUCAGAGAUCGACCCAAACGCGGCAUUUGGAGGAGGAAGGAUUGAAUGCCUUUGUGCAAACAGAGAUCGGACCUUCUUGUGCUGCGAGCAAACCCCAAAGCGGUAUAUCAUUCAAUUCACUCUUAAGAUUUUCAGUCCAUCAAUUUAAUUAGGUUUAAGUCCAUUUUCGGUUUCACAAAUUUGAUAAAUAAUUUAAUUUUAAAAUUUAUAUAGUUUAUAUUAAUUAAGCAUAUUAAAUUUAUAAUUAAUUAAGUGUCUUAAAAUAAUUUAAUUUGAUAUUAUCUCAAUUUUAUAUCAUUUUAUUUGUAAGAUCAAUACUUUCACUUCAUAAUAUUAUAUUUAAAUUCUAAAAUAUUUAAUUCAUAAUAAUGUAUCAUAAAUUUAUUUUUUUUAUCAAUUUUUUAUUUUUUAUAUACUCAUUAGAUAUGAUAUCUUAUAAUAUAUAGGAGCAUACAUAUCCAAUAAAAUAUGAUAUUCUUGGAUAUAUAUAUAUAUUGUAUCGUAUCCUAUCUCGUCAAUCAAACGCAGUAGUUAUGGCUAUAUUUGAUUAGUUGUAUAUAACAUGGAAGAAGGUAAAAGGGUGUUUGGUGCAUGAAAGUGGGAAUAAACAUCUCAUUCAUUCCCCUCGUUAUCAUAUUUGGAUAAAAUUUUAUGAAUAUAGGAAUAAAAUAAAAAUUGAUUUGGUAAAAAUCAAAUCCCACUUAUAAGUGAGAUUUUAAUUCAUUACAAGUUGAUAGGAUUAUGAUUUAUUCAUUCCAUAAGAAAAUAUAAAAUAGUACAAAAUUACUAUUUUAGCCUUAUAUUUCAUUCAUCAAACUCUUUUGUCUCUUCAUCUCGUAAUAAAAUUAUUAUUUUUAGUCUUAUUAUUUAGUAAUUAAAAAAAACUCUCAAAUUUUAUUUUUUUUAAAUUAAAUUAAAAAUCUUAUUUCAAACUAUAUGUAAUGGUAUUAUUAUCAUUUUAUUUAUUUUUUAUUCUCAUUCCUAUUAUUACCAAACAUGAAAAUAGAUAAUUUUAAAUUCUUGAGUUCAUUCAAACACUAAAAAUAGAAUCAUCAAAUAUAUUUCCAUUCACAAAAAAAUUAGGAAUGGAAACAAAGUAUUCAUUUUAAUUUUCUAUUCCUAUCUACCAAACACCGUAAGAGAGAACAUAUCAUAUAUUGUAUCUUGUCCUGAUUAAUAAUGAAAUAUGAUAAAUUAUUUCAUCACUUAUUUUGAUUAGCGAUGGAAUAUAUUCACUCUCUUUUUUAUUUUCCUUUUAUAUACUAUAUGGUAAUCCCAAAUUAAGACACAGUAUAUCUAUUUACCAGUGUGAAAUGAUAAGGACUAAAAUUGAAUGGUUAGAAUUUUCAAUAAAAAUUUAAAAUAAAUCAUAAAACCUUAUUGGAAUUUGUAAUUUCUAAUGAAGAAAUUAUUUUCAAAAUGAAUUGUUCCCUUAUCUUCUUCUUUUGUGGUCGAUGGAAUAAUUUAAUAGACAUGUCGUUUACCAUAGAUUCCCAUUGUGGUAUAUAUAUCGACAACCAUAUAACCUCACAACCAAGAUAUCCAUAGAAUAUGCCGUGAAGCAACUUGCAAUCAAUCAUGCAAUAACCUCACAAGUCACAAACUACAUAUCCACACCACAUGCCGAGAGACAACUUGCAAUCAAUCAUGCAAAUGUUAACAUCCUCUCUCUAUCAACACUUCUCCAUCAUAUGGAAUAUCACAAAUGAUUUCUUUGUUACUNNNNNNNNNNNNNNNNNNNNNNNNNNNNNNNNNNNNNNNNNNNNNNNNNNNNNNNNNNNNNNNNNNNNNNNNNNNNNNNNNNNNNNNNNNNNNNNNNNNNGUUACUGAACAAAUAACAAUAGAUGUGUAAUAACUUUUUAGAUGUUAAUUUCAAGUUCUUUAAUUUGCAGUAGUUAUAAAAAAAAAAACUUUAUUAUUUUGAUUUAAAAUAUGUUUUGGACUGAUUUUGGUUAAAAUGUCUUUUAUUUAUAGCACUUUUAUUUGUUGUAUUUUAAUUAAAAAUUGUUAAUUCAAGGAUACCCUAAAUGAAAUUUUGAUGAUAAUAAAUUAUGGUUUAAGUUUGUUAAUAGUUUAAAACCAAGUUAAAUGACGAGUCUUUAAUUUUAAAGUUUAUCAAAUAAAAUUAAUUUAAAAAUUAAAACAAGAAAUUAUUUAUUUUAUAAAUAAUUAUUUAAUAAAUUGAUAAUAAAUUUAUUUUUUAUAAAUUCAAGUUUUACAUAAAAUUGAUAAUAGUUUUUUUUUUAAUCCCAAAGUGAAAGAAACAAAAAGUAAUGUAGAAAGUUUAAAAAUCAAAAUAUCUAUUAUUUAUCUUAUAAAUAAGAAAAAUAAUAUAAAACUAAAUUAAUUUUUAUUUGGGAAUCCUCCCAAUUUCCCUAUGAUUUCCCUUUUUUUUUCUUACCUUAAAUUUUGUUUUUUUAAAAAGAAAAAAAAAAUUGUAUCUUCAAGUGACGAUUUUAAACUUUUUGGAAAUUUUUUAAAAAUGAUAAAAAAAAUUGUCUGAUUUAAUUAAUAAAUUUCUUUUUAAAGACCUUUUACAAAUGAUCUCUUUAAGAGUCAAUUUGCUUAUUAUUUUAUUUUAAAAAUAAAUUCUCUUUAAAAGACGAUUUUUACUAAAUUAUGGCAAAUUUUUAAACAUUUUUUCUACUAUAGUGGUAUAUAAAUUAUUUUUUUAAACUAUGGUACUCUUAUAAAAAAAUUCUCUAUGAUAGUUUCAAAUAAUCUUUAUAAGUCCUAUUUCUCUUAACAAAAAUAGGAAAUUGGAGACAUAGAUAAACACAUCUCAAAUUUCCAAUAUAGUAAAAUAAGUUGGUUUGAAGGAUUAAAUAAAUAAAAAAAUCUUUAUUAGUUUAAAUAUAAAAGAUGCAAUUAACUUUUUAUUAAUUAACUAUAAAAUAUCUAAUUAAUACUCUUUAUAUAAAUUAAAGUAUUAAUAUUAUACCCCGUUAUAAUUUUUUUAAGACAUUUUUAUUAUUAUUUUAUUAAUUAAAAAUUAAUGAAAUUAGACAAAUAAACACUUUACUUGGUUAUAGAUGAUUUUGCUUUUAAAAUUUUAUUAGAAAUCGAAUCAUUCAAGUAUAAUUUUUAAAAUAAAAUAUUUUUAAAAUAAGGAUUUUAUUUUGUGUAAUCUUUAUCUAUAAGGAAUGUUAUUUUGUUAAAAUAUUUAUUAAUUUAUGUGAUGUUUGUUUUUGGUUGAAUUGAAAAUGCCAAAAUAUUUGGUUUUCUAUAUUUAACUAAAAGUAACUUGUUGAUAUUAACCAACAUAAUUAAAAUAAGUUUGUUAUUAAUAAAUUCAAUUCAGUUAUAUUGAUUGAUAUCAAUAAAAUAUUUUUAACUGAAUAAAAAAAGUCAAAUAUUUUGACUUUUUCUAUUCAAUCAAAAAACAAGCAUCAUCGUAUAUUUUCUCUUAAAACAAAUUGCUUUUUAGAUUGAUAUUUUAUCAAUGAAAUGAUCUCAUUUUGCAUAUAUUUUCUAUACAACCUACUUUUUAAAAUUUGGAUGUUAUGGAAUGCUUGUUUGUGAUAAAAUCUCACAUAUUUUGUUUUUGGCAUAAAAUUUGGUUAUUAUAAGGAGCUCAAUAUAUCUUAGCCCUCCUUCAAAAUUUCUUCUAAUUUUUCGUUAUUUUCAUUAAAAAUCAAUAUAAACAUUUGAAAUUGAUUUCAUGGCACCAUGAUUACAUCAGAGAUGGGUUUCUUCAAAAAAACGGGUUUAGUGUUAAUUUAUUUAAGAAGUUACUACAUAUCCAAUGUGACAUGUUCCUAAUUAAAGACGUUAUUCGCAUAAAUGUUUGUAAAGGAUUAAGAGCGAAUGGUUAAAAAGAUAUUUUCAUUUGCAAUAUUGAUCACAAAUAACCCUAUCAAUGACAAUUUGUUACUAAUGAUAAUAGACAUUAGAAUUGUGCAACGUUAAAAUUAUAAAGACAUUGAUUAUACAGUGCCUUAAUAGGAAUUCAUAACAGAUAGCACAUCGUUAAAUUAUCAAAUCACAAGGAAGAAGAUGAGGUUUGAGAGUUUUGAAAUAUCAAAGAAUAAUAGCUUUUAUUAUUGGAAAAAGUGGUAUUUGAUUCACUAAUAUAAAAAUAUAUAGAAAAAAGAAUCUCAAAUUUUUUAAAUUUGUAUUAUCUUCAUCUACUUAAAAAUAAUUUGAAACAUAUGUAUUUUUUAAUGAGUUAUAUGAUUAUUCCCAAAAAUGCCUGUUUACUUGUCAUAUCAUCCAAAUUAAUUGACAAUUAAACUACUUCAUGUAAAUGUUUUUUUUUUUUUUUAUAAAAAAAAUAUAUUUUAUUAUUAUUAUUUUAUUUUAUUAUUUGAUAAUUUUUUUCUUUAGAAACAUUAUAAAGUAAGAAUUUAAAAAAAAUAGUUUAUUAUAGUAUUAAUAAGUUAAAAAUAAAUUCAUAUCCUUGAUAAUAAAUAAACUAAUAAUAAAUUUGUAUUUAUUAUAUAAUAUUAAUAAUUGUUUAAUAUAAUAGAGAAUAAAGCCAUGUCACUCAUCUUCAUGAUGUGCUCACGUACACCACUAUGACCAUCAUAUUUCAUUGUUAUCAUUUUGAUUAUAAGAGUACUUGCCAAGGACUUGGAAGUUCCUAAGAAUUGUUCUUCAACUGAUUUAAUAUAGUUCAUUGCAUUAUCUGAAUCCGGGAUUGCUCCACAAAUUGCAGGAGUGAUUGAACAUUUCAUAAUCAUUAGACUCAUGCGAUUAGAGCGCUCCCACUUUUCAUAUAAAGCCUUUUGUUCAUUAGUACUUUCGGAAGUAGGCUUUAUGGGUGUAGGCUCUCUUAAGGCAUAGUCUAAAUCCAUGCAACCAAAAACAAUUCCAAUUUGUUCCUUCCAUUUUUUAAAAUUUGCCCCACUUAAUUGUUCAAUACCAGACAAAUAGCCUGUAAUAGCAGUAGAAUUCAUUGCUGCAAAAUAAAAUUUAAUUCAAAAGAAAAAUUAUUUUAUAUCAUGACAAUAUUUAACACCACACUUUACAAUAAUCUAACUACAACAAAAAUUAAGUUAGAUAUCACAUUAAUCAUAAACAUAAGAGAUCAUAUCAUAGUUUUUUUCAUUGACCGAACUACAAUCAUAUAAUUCAAAAGUACAUUAUUAUAAUCCCUCUGUUUGGUUGAAUUAUAAUAAUUCAUAAAUCAUAUAGAUAUGACAUAAUUAUUAAAAUAAAAUAUUGGAAUGUAAAGAAGUUUAAUACCGUUGGGUAAAAACUUCAUCAACCUUUUAUUAUUAAACUUUUAUCAUAUAAUCAAACGUGGUGAUGAUCCUCCAUUGGGUUGAUCAACACUUGUUUCAUAAGUUAAACAACACACACACACAUAUAUAUGAUCAUCUUCAAACAAAAAAGUAAAUAAACAUGCAUACAAGUAAAUAAACAUGCAUACUAGAAAAUCUAUUGCUUGAGAUUUCCAUUAUCACACAUUUAAAUUACUAAUCAUAUUUUUUGCAACUUUCAUAAAAUCAUGCAAUAGAUAUAAUUGAAAUCAUGAAACAUUGAAAAUGUGUGUUACUACAUCAUUCAUAUGCAUCACAUCAUAUAUAUAUUAGUUGUCUAUAAGAUCAAACAAUAAUAAUAAAAAAAAAAAUGUUUUAUGAUCCAAAAUUGGUUGGCUCUGAUACCAAUUGUUAACCAAACUUUCAUAAACUUUAUGCGGAAAUAAUUAUUUUUGAAAACAAAUUUGGAUACAUAAAACAAAAUAAAUGGAAGCACUAAAAUAAUGAUCAUAUUCUUACCUUGAUCCAUGAAGUGAGAUUGAGUCACCUUGUGAAUUGUAUUGUCAAGGUCUUCAACUCACUACUCUCAUAUAGUGGAUGAGUCACUUGUGUGGUGUAUGUUGUUAAAAAUAAACAGCAAGAAAGAAAAAGACAUAAGAAUGAGAGUGUGGCUUGGGACCUCAAUUUAUAAUAAGUUGUACAUCUCUUAGUCUUUCCAUCAAAGACUAUAUGAGAGUUAUACUCAUUAUUUACACCCAUUAUGUACAAAUUAAUGGGUAAUGAUGGGUAAUGAACUUGAAUGCAUCUAUAUAAUUGCAUAGGUUAUACUUUUUCAUUUUCCUCCGUUACUCAUAAACGUAAUAUACAAAUAAAUUUCAUAAUGAUGGGGUUACAAAAGUUGUAACACCACAUCCAUAUGAGUUAAAUUUUCUAACUCCCCAUUUGUAAUUUAAGUCUUCCAUACAUAAGACUAUUGGAUGCCCAAUCAAUUGAUUCAGCUACCUAUCAAUUGAUACCCUUAAAUAAUAUUCAUAUAAAUAUAAUUAUAUAUGGUCACACAUUAUAGGAAAAAAGCUAACAGUACUUUGAUAUAUAGUAUAAAAAUAAAUAAAUAAAUAAUUAUUUUAUAUUAAAUAAAUUAAUCAUAAUUAAAAUAAUUAUAUAUUACUACAUUUGUUAUUUAUUAUUUAAUAAACAACUUUAUUACUUUUUGAAUUAGUAAUUAUGAUUAAAUAGGAUUUGGUUGAUAAUAUUUCCUCUUAAAAUUAUAGGAAAUAAAAAAAUAUUAAUCCUAUUUUAAUAGGAUUUUUUUGUAUAAUAUUUCCUAAACUUUUAAAAAACUAAAAUAAGAAUCCUUUGACGUGUUUGUUUAAAGAGAAAAAAAAAUCUCAAAUAAUUCAAUAAUAAUAAUAAUAAUAAUAAAUAUAAAUAUUUUUAUGAAGAGUCUAGUUGUCAAUUGAUUUGAAUGACAUGACAAGUAAAAAAAUAUUUUGUGAAAAUAAUUGGAUGUCUCAUUAAAAAAUACAUAUAUUUUAAAUUAUUUUUAAAUAGAUGAAAGAUAAAUUUAAAAAAAAUUUCCAAAUAAGGAGUGGUGGGUUUUUUUGCUUGUGAGGCCUUAGUAGCUAUCACACCCCUAAAGUUUACACUAAAUUUUUCACGAGUGCGUGGUGCUAAGGACCCUUCCUUAGCCAACCUUCCUUCACAACGUUUAGAAAAACAGAGUAAAAGCACAACAAUAGUAAAGUAACAUGGACACAAUGUUUACAGGAAACCUUUUCCCAACUUGUAUUAAUUCACUCUACAGGACAAAAUCGUUUUCCCCUGAACUAGAGUACAAUACUCACACCCAAGCAUUACGAGAAGGAACCUUUUCCCAAACUCUCUCUCUCUAUUUCAAGGCUGCAGGAGCCCUUUUAAAAGACUCAAGCUGUAGUUACGAAUUUGAAUUUCCAAAUUCAAAUGUUGGAGCCAAUAUGGUGGUUAUGCAACUGGCCAGAACCGCCCAUAAUUGCCUUGCAUAACCACCCACCACCCAGAUAGUGGCUUGCACAUGCCACCCACUUGCACCAUCCAUCAUCUCCUCAACCAACUGCUAGUCAAAUGACGGCUUGACUUGGUCACUUGCUAUUUGAGCUAGUUGCCAUUAGCAAGCCGCACUACCAUAUCCUCAAGCCUUGCUCGCCAAGCUGCUAGAGAGUCCCCCUAACAAGCUGCCUCCUUCCAUGCAAGGUGCCUCUUUUGAUCAGGUGCCCAUCAACAUGUCUUUGAUCAAGGUCUUUUAAGCCAAGUAGGGUGCACCAACCAGCUGACCAAGCGUCUGGUGCAUCAGUGUGCCUUCUCCACAUUGAUGUGUGAGCCUGUGCCAUGUCUAGGUGCCCAUGGCUUGGGGCUUGUUGCUUGCUUCCCCUGUUCGGUCCAGCUUCACAGCAACGAUCCAUGGCAUUGUGCCUAUGACUGAUUCCUCUUGGUGCAUAGGGCAUUGCGCCCCUGUGUUGUGCAUAGGCAUCAUGGUGUGAGUCAACUAUUGUUUGGUGCCAUCAGACCAUGGCAUUGUGCCCAUGGUUUCUUUAGCUGGCUCACCACAUAAGGCUUAGGUGCCCUCGUGCUUGUGCAGGGAGGGGGUACGCAGCACUAGGCCCCAUGUCGUUGCGGCCAUGGGGUGCACACCACACAUGUUGUGGAGCCCAUGUGUGCGUGCUCGAGUUGUGUCCGUGUGUCCUAGGCACGCCCUAGACCGUGCCAUGGUGCCCCUUUAGUGCGGUCAAGGCUUCCCUUGGUGCUCCCUCCUUUGAGUCACCUACCCCCCCUUAAAGAGCAAUACAUGUCGUUUUCAUUGUUUUUGGAGAAGACAUCAAUAUGCUUGAGGAGACAUAAUGGAAUAAUAAAUAAUUAUAAAUUAAAAUUCCAAAAGUCCCUCAGCCUUCAUCUGCACCACCUAAUUCAGGUGCGUGCACAAUGCCCAUCUGGUGCGCACGCGGUGCAUGUCUAGUUCACUUGCAGUGCGCGCGCGGUGCGCGUUUGGCCCACUCGUGGUGCGUGCAUGGUGCACGUCUGGCUCGCCCGCGGUGCGUGUCUGGCCCGUUAGCGGUGCGCGUCUGGCUCGCUCGCGGUGCGCGUUUGGACCGCUCGCAGUGCACGUCUGGACCGCUUGCGGUGCAUGUCUGGCCCGCUCGUAGUGUGGUGUGCAUCUGGCUCGCCUGUGGUGCGCGUCUGGCUCGCCCACGGUGCACACGCGGUGCAUGUCUGGCUCGCCCGUGGCCUCCUCACUUAGCCCCUGGAGUUUGAACCACCAAACCUCCAGGCUUUCUUUGCUUUUAGCCUAGGCUACCCAUGAGGCCUUUUCCUCCAUGGUUAAGUCAAGAGGCUAAGGGGUUGACAGUAGUCUUGUAUACCUCAUGUAUACCCCAUGUAUACUAUGUGACUUUUUGCCUCUUUUCUAUGAAUUCUGUGCUUACUUAUAAAAAAAAAAUAUUAAUUUAAAAAAAUUUUGAAGUUUUUUUUUUCUAUAUAUUUUCGUGAAUCAAUGCAUAUUUUUCCCUUUAUUUUUUUUAUUGCUUUAUAGGGGUGUAACUUAGUUAUUAAUUUGAAUUUUUUAUGUCUUAGUUUUUAGUUAAGAUUUUUAAUUAUUUUUUAAGGAUGUAUGAAUUAUUUUAUGGUUAAAAUUUAUUUAUUUUUAAAACUAUUUUACCUUUUUCUAUUUAUUAAAAUUAAAAUUUAUAUGUGAUUUUCAUUUACCUCAUAUAAUUUUUUAAUAAAAUAUAAAAGAAUUGAUUUCAAUUUCGUGCAUGACACGUCUUAUUUCACUAGUAUAUAUAUAAAUAUUUAAAACACCUUUUUCAACUUUUAGAAAAGUUAUGUUUGGUUCCCGAAAAAUAAUAAUGAAAGAAAAAAAAUGCAAAGGAAAAUGAUUUUUUUAUGUUUGGUUGUUCUAUGAAAAAUAUCAAAGAAAAUUAAUAUGAUUAAAACUAAUUAAAAACUUAUGUAUUUUUAAAUUAUUUAAUCUUUAUAUUGAUAAGUUAAAAUAAAUAAAAUGAGUUUGAAGUAACAAAAAAAAUAAUUUAUCAACUUUUAAUCUAUUUUUUUUAUUUUCCUCUGCUUUUCCUUUGUAUUUUCUUUCCCUUACAUUUUCCUUCAAAUUUUUUGGGAACCAAACAUAGCCAAAGAGAAAGUGUUAUUUAAUUAUAAAGAUGAAAUAUUUCCUAAUUUGAAAAAUUAAUUUUUUUUUUAUUUUUAUUAUAAAAAUAAUUAUUUUAAAUAAGAAUAUUCUCAUUUUUUUUAUAAAAAUAAAUUUUAAAUCAUCACAAUAUCAAAGAAUAUUUAUAUAAAAAUUAAAAAAUGGGGACAAUUAUUUUUACAAAUCUGGAAAUUUUCACCCUUUUUAAUUAAUUAAUUCAAAAAGAAAAAGUAUUAUAUAUAUAAAUUUUAUUAAGAAAAGAAAAAUAAAUUAAUAUAUGGAGAAGUCUGGGUGGUUGCAGACUUGCAGUUAACGGUUCUCUUUAAAAGGCACGGCGGCUGCGAGAUAUAACAUUUUAAAAAACAAUUCACUUUUUGAAAAAGAAAAAGAAACGGUGACGGAGUCGUUAGCCAGAGACAACUCCGUUACGCCGAGCGUCACACCUAACGUCCACCCACCCCCAUUUACCAAAGUAAUCUCCACUAAAUAUCCUACCCCACCGCCCCCACUUUAACGAACGGCCCAAAAUCACCCCCCCCCAAAUCCCACCCACAGAACACCACCGUGAUCGUACUCGCCAUGAAAACGUGUGGGACUUCUCCUCACCGCCUAGCACCCUCCGUCAUUAAAGUAGAGCCACGAGACAUCUAGAUGCCGUGGAGGAUAGGAUAAAGGACACGUGGCAUCACUCUAUUCGUUUAUCCUAAUCGGUUUCGUCACCGACUCGGCAACUGCGACUACAAAUAGACGCCCUCUCUUCACAGCCUCUCCAUUGUUGAUACCCUUUUGAAACUACCAGAAAACUCUCAUUGCCAUCCUUUGAAGCCUUAGAAUCUUUCUUUCAAGGUACCAUUCGGUUCUUCUUUGUUUCGUUUUUUAUGUUUUGUGUUUUCUGUUUUUUACAAUUCAUUGAGUACUUCAGAGAAAAUUUCUCCUUCCUUUUCCGAAAGAAUUUGGAUUUCUUUUGAUGUUUGUUUGUUUUCUUGUUUUCUUUAAGAGCUUCUUUUUAUGUGAAGAUUUAUGGUGCUAUUAUUGAUUGGUUUUGCGAAUUCGUAAGGAAAAUUUUCUCCGGUGUAAAUCGGUUUUGAAGGUUUUCCUAUUUGUUUUUCCCCAGAUCGGCUAUUGACGCCCUAAGAAAUUGUAGGGAAUUUGUGAUUUGGGCCUUUUUGAAUUCUUUGUUCCGAUCUGUCACAAUAUAUUGGCACUUUUAAGGGUUUUUACCUUAGAUCUGCAUAGAUCUGUAUUUUUUUCCUGAUCUUUGUGGUGUUUUAAUUGAAACAGAUGCAGAUCUUUGUUAAAACACUUACCGGAAAGACCAUAACCCUAGAGGUUGAGAGCUCCGACACGAUCGAUAAUGUCAAGGCCAAGAUCCAAGACAAAGAGGGCAUCCCACCGGAUCAGCAGAGGCUGAUAUUCGCCGGGAAACAGCUUGAAGACGGUCGAACACUGGCCGACUACAACAUCCAGAAGGAGUCCACCUUGCACUUAGUGCUUCGUCUCCGCGGUGGGAUGCAGAUAUUUGUGAAGACUCUUACAGGAAAGACCAUUACUUUGGAAGUCGAAAGCUCCGACACCAUCGACAAUGUUAAAGCCAAGAUCCAGGACAAGGAGGGUAUUCCACCGGACCAGCAGAGGCUGAUCUUUGCCGGCAAGCAGCUCGAAGAUGGGCGAACCCUUGCCGAUUACAAUAUCCAGAAAGAGUCAACUCUUCACUUGGUCCUCCGUCUCCGUGGAGGGAUGCAGAUUUUUGUGAAAACCCUCACCGGAAAGACCAUCACCCUGGAGGUCGAAAGCUCCGACACCAUUGACAACGUGAAGGCUAAGAUCCAGGACAAGGAGGGCAUUCCACCGGACCAGCAGAGGCUGAUCUUCGCUGGUAAGCAGCUGGAAGAUGGCCGAACCCUCGCUGACUACAACAUCCAGAAAGAGUCGACGCUGCACUUGGUGCUCCGUCUCCGUGGAGGAAUGCAGAUUUUUGUUAAAACUCUAACCGGAAAGACAAUUACUCUAGAGGUCGAAAGCUCCGACACCAUUGACAACGUGAAAGCUAAGAUCCAGGAUAAGGAGGGCAUUCCACCGGACCAGCAGAGGCUGAUUUUCGCGGGGAAGCAGCUGGAAGACGGCCGAACUCUCGCGGAUUACAACAUUCAGAAAGAGUCAACCCUCCACUUGGUGCUUCGUCUGCGUGGUGGUAUGCAAAUCUUCGUGAAGACUCUGACUGGGAAGACCAUCACGCUGGAGGUGGAGAGUUCCGACACCAUUGAUAAUGUGAAAGCAAAGAUUCAGGACAAGGAAGGGAUCCCACCGGAUCAGCAGAGAUUGAUCUUCGCUGGGAAGCAGCUGGAAGAUGGGAGGACCCUGGCGGACUACAACAUCCAGAAGGAGUCCACCCUCCAUCUUGUCCUCCGCCUCCGUGGUGGCUUUUAAGUAUUUCAAUGGUCAGUUGGCCCUACCUAUGUGGUUCGUCUGUGGUGUCUGGUGGUUUUGUGGGUCUCAGCCAUGGGAAAUUGGCUUUUGAAGUUUGGAAAACUAUCUAAACUAUCUACUAAAUAAAGAACGUGUUUUGGAUAUUGUGUAUAUGGUUUGAAGAUGACUAUGUCUUUAAGGUCUCUAAUGAGGCCAUAACCAGUUUCUUUGCUAUUAAAUAAAAUUGGUGUGCUUCUAAUAGUAUAUACGUGACCUGUUUGCUUUUGGUUUGUCUUUGCUUUGAAUUGGGUGACAUUGAUUUGUGGAGCUCUCUGAAUGAAUUGGGUGAUAUUGGUUUGUGAAGCUCCUGCAUGUUUUUUUUUUUGAAUGAAUGAAUCCUAGAAUCAAUAUUUUGGUACAGUUCAUUGUCUGGAUGUUUGUUGGAAUUGCUGUGAAAUCUCGCAUAUUUUGAUCAUGGAUUUUUAGUUAAUUGCCAGUCUUUUGAGUUCUUUUGACGGUGCAUUGCAAAGGAAGUAGACCUUGAAUAACAUUCCCAGAACCGAGGUCCUUGGAUGCCCAACAAACUCGACUUGGGCAGCCUGGGCUUUUGCCUAAUUCCAGUGGCAAGGAAGUAUUAUUAUUUAUACUUGAUAAUUUUUUUCGUACCCCCUUCAGUUUAAUUUUGGGUUUCAAGUGAUCCCCCUUUUCGCCAUCCCCUUCUGUCCAGAGUAGGAUUUCCCCAUUUUUCCUUUACUUCCUCCUAGAGCUCUUAAACCUGUUGCUGAAGAAGAUAAAAGUAGAACGAAAGAACAGUUCUAGAAUACAUUUAUGUCUGACGGUAGUGGUGUGAGCAGCGAGCUUAACGAAAGAGAGAUCCUGGUGUCUGAUCCACAGAUUAGUGAGGUUUCCUGGUGUCUGAUCCGCUGCUGCUGGACUAUCUGCUCCAUACCCGUGCAUCGACACUUGGUGCCCUGCUUCUCCAUUUGGUCACAGUACGGCUUCGGUUGCUGUGCCGGACCCAACUGCAGGUCAAGCGAGAUGGCCUUCAAGUACUUCUCGCAGUGGGUGAGCUUCUGUCGCUUGAUCUGCUUCUUACACUUCUGUUGCUUUGAAUUGUAUCCCACUGCCGAUGAUGGUGGAGUGGGGUGAUAAGAACCAGGGCUGCCAAAAGAGCUCCUACAUAGAACUACGAGUUUUGCCGUCUUGCCAUUGAUCUUCUCUUUGGGUGAUGGUGUGAUUGUGGUGACGGGUACUAAUUAUGAGAGGCUUUAGGGAUUGCAUGUGAUGAACGUGUAAGUAAGAUUGUGAGGGUAGGUUUUGGGCUUGAAAGAAGAAGAAUAGGAGGGAGGGUGACGAAGAAGAUACGGAUGCCUCAACACUACUGGAACUAGGAAACCUCAGUUUUCUUUUAAGUGACCCGUCUAUUAUGGUUGUGCUAUGAAAAUACCCUCAAUACAUAUAUGGAUUCUAAUUCCAUGGCACUUGUAUUAUGUGUUAGAAAAAUAGGUCUCAAGGAACGGGAGUAACUAAAUGGACCAAGCCAACAAUUAAAAAAUAAAAAAUAAAAAAUUAAAAAGUAAUAAUAAUAAAUAAAUAAAUAAAUAAAAAAUAUGGGAAGAGAAAUAUUUGAAUUAGGACACUUACUGGGUUGCACCUAAGUGCAAUAGUCACCAUCUUUAAAGUAGAUCCGCCCUUAUCUCUAGGAUGCAAUAGCCAAUAGUCACCAUCUUGGUGCACACCUUAACGCCCUUCAUCGCUUGGAUGCAAUAGCCAAUAGUCAGCAUCUUUAAAGUAGUAGCCAAUAGUUGCUUUAGGCGCAAGGAAUAGUACAAUUUGAAAAGAAUGUAAUAGUAAUGCUACAAUGAGAAGGAUGUAAUAGAAUUAAUUUAUUUUGAUAGGACGUUCAUCACACCCGCAAUCUCUUCAAAAUGACCUUAGGCAUCAUAGGCACAUGAGAUUUCUUAUUUCUUCUUAAGCUUAUGAGGUUAAGUAAAGUAGUUAGUAUAUAUACCUAUUAAAAGUGUCUAUUCCUUUCGAUUGAUAUUUUUCUUUAUUUUUCACUUUAAAACACACACUCUCCCUUUCUCUCUCUCUCUCUCUCUCACACACACACACACGAGCACACAUGCAUACACGCGCUUGCACGCGUGCGCACACACGCGUGCGCACACACAUACACACACUCUAUCAUCAUGUUUCUCAUUAUUCUUUAUUUUAUCAACAACCAAAUAAAACAUUAAACCUUAAGAGUACACACACACAAAUGCACGCACGCGUGCACACAUACACACUUUACCAACAUUAUGUUUCCCAUUAUUUCUUCCUUUAUCAACAACCAAAUAGAAGGCUAAAUCUUAGAGUUCAAUUACUUGGAUUCUCCAUGAUUUUUUUGCUUACAAUUAUAUAUCAUCAUUGUCUUCAUGUCCAAAAUGAAUGAAUGGGAAAAUAGUCGCUUUCUUGAUCUCUUCCUUAGAUAGUGCUAUGGAUCCUUAGUGAAUCACCUAGACAAACAUGUAGUUACUCAAGGUAACAAUAAUUUAUUAAAGAGACUUGGCUACAAAGCCAAAACCUAAUUUAAUAACAAGAAAUAUUUGUUUAAUUAUGAGAUAAUUUCAACCUUAACAUUAAUUUCAAUUUAAUUAUCAUUGGAUGCAAAAAAAAAAAAAUGGAAAAUUCAACAUUAUAGUAAAAUGAAUACUCUUUUGGAAUUUUUUUUAAUUAAUUUGUAAUAUGGCAUGAUAAAUUGUUAUAGAGAGAGUAAUUCAAAUAAAUUAGAUAUGCUUGUUUAAUCUUAUUUUAGAAAACUCUCUUUUUAAGUUUUAAUGAUGUAUAACUCUUCUAUUAAAUUUUAACUUUUUAUUGUUAAAAGAGACUCGUAACGAAGUGGUCUAUAUACGUAUUUCUAGAUAAUAUAAACUAAUUUUUAAAACUAAUAAAAAAUUGAUAUUAUUGUAAAAUUAUAAAGUGAAAGGAGAAGAAAACAAAUAGAUUUUCAUUAGAGGUAUCUCUCUUUUAUAGAGAGUUACAAAGAGAUAUACAUCAAUAUGGAUGAUCAUCCACAAGUUCCCAUAAUCCGAUAAAUUCACAUAUUUUCUAACACUCCCCCUUGGAUGAUCAUAAGAAUAUGGUAACUGCCUCAUUAAAAACCUUACCAAUAAAACUCAGUAAGGCAAAACUUGGACGAAGGAAAAAAGAGUGCAAUAUAUCCAUAUUAACAUUCUCCCCCUCAUGUAAACAUGAUUAUGAUUUCUUCAACAUUUCAAAUGGUAAAUCUCUCAAUCUUCUCAUUCCAAUGUUAUAUCUUAACUUUUUCAAUGUGGUCGAAGGUAACGCCUUUGCGAAUAGAUCUGCUAGAUUAUUGCAUGAUUGAAUUUGUUGAACAUCAAUCUCACAUUUCUUUUGGAGCUCAUGAGUAUAGAAGAAUUUAGGGGAGAUAUGCUUAGUUCUGUCACCUUUUAUGAAUCCUUCUUUAAUUUGUGCAAUACAAGCAACAUUAUCUUCAUAUAACACAGUUGCAUUGCCUCUUAUGGAAGGUAGUCCAUAUGUUUCUUGUAUAUGUUGGAUCAUUGACCUUGGCCAUAUACAUUCACGACUUGCUUUAUGCAUUACAAGAAUUUAUGAAUGAUUUGAAGAUGUGACUACCAUUGUUUGCUUGACUGAUCUCCAAGAUAUUGUCAUUUCACCAUAAGUAAAGACAUAUCCUGUUUGAGAUUGAGCUUUAUGAGAAUUUGAAAUAUAUUCUGCAUCUGCAUACCCAAUCAAUUGUGAUUUUGAUUCUUUUGAAUAAUAUAAACCCAUGUCACUUAUUCCACGAAGGUAUUGCAAUAUAUGUUUAAUCCCAUUCCAAUGCCUUUUAGUUGGGGUAGAACUGUAUCUUGCUAGUAAGUUGAUAGAGAAUGCUAUGUCUGGUCUAGUAUAAUUUGCAAGAUACAUUAGUGCACCGAUUGCAUUGAGAUAUGGUACUUCUGGACCAAACAAUUCUUUAUUUUCUUCUUUAGGAUGAAAUGGGUCUUUGUUCACUUCAAGUGAACGAACAACCAUAGGGGAAUUGACUGGAUGUGAUUUGUCCAUAUAAAAUCAUUUUAAUACUUUCUCUAAAUGUGUUGAUUGAUGAACUAAUAUGCCAUUUGAACAAUGCUUGAUUUGUAGGCCGAGGUAAUAUCUUGUUUUCCCAAGUCUUUCAUUUCAAAUUCCUUCUUUAAAUAAUUGGUUGCUUUUGUGAGCUUUUCAAGAGUUCCUAUAAGGUUUAAAUCAUUCACAUACACUGCAAUUAUUGUAAGCCCAAAUUUUGAUUUCUUGAUAAAAACACAUGGGCAAAUUGAAUUAUUCACAUAUCAUUUUUUUUAAUAAAUACUCACUCAAACGAUUAUACCACAUACAUCCGAAUUGCUUUAAUUCGUACAAAGAUCUUUGCAGUUUGAUUAAGUACAUGUUUCGAGGUUUUGGAUUAGUUGUUUCAGGCAAUUUGAAUCCUUCAAGGAUUUUCAUAUAUAUGUCAGUAUUUAUAGACCCAUAUAAAUAGGCUGUAAUAACAUCCAUAAGACAUAUAUCUAGUUCUUCAUAGACGGUUAAACUUAUCAAGUAUCGAAGUGUGAUUGCAUCCAUUAUAGGGGAAUAAGUUUCCUCAUAGUCUAUACCAGGUCUUUGAGAGAAACCUUGAGCAACAAGUCGUGUUUUAUAUCUUAUGAUUUCAUCAUUCUCAUUUCGUUUUUUUCACAAUGACCCAUUUAUAUCCAACAGACUUUAUGUUUCCAGGUGUUUGAACUACAUGUCCAAAUACCUCUUGUUUUGUUAACGAGUUUAGCUCUAUUUGGAUUGCUUCUUUCUAUUUUGGCCAAUCAUUCAUUUUUUGACAUUCAUUCAUAGUUUAUGGUUCUUGAUAUUCAUCAUUUCUCAAGAUGUCCAUAGCCACUUGGAAUGUAAAUAUAUUAUCUAUGAUAAUAUCGCUACAAUCCUUUGUUUCUCCUGUGUGAUUCAUUGAGAUCUCUUCAGUUCUAGACACCGAUAUUUGAUCAAUUUGUGUCUCUUCAAGAGCUAACUGUUUGUCAAGUUGGGUUUCAUCAUUUGACCCUUUCAUAUUUGGGAACUCUUUAGGAGUACUAAGUUUUUCAUAUGUUGUUCAUCUUUUUUCUAGGAAUUAAAUCUUUUGAGCCAAUAGGUCUACCACGCUUCAGGCGUGUCUUAGAUUCAUUUGCUAUGACAUUCUCCAAUUGUCCUUUAGGGACACCAAUAUGUGCUGGGGCAUUCAUAGUUGGCACAUGUGACUUUGUUACUUUCUUUAUAUUUGUGAAAACAUCAGAUAAUUGAUUUGCAAGUCCUUGCAAAUGAACAAUCCUUUGAAUUUCUAACUCACAUUGUCUUGUGCAAGGAUCAAGAUGAGACAAGGAGGGUACCUACCAUGUAAUGUCUCGACAUUCUUUUGACUUGUCUCCCUUUAAUGGUUGGAAAACAUUUUCAUCAAAAUGACAAUAUGCAAAGUGGGUAGUAAAAACAUCACUUGUGACUGGUUCAAGAUAACGGAUAAUAGAGGGGGAAUUAAAACCAACAUAUAUACCAAAUCGACAUUGAAGUGGAGCUAUGGGAACAUAGACAACACAACCAAAAAUACGAAAGUGUGAAACAUUUGGUUGGGAGCCUAAAACAAGUUGUAAAUGUGAGCAAUCAUGAUUAGUUGUAUGGCAAAUUCGAAUUAAAGUGGCAACAUGAAGAAUAGCAUGCCCCCAAGCAGACAAGGGCAAUUUUGUUCUCAAGAGUAAUGGUCUUGCAAUCAAUUGUAAACGCUUAAUUAGAGAUUCAGCUAAUCCAUUCUGAGUAUGGGUAUGAGCAACAAGAUAUUCAACAUAAAUACCAACCGACAUACAAUAAUCAAGAAAUGUUUGAGAGAAAAAUUCACCAGCAUUAUCAAGACGAAUUGUCUUAAUAGGAUGAUCAAGGUAUUGUGUCUUGAGUCGAAUUAUUUGAGUAAGUAACUUGGCAAAGGCAAUAUUUCUAGUUGAAAGAAGACAAACAUGAGACUAAUGAGUUGAUGCAUAAAUUAAAACCAUAAAAUAACGAAAAGGUCCACUAGGUGGAUGAAUAGGUCCACAAAUAUCACCUUGAAUGUGUUCUAGAAAGGCUGGUGAUUCAUAUUCAACCUUGGUGAAUGUUGGUUUAAUAAUUAAUUUGCCUUGUCAGCAAGCAACACAAUUGUAAUCAUUGGGCAUCAGAAUCUUCCGGUUCUUCAAGGGAUGCCCUAAAGAAUUGUUGAUGAUACAACACAUUAUGGAUAAUCCUGGAUGACCAAGAUGUUCAUGCCAUAUCAUAAAAGUUUUUAAGUCACAUAACUUUUGAUUCAUGACAGCAUAUGUGUAGACCCUCAAUUUUGUCCUCCUAGCACAUGCUCUAUUAAGUAUUUGUUCGGUACUUUAUGUCAAUUCCCUGGUGGCCCAUUACUACUCAUGUAGUCUAUCUUUUCUAAGCCACCUUAAGGACUUUGUUUGAGAGAUUUAUCUAACCCUGUUGUGACUCUUGGCAGCCCUAAUUUAGACUUAGGCCCACUUAGGCACCUUAAACCCAUUUAAAUACACUUGGCCCAUUAGGCAUUACCCUAGGUCCAUUUAGAUGCACUUGACACCUUCUAGCUUGCACACAUUCACCCUAGGUUACUUAGACAAUCUUUCAGAAUAUGUCACUUGGACACUUCUUUUGGCAUAGCCCACUUAGGCGUGUUCUUGAUUUUGGUUACUUCAUUUUCCGAGAUAGGAUGAGUAUUGGCUUGACUAUUUAUUGCAUGAAAUGAAUUUUUAUUUUUUAUUUUUGAGGGUUUGAGUUUGACAUUUAAAUUAUUAUAAUCCGUUGCAUUACUUUAAUUUCUUGAUUUUUUCUAAUUGCAUACGUCUGAUAUUUAUUUUUAUACCCUUAUCAAUUUAUUUGUUUAUUUACUCACUUACUCACUUAUUCAUUUAUUCUUUAAUUCCAUGAAUUGACAUUUUGGAUUUUUGUGGCUAUGUGAUUUGAUUUUCUAUUUGAUUUUAUUCUAUUUCUAAUUACAUGAUUUCUUAUUUUAACUUUAUUUUUAAUUUUGCAUGAGAUUUGGAGCCAUCAAGGAGAGGAGAUCACGGCCAAACAGGGAAACUUGGAAGGAAUCCAGGCUGCAUAUAGAAAGUGGGCAGAUCACGGCUUUUAGAAGGAAUACGGGCUGCAUAUGAUUUGGUUGAAGAAAGAAUCCGGGCUGCAUAUAGAAAGUGGGUAGAUCACGACUGAGGUACAUCCAGGAGCAUAUGGAAAGAAGAUUAAAGGGGAUUUGAUCACUUACCAAACAAGAUACAGCUGCAUCCUUGGGGAAAUCUCCAAGUGAGCCACACAUAAUGGACUUCCCAUAUCCACGCGCACGUAGGAAAAAAUGGAAAUAAGAUAUUCCAUAAGGAGUGGAUUGCCUUAUAAAUAAAAGAGAGAAUCCAAGCAUAAAUGAUUUUUUUUUUUCGGAGGGGAAGAGACAAAAAGAAUUUUCACACGGAGACUUUUCUUUUGGAGGACAGAGAGCAAUUCUUUUAAGAGGACGCGUGAAGAACUACGCUUUCAAAUUUAUCUUGGAUUUCGUUUUGAUUCAUCCUUUUAGACUUGAGUGUUUUAAUGAUUUUAGUUCUUUGGUUUAAUUAAUCCUAUAUAAUAAAUUUCUUGUUUUAAUUUCGAUCUAGUUUUAAUUUAUUUUUCUUUUUUAGUUUGGACAUGUUUGUGGUUUUAAUUCUUUAGUUUAAUUUAUCCCAUUAGAUAAAGUUCCAUUUUUUUUUAUUCCAAUUCGAUUUAGUUUUAAUUUAUCUUUUAUGUUUAGAUGUGUUUGUAGUUUUCUUUAAUUUAAUUGUUUCUAUUAUAAAAGUCCUUAUUUUUAAUUUUGAUUUUAAUAUAUGUUUUAUGUUUAUAUGUGUUUGUGAUAUUAAUUCAUUAGUUUAAUUGUUCAUAUUAGAAAAGUUCUUAUUUUUAAUUUUAAUUUAGUUCAAUUUUAAUCUAUCCUAUAUGUUUGUGAUUUUAAUUCGUUAGUUUAAUUAUUCCUAUUAGAAAAGUUCUUAUUUUUAAUUUCAAUUUAGUUCGAUUUUAAUCUAUCCUAUAUAUUUUUGUGAUUUUAAUUUGUUAGUUUAAUUAUUCAUAUUAGAAAAGUUCUUAUUUUUAAUUUCAAUUUAGUUCAAUUUUAAUAUAUCCUAUAUGUUUAGAUGUGUUUGAGAUGUUAAUUUAUUAGUUUAAGUAUUCUUGAUAGAUAAAGUUCAUAUUUUUAAAAUCCCAAAUUAGUUUAAUUUUAAUUUAGCUAUCAGUUUAAAUAUGUUUGUGAUUUUAAUUCCUUAGUUUAAGUAAUUUGCAAGAUAAAGUUUAUUUGUUUAAUUCCGGAUUAAUUUAGUUUUAGUUUAUAAUUUAAUUUGAAUGCGUUAAUGAUUUUAAUUCCUUAGUUUAAAUAAGUUGUGAGAUAAAGUUUACUUUUUUUAAUUUCAGAUUAACUUAGUUUUAGUUUAUGAUUUAACUUGAAUGUGUUAGUGAUUCUAAUUAGUUUGAUUUUAAUUUGUUUUUAGUUUAAAUGAUCAUGCUAAAUAAAGUUUGUGUUUUUAAUUCUAAUUAUUUUAAUUUUAAUUCGUUUUUAACUUAAAGGCAUUCGUGGAUUUUAAUUCUUUAGUUUAAAUGAUUGCAUCAAAUAAAGUUUGAGUUUUUAAUAUUCCAAUAAUUUUAUUAAGUAGAAUUUAAUUUCAAUUUAGUUUGAUUUUAAUUUAUUUUAUAAUCUGAAUGCGUUCAUGAUUUUAAUUUAAUUGUUUGAUUAACCCUCUUAGACAAAUUCUAUAUUUUUAAUUUCGAUCUUAGUCUAAUUUUAUUUUGUUAAUUUAUUUAUUUGCUUUAGUUUAAAUAUAUUUGUGAUUUCAAUUUGAUAGUUUAGCUAAUCUUAUUAGAUGAUGAUGAUGUCCUUACUUUAAUCUAAUAUUAAUUAUUUUUAGUAUUGAAUGUGUUUGUGUGUUUUUUAUUUCAUUAAUUUGAAUUUAAUCCGUUUAUAUCCAAUUUUGUAGUUGAUUAUAAUUUUGUUUAAUUAAUUAAGUCAAUCACGCGUAAUUAUUUUCAUGUUUUAAGUAUGGUAAUUUUGGCUUUGAUCUAUUGACAUUUAGUACGAGCUUUAGGAAUUUUAGAUAAUCAAUCCAGUUAAUUGCAUGUCAUUGUUUUCAUACCUUCAAGAUUGUUGAACUUUGGUCUUUGAUUCAUCAUAUUUUGUUAAAAUGUUAAUUUACCUUAAUUGAUUCCAUAUUAUUAUCUCCAUAUGCUAAGUUUGUUGGCUUUAAUCUUUGAUUGGUUAUUUUUAUUUUAAUUCAUGUGUCUCUUGAAAUCUAAAUGUUAGUCUUGGGUAAUAUUUUGUUAGUUUGUUUGAUUAGGAAGUCAUAAAUUUGAUGUCUUAGUGAUUGUUAGUUAAAUUCUUAUUUUUUGGAGGUCACUGGAAACUCAUGAAGGUUGAUCUUACCCCUCACCACUUUAAUUGACUUGAUUUUCUAAAUCUUUAUUUUGUGAUUUUCAUUUUCUUUUGUUUUGAUUGGUAUUUUGUUUUCUAUGUUUUAUUAUUUUAAAAAUUAAUUCAUUUUAUUUUAAAAUCAAAACUUUUUUCUCCGAAGACCCCUUUAAAAAAUUCUAUUUUUUUAAAAAAAAAUCAUUUAGAGUUCUUGGAAUCAGAAUCUCAUUUUCUUAAAAUAAUAUGCAACCAUUUUUUUUUAUCAGUUUGCAUCUUUCUUGGUUUUUAACAAAAAUUUUGGUUUUAAAUCAAACACAAAUCCAAGCUUGUGGUCCCACAUAAAUGAGAUAAUUCCAGGUUAGAUUUGUGUAUAUCAAUUGGGGAAUUGGUGAAACCCCCACAUGAAAAAAAAUCUUUUUUAAAAAUUCUUUCUUUACUACCACAUUUGCUGCUUAUUGAAAUCGUGUUUAUUUUUUUUUAAGCAUUCUAUACAAGACAUGUGUGAUGAUUGGUAAUUUAGUGUACUUCGAUCAUUUUUUAUUUAUUAAUUAGAUGUGCAUGUUAGGAUUUUUUUUGCUUUAUUAUUUAUUAUCUAACCUUUCCCUAUCAUACGGAGGCAUGUUAUGAGUUAUAUAUAUGUUAUCUAGGUACGUUCCCUAAUACCCACUUUCUAAACCCUGUGAAUAUGAUUGUCAUUGCGUACUUUGCCCAUGCUUGCUAUCCUGUUUGAUUGCCUUGAUAUAUAUUUGAUGCUUGUUUGAUUAUCUUUCACAAAAACACAUGUUGUGAUAUAUUUCUGUACUAACUUUUAUGUUUCAUGAUAGCGCUUGAGAAGCCAUUUAGGUACGCACUUUGAUUAUCUCUUAUGAUUAGGCUUUCUUAUUUGACAUGCUAUUUUUUGAAAUCACCUAGCCUAUCUAGGUAUUCAUGAUCAACCAUUUAAUUGUCACGUUUCCCUCAACUUAGUAAGUAGAGACCUCUUUAGGCUACCUCCUAGAGGUACCUUCCCAGUAAGUAACCUGAUCCCCGGACCUAGACUCCGGUUUUGUCAAAGACAUGAUUUUUUCCAAAAAUUAUGGAGUCACAUUUUAGGGUUUUUCUUUUUUGUUUUAUUUUCCCUUUAAAAUAAAAAUAAAAUAAGUGGCGACUCCAACUUUUUCCAAAAUUAAUUUUUUACAAAUAGAAAAGCAAGUCUCGCCGAUCGAGUGGGGGCGCACGUUAAAAAUGCGGGUCCACAAAUUAUUUUGUUACAAAACCAAGAAAAAUGCAAACCGAUAAAAAAAAAAUGGUUGCAUGUUAUUUUAAGAAAAUGAGAUUCUGAUUCCAAGAACUCUAAAUGAAUUUUUUAAAAAAAUAGAAUUUUUUAAAGGGGUCUUUAGAGAAAAAAGUUUCGAUUUUAAAAUAAAAGGAAUUAAUUUUUAAAAUAAUAAAACAUAGAAAACAAAAUACCAAUCAAAACAAAAGAAAACGAAAAUCACAAAAUAAAGAUUUAGAAAAUCAUGUCAAUUAAAGUGGUGAGGGGUAAGACCAACCUUCAUGAGUUUCCAUGACCUUCAAAAAUAAGAAUUUAACUAACAAUCACUAAGGCAUCAAAUUUAUGACUUCCUAAUCAAACAAACUAACAAAAUAUUACCCAAGACUAAUAUUUAGAUUUCAAGAGGCACAUGAAUUAAAAUAAAAAUACCAAUAAAAGAUUAAAGCCAACAAACUUAGCAUAUGGAGAUAAUAAUAUGGAAUCAAUUAAGGUAAAUUAGCAUUUUAACAAAAUAUGAUGAAUCAAAGACCAAAGUUAAACAAUCUUGAAGGUAUGAAAAAAAUGACAUGCAAUUAACUGGAUUGAUUAUCUAAAAUUUCUAAAGCUCAUACUAAAUGUCAAUAGAUCAAAGCCAGAAUUACCAUACUUAAAACAUGAAAAUAAUUACGCGUGAUUGACUUAAUUAAUUAAACAAAAUUAUAAUCAACUGCAAAAUUGGAUAUAAACGGAUUAAAUUCAAAGUUAAUGAAAUAAAAAACACACAAACACAUUCAAUACUAAAAAUAAUUAAUACUAGAUUAAAUUAAGGGCAUCAUCAUCAUCUAAUAAGAUUGGUUAAACUAUCAAAUUGAAAUCACAAAUAUAUUUAAACUAAAGCAAAUAAAUAAAUUAACAAAAUAAAAUUAGACUAAGAUCGAAAUUAAAAAUAUAGAAUUUGUCUAAGAGGGUUAAUCAAACAAUUGAAUUAAAAUUAUGAACGCAUUCAGAUUAUAAAAUAAAUUAAAAUCAAACUAAAUUGAAAUUAAAUUCUACUUAAUAAAAUUAUUGGAAUAUUAAAAACUCAAACUUUAUUUGAUGCAAUCAUUUAAACUAAAGAAUUAAAAUCCACGAAUUUCUUUAAGUUAAAAACGAAUUAAAAUAAAAAUAAUUGGAAUUAAAAAUACAAACUUUAUUUAGCGUGAUCAUUUAAACUAAAAACGAAUUAAAAUCAAACUAAUUAGGAUCACUAACACAUUCAAAUUAAAUCAUAAACUAAAACUAAGUUAAUCCGAAAUUAAAAAAAGUAAACUUUAUCUCACAACUUAUUUAAACUAAGGAAUUAAAAUCAUUAAUGCAUUCAAAUUAAAUUAUAAACUAAAACUAAAUUAAUCCGGAAUUAAACAAAUAAACUUUAUCUUGCAGAUUACUUAAACUAAGGAAUUAAAAUUACAAACAUAUUUAAACUGAUAGCUAAAUUAAAAUUAAACUAAUUUGGGAUUUUAAAAAUAUGAACUUUAUUUAUCAAGAAUACUUAAACUAAUGAAUUAACAUCUUAAUCACAUCUAAACAUAUAGGAUAUAUUAAAAUUGAAAUUAAAAAUAAGAACUUUUCUAAUAUGAAUAAUUAAACUAACGAAUUAAAAUCAAAAAAACAUAUAGGAUAGAUUAAAAUCGAACUAAAUUGAAAUUAAAAAUAAGAACAUUUCUAAUAGGAAUAAUUAAACUAACGAAUUAAAAUCACAAACAUAUAGGAUAGAUUAAAAUUGAAUUAAAUUGAAAUUAAAAAUAAGAACUUUUCUAAUAUGAACAAUUAAACUAACGAAUUAAAACGACAAACACUAAACAUAAAAGGUAGAUUAAUAGUAAACUAAAUCAAAAUUAAAAACAAAACUUUUCUAAUAGAAAUAAUUAAACUAACAAAUUAAUAUCACAAACACAUCUAAACAUAACAAAUAUAUUAAAAUCAAAAUUAAAAAUAAAGACUUUUAUAAUAGAAACAAUUAAAUUAAAGAAAACUACAAACACAUAUAAACAUAAAAGAUAAAUUAAAACUAAAUCGAAUUGGAAUAAAAAAAAAAAGGGAACUUUAUCUAAUGGGAUAAAUUAAACUAAAGAAUUAAAACCACAAACACAUCCAAACUAAAAAAGAAAAAUAAAUUAAAACUAGAUCGAAAUUAAAACAAGAAAUUUAUUAUAUAGGAUUAAUUAAACCAAAGAACUAAAAUCAUUAAAACACUCAAGACUAAAAGGAUGAAUCAAAACGAAAUCCAAGAUAAAUUUGAAAGCAUACACUCACCUAUAAACCGUUAUUUGUGGAGAUUUUGUGGGCUGCUCCUCUCUUUUUAUGGUUAUGUGUCGACUCCUCAAAGUUCUUCACACGUCCUCUUAAAAGAAUUGCUCUUGUGUCCUCUCUGCCCUCCGAAAGAAAAGUCUCCGUGUGAAAAUUCUUUAUGUCUCUUCCCCUCCGAAAAAAAAAAUCCCUUAUGCUUGGAUUCUCUCCUUUAUUUAUAAGGCAACCCACUCCUUAUGGAAUAUCUUAUUUCCAUUUUUUCCUACGUGCGCGUGGAUAUGGGAAGUCCAUUAUGUGUGGCUCACUUGGAGAUUUCCCCAAGGAUGCAGUUGUAUCUUGUUUGGUAAGUGAUCAAAUCUCCUUUAAUCUUCUUUCCAUAUGCUCCCGGAUGUGCCUCAGCCGUGAUCUACCCACUUUCUAUAUGUAGCCCAGAUUCUUUCUUCAAGCAAAUCAUAUGCAGCCCGGAUUCCUUCUUAAAGUCGUGAUCUGCCCACUUUCUAUAUGCAUCCCAGAUUCCUUCUUAAAGCAAAUCAUAUGCAGCUCGGAUUCGUUCUUAAAGUCGUGAUCUGCCCACUUUCUAUAUGCAGCCCGGAUUCCUUCCAAGUUUCCCUAUUUGGCCGUGAUCUCCUCUCCUUGAUGGCUCCAAGUCUCAUGCAAAAUUAAAAAUAAAGUUGAAAUAAGAAAUCAUGUAAUUAGAAAUAGAAUAAAAUCAAAUAGAAAAUCAAAUCACAUAGCCACAAAAAUCCAAAAUGUCAAUUCAUGGAAUUAAAGAAUAAAUGAAUAAGUGAGUAAAUAAACAAAUAAAUUGAUAAGGGUAUUAAAAUAAAUAUCAGACGUAUGCAAUUAUAAAAAAUCAAGAAAUUAAAGUAAUGCAAUGGAUUAUAAUAAUUUAAAUAUCAAACUCAAACCCUCAAAAAUAAAAAAUAAAAAUUCAUUUCAUGCAAAAAAUAGUCAAGCCAAUACUCAUCCUAUCUUGGAAAAGGAAGUAACCAAAAUCAAGAACACGCCUAAGUGGGCUAUGCCAAAAGAAAUGUCCAAGUGACAUAUUUUGAAAGAUUGUCUAAGUAACCUAGGGUGAAUGUGUGCAAUCUAGAAGGUGCCAAGUGCAUCUAAAUGGACCUAAGGUGAUGCCUAAUGGACCAAGUGUAUCUAAAUGGGUCUAAGGUGCUUAAGUGGGCCUAAGUCUAAAUUAGGGCUGCCAAGAGUCACAAUGGGGUUAGAUAAAUCUCUCAAACAAAGUCCUUAAGGUGGCUUAGAAAAGAUAGACUACAUGAGUAGUAAUGGGCCACUAGGGAAUUGCCAUAAAGUACCGAACAAAUACUUAAUAGAGCAUGUGCUAGGAGGACAAAAUUGAUGAUCUACAAUAUGAUUCAAUGGGUCUAAUAAUUGUUUAAUAUAACCCACAAGAAUAAGAAGGAAGCUUUUACAAGUUGUGUUUUUCCUUGUAAAUAAUUGAAGUAAUGAGAAGGUAUUCAUUACUAUCAUCAUUCAUAGUUUUAAUGUGAUAUCCAUUUCAACGAAUAUCCUUAAAACUAAGAAGAUUUCGCUUGGAUUUAGCAUAAUAAAGGGCAUCAUUAAUAUGGAUUUUAGUUUCUCUAGGUAAAAUAAUAGUUGCUCUUUCGGAGCCUUGAAUCAAAUCUACAGGACCUGAUAUUGUAUUAACAUUAGACUUAACCAACGAUAUGUUGGAAAAAUAUUUUUUAUCACUAAGAAUUGUGUGUGUUGUGGCACAAUAUGCAAGACGUGCAUUUACAUUGGAUGUCGAUGAUGUACCAAGGUAUGGGAAAUAUUCAUGUAUCUUCAAGUAUAAAUAAAGAGAAGAAUUUAAAUAAGAAAUAAUAAAAUGUGAAAUAAACUAUAAAAGAUGAAUAAUAAACAAUGUGUUUAAAGAUGAUAACAAAAUAAACCUAUUUACAAAAAACUAAAUAAGAACAUAACAUUUAAUCAUAACAAACAUUUCCAUCAUCAAUUAGAUGGUCAAUUUUCCCAUUAGGAUUCUCAAAGAAAUCUGAAACUUCUAAAUGGGUUAGAUCUAUUGGGUCAUCACUAUCACUGAAGUUCAUUUCAACUUCCUAUCCUUUUGCUUUUAUUGAGGUUUGAUAAAGGUCAACAAAAUGUUUUGGAGUACGACAAGUACGUGACCAAUGUCCUUUCAUGCCACAUCUAUGACACUUAUUCUUACGAGCAUGUUUACUUUGUGGUUCUAUCCCAUUUUCAAGUUGUGCCUCUGAUUUAUUUCACUUCUAGUGGUUUGAGUUGUUCUUUUUUACUUUGAGAACCACUACAAUGAGAAGAAUUGUGUUUACCACGACCUCGACUGCGACCACGUCCUCGACCUCGUCCAUAUCCACGUUCUUGUCCAUGUCCAAGGGUUUGAAUAGAUGUGGCAUUGGCUUCAGGCAAUGACAUAGACCCAUUAGGACAAGAUUGAUGGUUUUUCAAUAAUAGCUCAUUAUUUUGUUCAGCCACAAGAAGACAUGAGAUCAAUUUUGAAUAUUUAGUGAGACGACACUCUCGUUAUUGCUAUUGCAAGAGCACAUUUGAGACAUGAAAAGUCGUGAAUGUUUUUUCAAGCAUAUCUUUUUCAGUGACUUUUUCUCCACACAAUUUUAAUUAUGACCUGAUUUUGAAUAGGGUCGAGUUGUAGUUACUAACAGACUUGAAAUCUUGUAAUGUUAAGUGCAUCCAAUCAUAGUGUGCCUUUGGAAGGAUUACGGUUUUUUGGUGGUCAUAUCAUUCCAUUAGAUUAUUCCAAAGGAUGAAAGGAUCUUUAACCGUAAGAUAUUCACCUUUUAAUCCUUCAUCAAUGUGAUGACGAAGAAAUAUCAAACCUUUAGCGGGAUCCUGCAGGGAUGCGUCAUUCCCUUCUUUAAUGGUAUUUCCAAUAUUCAUCGCAUCUAGAUGAAUUUCAGCAUUUAGAACCCAAGAUAAGUAAUUCUUGCCCGAAAUAUCAAGGGCAACAAAUUCAAGCUUUGUAAGGUUUGACAUUAUUUGAAAGCUAUAUAUAAUAUUAAUAAGAGAAAUAUUUCAAUUAUUGUAAUAAACUAUUAAUAAAACGCUUUAACAAUAUUUCAAGCAAACAAUAUCUAAAAAUAUAAUGACCUAAAAUUUAUCAAUUAUAAAUAUGGUAAAAAUGUAUAAAUAUGAAAUAAGAAUUAAAAGUUAAUAUAUAUAUAUAUAUAUAUAUAUAUAUAUAUAUAUAUAUAUAUAUAUAUAUAUAUAUAUAUUUCAUAGCUUCGAGCUAUGAUUAUUUUAUCAUAACAAAAAUGUGCAAAGUAAUAUAUAGUUUCAAGUUAUGAAUUAUUUUAUGUAAAUUUGGGCAUAACUUCAGGUUGUGAACUUUCAUUAUGUAAAUUUGUACAUAGCUUCAGGUUAUGAACAUUUAUUUAUUUUAUAGUUUUUGGCUGUAUAAUAUUGUUUGGUAUAACAUCCAGUUAUACCGUAUAAUUAAAAAUAAAUAAUUAGGGAUCAUAUACAUAACAUCUGGUCAUGUAUCUGUAAUUCUGUAAUUUUUUCUCAUAACUUCUGGUUAUAUGAAUUGCACAUAUUUUUCAUAACUUUUGGUUAUGAAUUUAUACUAUAAUUUAUAAUUUAUCACAUAACUUCUCGUUAUAAGGAUUAUAAAUUAUAAGAAAUUAAUUUUUAAAAUAAUAAAACAUAGAAAACAAAAUACCAAUCAAAACAAAAGAAAACGAAAAUCACAAAAUAAAGAUUUAGAAAAUCAUGUCAAUUAAAGUGGUGAGGGGUAAGACCAACCUUCAUGAGUUUCCAUGGCCUUCAAAAAUAAGAAUUUAACUAACAAUCACUAAGACAUCAAAUUUAUGACUUUCUAAUCAAACAAACUAACAAAAUAUUACCCAAGACUAACAUUUAGAUUUCAAGAGACACAUGAAUUAAAAUAAAAAUACCAAUCAAAGAUUAAAGCCAACAAACUUAGCAUAUGGAGAUAAUAAUAUGGAAUCAAUUAAGGUAAAUUAGCAUUUUAACAAAAUAUGAUGAAUCAAAUACCAAAGUUAAACAAUCUUGAAGGUAUGAAAAAAAUGACAUGCAAUUAACUGGAUUGAUUAUCUAAAAUUUCUAAAGCUCAUACUAAAUGUCAAUAGAUCAAAGCCAAAAUUACCAUACUUAAAACAUGAAAAUAAUUACGCGUGAUUGACUUAAUUAAUUAAACAAAAUUAUAAUCAACUGCAAAAUUGGAUAUAAACGGAUUAAAUUCAAAGUUAAUGAAAUAAAAAACACACAAACACAUUCAAUACUAAAAAUAAUUAAUACUAGAUUAAAUUAAGGACAUCAUCAUCAUCUAAUAAGAUUGGCUAAACUAUCAAAUUGAAAUCACAAAUAUAUUUAAACUAAAGCAAAUAAAUAAAUUAACAAAAUAAAAUUAGACUAAGAUCGAAAUUAAAAAUAUAGAAUUUGUCUAAGAGGGUUAAUCAAACAAUUGAAUUAAAAUUAUGAACGCAUUCAGAUUAUAAAAUAAAUUAAAAUCAAACUAAAUUGAAAUUAAAUUCUACUUAAUAAAAUUAUUGGAAUAUUAAAAACUCAAACUUUAUUUGAUGCAAUCAUUUAAACUAAAGAAUUAAAAUCCAUGAAUGUCUUUAAGUUAAAAACGAAUAAAACUAAAAAUAAUUGGAAUUAAAAACACAAACUUUAUUUAGCGUGAUCAUUUAAACUAAAAACGAAUUAAAAUCAAACUAAUUAGGAUCACUAACACAUUCAAAUUAAAUCAUAAACUAAAACUAAGUUAAUCCAAAAUUAAAAAAAGUAAACUUUAUCUCACAACUUAUUUAAACUAAGGAAUUAAAAUCAUUAAUGCAUUCAAAUUAAAUUAUAAACUAAAACUAAAUUAAUCCGAAAUUAAAUAAAUAAACUUGAUCUUGCAGAUUACUUAAACUAAGGAAUUAAAAUCACAAACAUAUUUAAACUGAUAGCUAAAUUAAAAUUAAACUAAUUUGGGAUUUUAAAAAUAUGAACUUUAUCUAUCAAGAAUACUUAAACUAAUGAAUUAACAUCUCAACCACAUCUAAACAUAUAGGAUAGAUUAAAAUUGAAUUAAAUUGAAAUUAAAAAUAAGAACUUUUCUAAUAUGAAUAAUUAAACUAACGAACUAAAAUCACAAAAACAUAUAGGAUAGAUUAAAAUCGAACUAAAUUGAAAUUAAAAAUAAGAACUUUUCUAAUAGGAAUAAUUAAACUAAUGAAUUAAAAUCACAAACAUAUAGGAUAGAUUAAAAUUGAACUAAAUUGAAAUUAAAAAUAAGAACUUUUCUAAUAUGAACAAUUAAACUAACGAAUUAAAACGACAAACACUAAACAUAAAAGGUAGAUUAACAGUGAACUAAAUCAAAAUUAAAAACAAAACUUUUCUAAUAGAAAUAAUUAAACUAACGAAUUAAUAUCACAAACACAUCUAAACAUAAAAAAUAUAUUAAAAUCAAAAUUAAAAAUAAAGACUUUUAUAAUAGAAACAAUUAAAUUAAAGAAAACUACAAACACAUCUAAACAUAAAAGAUAAAUUAAAACUAAAUCGAAUUGGAAUAAAAAAAAAAAAGGGAACUUUAUCUAAUGGGAUAAAUUAAACUAAAGAAUUAAAACCACAAACACAUCCAAACUAAAAAAGAAAAAUAAAUUAAAACUAGAUCGAAAUUAAAACAAAAAAAUUAUUAUAUAGGAUUAAUUAAACCAAAGAACUAAAAUCAUUAAAACACUCAAGACUAAAAGGAUGAAUCAAAACGAAAUCCAAGAUAAAUUUGAAAGCAUACACUUACCUAUAAACCGUUAUUUGUGGAGAUUUUGUGGGCUGCUCCUCUCUUUUUAUGGUUAUGUGUCGGCUCCUCAAAGUGUUUCACGCGUCCUCUUAAAAGAAUUGCUCUUGUGUCCUUUCUGCCCUCCAAAAGAAAAGUCUCCAUGUGAAAAUUCUUUCUGUCUCUUCCCCUCCGAAAAAAAAAAAUCCCUUAUGCUUGGAUUCUCUUCUUUAUUUAUAAGGCAACCCACUCCUUAUGGAAUAUCUUAUUUCCAUUUUUUCCUACAUGCACAUGGAUAUGGGAAGUCCAUUAUGUGUGGCUCACUUGAAGAUUUCCCUAAGGAUGCAGCUGUAUCUUGUUUGGUAAGUGAUCAAAUCCCCUUUAAUCUUCUUUUCAUAUUCUCCCGGAUGUGCCUCAGCCGUGAUCUACCCACUUUCUAUAUGUAGCCUGGAUUCUUUCUUCAAGCAAAUCAUAUGCAGCCCGGAUUCCUUCUUAAAGUUGUGAUCUGCCCACUUUCUAUAUGCAGCCCAGAUUCAUUCUUAAAGCAAAUCAUAUGCAGCCCGGAUUCGUUCUUAAAGCCGUGAUCUGCCCACUUUCUAUAUGCAGCCCGGAUUCCUUCCAAGUUUCCCUAUUUGGCCGUGAUCUCCUCUCCUUGAUGGCUCCAAGUCUCAUGCAAAAUUAAAAAUAAAGUUGAAAUAAGAAAUCAUGUAAUUAGAAAUAGAAUAAAAUCAAAUAGAAAAUCAAAUCACAUAGCCACAAAAAUCCAAAAUGUCAAUUCAUGGAAUUAAAGAAUAAAUGAAUAAGUGAGUAAAUAAACAAAUAAAUUGAUAAGGGUAUAAAAAUAAAUAUUAGACGUAUGCAAUUAGAAAAAAUCAAGAAAUUAAAGUAAUGCAAUGGAUUAUAAUAAUUUAAAUGUCAAACUCAAACCCUCAAAAAUAAAAAAUAAAAAAUCAUUUCAUGCAAUAAAUAGUCAAGCCAAUACUCAUCCUAUCUCGGAAAAGGAAGUAACCAAAAUCAAGAACACGCCUAAGUGGGCUAUGCCAAAAGAAAUGUCCAAGUGACAUAUUUUGAAAGAUUGUCUAAGUAACCUAGGGUGAAUGUGUGCAAGCUAGAAGGUGCCAAGUGCAUCUAAAUGGACCUAAAGUGAUGCCUAAUGGGCCAAGUGUAUUUAAAUGGGUCUAAGGUGCCUAAGUGGGCCUAAGUCUAAAUUAGGGCUGCCAAGAGUCACAACGGGGUUAGAUAAAUCUCUCAAACAAAGUCCUUAAGGUGACUUAGAAAAGAUAGACUACAUGAGUAGUAAUGAGCCACUAGGGAAUUGCCAUAAAGUACCGAACAAAUACUUAAUAGAGCAUGUGCUAGGAAGACAAAAUUGAGGGUUUACAAUAUGACUCAAUGGGUCUAAUAAUUGUUUAAUAUAACCCACAAGAAUAAGAAGGAAGCUUUUACAAGUUGUGUUUUUCCCCAUAAAUAAUUGAAGUAAUAAGAAGGUAUUCAUUACUAUCAUCAUUCAUAGUUUUAAUGUGAUAUCUAUUUCGACGAAUAUCCUUGAAACUAAGAAGAUUUCGCUUGGAUUUAGCAUAAUAAAGGGCAUCAUUAAUAUGGAUUUUAGUUUCUCUAGGUAAAAUAAUAGUUGCUUUUUCGGAGCCUUAAAUCAAGUCUACAGGACCUGAUAUUGUAUUAACAUUAGACUUAACCAACGAUAUGUUGGAAAAAUAUUUUUUAUCACUAAGAAUUGUGUGUGUUGUGGCACAAUAUGCAAGACAUGCAUUUACAUUGGAUGUCGAUGAUGUACCAAGGUAUGGGAAAUAUUCAUGUAUCUUCAAGUAUAAAUAAAGAGAAGAAUUUAAAUAAGAAAUAAUAAAAUGUGAAAUAAACUAUAAAAGAUGAAUAAUAAACAAUGUGUUUAAAGAUGAUAACAAAAUAAACCUAUUUACAAAGAACUAAAUAAGAACAUAACAUUAAUCAUAACAAACAUUUCCAUCAUCAAUUAGAUGGUCAAUUUUCCCAUUAGGAUUCUUAAAGAAAUAUGAAACUUCUAAAUGGGUUAGAUCUAUUGGGUCAUCACUAUCAAUGAAGUUCAUUUCAACUUCCUAUCCUUUUGCUUUUAUUAAGGUUUGAUAAAGGUCAACAAAAUGUUUUGGAGUACGACAAGUACAUGACCAAUGUCCUUUCAUGCCACAUCUAUGACACUUAUUCUUACGAGCAUGUUUACUUUGUGGUUCUAUCCCAUUUUCAGGUUGUGCCUCUGAUUUAUUUCACUUCUAGUGGUUUGAGUUGUUCUUUUUACUUUGAGAACCACUACAAUGAGAAGAAUUGUGUUUACCACGACCUCGACUGCGACCACGUCCUCGACCUCGUCCAUAUCCACGUUCUUGUCCAUGUCCAAGGGUUUGAAUAGAUGUGGCAUUGGCUUCAGGCAAUGACAUAGACCCAUUAGGACAAGAUUGAUGGUUUUUCAAUAAUAGCUCAUGAUUUUGUUCAGCCACAAGAAGACAUGAGAUCAAUUUUGAAUAUUUAGUGAGAUGACACUCUCGAUAUUGCUAUUGCAAGAGCACAUUCGAGACAUGAAAAGUCGUGAAUGUUUUUUCAAGCAUAUCUUUUUCAUUAACCUUUUCUCCACACAAUUUGAAUUGUGACUUGAUUUUGAAUAGGGUUGAGUUGUAGUCCCUAACAGACUUGAAAUCUUGUAAUCUUAAGUGCAUCCAAUCAUAGUGUGCCUUUGGAAGGAUUACGGUUUUUUUGUUGGUCAUAUCGUUCCCUUAGAUUAUUCCAAAGGAUGAAAGGAUCUUUAACCGUAAGAUAUUCACCUUUUAAUCCUUCAUCAAUGUGAUGACGAAGGAAUAUCAAACCUCUAGCGGGAUCCUGCAGGGAUGCGUCAUUCCCUUCUUUAAUGGUAUUUCUAAUAUUCAUCGCAUCUAGAUGAAUUUCAGCAUUUAGAACCCAAGAUAAGUAAUUCUUGCCCGAAAUAUCAAGGGCAACAAAUUCAAGCUUUGUAAGGUUUGACAUUAUUUGAAAGCUAUAUAUAAUAUUAAUAAGAGAAAUAUUUCAAUUAUUGUAAUAAACUAUGAAUAAAAUGCUUUAACAAUAUUUCAAGCAAACAAUAUCUAAAAAUAUAAUAACCUAAAAUUUAUCAAUUAUAAAUAUGGUAAAAAUGUAUAAAUAUGAAAUAAGAAUUAAAAGUUAAUAUAUAUAUAUUUUCAUAGCUUCGAGUUAUGAUUAUUUUAUCAUAACAAAAAUGUGCAAAGUAAUAUAUAGUUUCAAGCUAUGAAUUAUUUUAUGUAAAUUUGUGCAUAACUUCAGGUUGUGAACUUUCAUUAUGUAAAUUUGUACAUAGCUUCAGGCUAUGAACAUUUAUUUAUUUUAUAGUUUUUGGCUGUAUAAUAUUGUUUGGUAUAACAUCCAGUUAUACCGUAUAAUUAAAAAUAAAUAAUUAGGGAUCAUAUACAUAACAUCUGGUCAUGUAUCUGUAAUUCUGUAAUUUUUCUUGGUUAUAUGAAUUGCACAUAUUUUUCAUAACUUUUGGUUAUGAAUUUACCCUAUAAUUUAUAAUUUAUCCCAUAACUUCUCGUUAUAAGGAUUAUACAUAUUUAUGUUUUAAAAGAUAAUAAAAUACAAAAUCAUGAUAUAAGUUUAUCACAUACCUUUUUGUGAGAAAGAAGAGAGAAAUUUUUUUCUAUUUAUAGAAUGUUUUUCUAUUUUUCUGAAUAGAGAAAAAUAUUUCUAUUUAGUUUAUUAAUUUAUUAUAAGACUUGAUUUUAAUUUUGAUUUUUUUUAAUAUAAUUUUCACGAUAUCUUAAAAUAUUUUUUUUUUCAAAAAUGGAUAUGAUUUUAAUAAUUAAAAAUGUUCAGGAUAAUGGAUAGCAAGUGGCUAACGUUUCCUUAACUAAUACGAUAUCUCAUCUUCUCCUUAAGAAAAUCGAUUUGAUUUUAGAGAAGAAAAUCGAUUUGAUUUUGAGUAUUAAAGAAGUGUCAUUUUAAGUGUUAUUAAACAAGUGCCUUGAAUGUGGACGUUUUAGAAUCUUGAUUAUUUUUACUUGUUUUUUAAAAUAAUAAACAUAAAAUUAUUUUUAAAAAUAAUUCAAAUUAUUCUACAAAAUAUAAAAAACAAAAUAAUUUUUAAAGUUUGUUCCUAAAAAUUAUUUUUGGAAUUGUUUUUCUAUUGCGAAAGCAUGGUGGGUGCGAGAAAAAUGUUCUUCUGCCGGAGUUUAACAUUUUAAAAACGAUUUUUUAAAAGGGGCAAAAAGAAAAGCUGACGGAGUCGUUAGUCAUCAACCACUCCGUCACGUGGAGCGUCACAGUUAACGUCCGCCAACCCCCAUUUACCAAAAAAAACUCCACUAAAAAUCCUACCCCACCGCCCCCACUUAUAACGAACGGCCCAAAAUCACACUCCACAAAUCUCACCCCACAGAAACGCACCGUGAACGUACUCGCCACGAACACGUGUGGGACUUCUCCCCCCAUCUCCGUGCUUCAAGUAGAGCCAAGGGACAUCUAGAUGCCGUGAAGGAUAGUGCCAAGAGCCAUCUAGAUGCCGUGCAGGAAAGGUUAGCGAUACACGUGGCAGAAAUCUAUUUGCUAUUUCCUCAUCGGUUUCGUCACCGAGUAGGCAACCUCGACUACAAAUAGACGCUCUCACGGGGACUUCUACAUCAUUGAUUUCAUAUAUUCAAGCCAUUAGAAAAAUCCCUUUACCCUUUUGAAGGUACCGUUUGGUUCUUCUUCUAUGUUUCGUUUUCUUUUUUGAUGCUUUCUGGUUCUGAUUUUUACAAUUCAUUGAGUAGUCGAGAAAAUUUCUCCUUUCUUUGCCGAAAGAAUUUAGAUUUCUUUUGAUGUUGUUUAUAUUCUUAAUUUUUUGUUAAGGGUUGCUUUUUAUGUGAAAAUUUCUGGUAUUAUUGUUGAUUGGUUUUUGCGAAAUCGUGAAGCGAAUUUUCUCCGUUGUAGAUCGGCUUUUGAAGGUUCUCUUAUUCGUUUUUCCUAGAUCUGGCUAUUGAUGACUUGAGAAUUUGUAGGGAAUUUGGGAUUUUGGACCUUUUUCAAUUCUUUUUUCAGAUCUGUCGUAAUAAAUUGGUACUCUCUUAGAUCUGUGUAGAUCUGUAAUUUUUUCCUGAUCUUUGUGGUUUUUCAAUUGAAACAGAUGCAGAUCUUUGUCAAAACUCUUACCGGAAAGACGAUAACCCUAGAGGUUGAGAGCUCGGACACGAUCGAUAAUGUCAAGGCCAAGAUCCAAGACAAAGAGGGCAUCCCACCGGAUCAGCAGAGGCUAAUAUUCGCCGGGAAGCAGCUUGAAGACGGUCGAACUCUGGCCGACUACAACAUCCAGAAGGAGUCCACCUUGCACUUAGUGCUUCGUCUCCGCGGUGGGAUGCAGAUAUUUGUGAAAACUCUUACAGGAAAGACCAUUACUUUGGAAGUCGAAAGCUCAGACACGAUCGACAACGUUAAAGCCAAGAUCCAGGACAAGGAGGGUAUUCCACCGGACCAGCAGAGGCUGAUCUUUGCCGGCAAGCAGCUCGAAGAUGGGCGAACCCUUGCCGAUUACAAUAUCCAGAAAGAGUCAACUCUUCACUUGGUCCUCCGUCUUCGUGGAGGGAUGCAGAUUUUUGUGAAAACCCUUACCGGGAAGACCAUCACCCUGGAGGUCGAAAGCUCCGACACCAUUGACAACGUGAAGGCUAAGAUCCAGGAUAAGGAGGGCAUUCCACCAGACCAGCAGAGGCUGAUCUUCGCUGGUAAGCAGCUGGAAGAUGGCCGAACCCUCGCCGACUACAACAUUCAAAAAGAGUCAACUCUGCACUUGGUGCUCCGUCUUCGUGGAGGGAUGCAGAUUUUUGUAAAAACCCUCACCGGAAAGACCAUCACCCUGGAGGUCGAGAGCUCCGACACCAUUGACAACGUGAAAGCGAAGAUCCAGGAUAAGGAGGGCAUUCCACCAGACCAGCAGAGGCUGAUUUUCGCCGGAAAGCAGCUGGAAGACGGCCGAACCCUCGCCGAUUACAACAUUCAAAAAGAGUCAACUCUGCACUUGGUGCUCCGUCUUCGUGGAGGGAUGCAGAUUUUUGUGAAAACCCUCACCGGAAAGACCAUCACCCUGGAGGUCGAAAGCUCCGACACCAUUGACAACGUGAAAGCGAAGAUUCAGGACAAGGAAGGGAUUCCACCAGACCAGCAGAGACUGAUUUUCGCCGGCAAGCAGCUUGAGGAUGGGCGAACUCUUGCUGAUUACAACAUUCAGAAGGAGUCUACCCUCCACUUGGUGCUUCGUCUGCGCGGUGGUAUGCAAAUCUUCGUGAAGACACUGACUGGAAAGACCAUCACGCUGGAGGUGGAGAGUUCCGACACCAUUGACAAUGUCAAAGCAAAGAUUCAGGACAAGGAGGGGAUCCCACCGGAUCAGCAGAGGCUGAUCUUCGCCGGGAAGCAGCUGGAAGAUGGGAGGACCCUGGCGGACUACAACAUCCAGAAGGAGUCGACCCUCCAUCUUGUCCUCCGCCUCCGUGGUGGUUUUUAAGUAUCCCAGUGGUCGGUUGGUUCUACCUACUCUUGAGUGGGGGGGUCUGGUGGGUUGUGGGUCUCAGCCAUUUGAAAGGCUUUUGAAGUUUGAAAACUAUAUCUAUAUAAAUGAUGUGUUUUGGGUAUUCUGAGUAUACCUUAAUGUCUAAGUGGUCGUUAGUGAGGCCAUAAUUAGUUUUUUUUUUUUUUCAUUGAUAAAUAAAAGUGGUGUGCUUCUUCUGGUAUAUAUGCAUGACUUGUUUGCUUUUUGUUUGCCUUACACCGGUUUGUGGAGCGCUCCUGAAUGUUCUUUUUGAAUGAAUGAAUCGGUGAUAUUGGAUUGUGAAGGUUCUGCUUUUCUUUUUUGAAUGAAUGAGGCUGGUGGCAACGUCUACGGUACGUUGAGACGGUUAUUCAGGAAAUCAUGAUUUGUCUGAAUAUUACUUAGUUAUUUGGGGGAUUACCGGGAAAUAAUCCUUCGUAUUUCAUGAUCAUGGAUUUUGGCUAAUUGCUGUCUUUGAGUUCUUUUGUUGGUGCACUGGCAAGGAAAAUUGACCUUGACUCACAUUUAAGUACGUGGUCCUUCGAUGCCUUGCAUACUGGACUUUGGCAGCUUGGGUUUUUGCCUAAUUCCAAUGGCUCUGAUAUUUUUUCAUUGAAUUAUUAUUCUUUUGUUGCCUAAUUCCAAUGGCUCAGUCUGGGCCUUUUCACUGAAUUAUUAUUAUUAUUAUUAUCCAAAGUUAUCUUAAAUCAAGGAGGAGAAAAAGACGAAAAAGAACAAUUCUAGAAUAUAUUGGUAUGGCCUAACGAGGGAGAUCGUAGUGCGUGUGAUCCAGUGCCACCCCUGCUAGAGAAGGUGUUUUGACCAUGUAUGUUUUCUUUUUUGGAUUUUUGAAUAUUCCUGCCUUUCAUUUCUUUUCUUAGAUGUGAAUGGAGGUUACUUUGCAUGUAGCCAAGUGGGGGCAUUAAUCAUCUGACGUGUGAUUGAUGGCCACAUGGCUGCAUGCAUUGGAUCCAUUCCCUCUUCACACCUGAAGAUUGUAAAGAGGUAGUACGCCAUCACUUAAAACUAUUGGGGGGUUGAGUUAAAUUGGGUGUCAUAUCUCAAAAAAUAGCCCUUUGUAAUCCUGAAAACCCGAAUCUGAUUUUCAAGUAAUCAGUUUAUUUUUCAUAAUAAAACGUUCUCUUACUCUGCAUCUCAAGUUUUCAAUAUUUCACACUUGUACCUCUAUAUUAUUCAAACUUAAUGGAUUCAUCUUUUAUGCAAAAUUAUAUAAGUAGUAGAGGACUAUAAGUUAGUCAAAAUUAAAAUUGUUUGGUUUUGAAAUUAAUUGCUUCUGAUUUAUGUAUGGGAUUUCACUUGAUUUUUGAUUCAAAAUUACUUCCAAACUAAUUUCAAUUCUAUAUUCAUACCUAUAUCCAUAUUUAUAUCUGUAUCUUCGGCUGAUCAAGCAUGAAAUAUUAUCUUUCUUUAUUAUCCAAAAGGAUUCAUGAAUUGGCUAAAUCCAAGUUCAAAAAAGACUCAGCCUAGAGGGGAACGAAGCCGAAUCCGAUAAAAACAGAAGAAAAUGUAGAUGCAGUCGAUAUAAUUACAGCAUUCAUGGAUUAUUAUAACCGACUUUAUACAGAGCCAGAGCCUCAAACCUGAAACACGCCUAAUGUCCUCACACAUGAUGUUGCUUAGCUACUAGCAUUAAUCACCCUAAGGAGUGAAGUUUAUUAUGAUUCUAGAUAUGGCCAACAUAUACGCCCAUUGGCGCCUGGGGUGGUCUACACCCAGACGGCUUAAAACUUGCAGGUAUGGGGUUCCAAGUCACAAUCUGACGGCAAGUGUCUGGCGCAAUCCUCCAUGUCUUCAACCUCCUCACCCUGCAUUUCUCCCUGUUCCCGCAGCUGCUCGACUAUCUGCUCCAAACCCAUGCAUCGACACUUGGUGCCCAGCUUCUCCAUUUGGUCACAGCACGGCUUCAGGUGCUCCUCCUCUUGCUCUUGGUUUAGGAGGAGUGCAUGACCCAACAGCAGCAGUUCGCGCUCGAUCAAGUACUGCUCGCAGUGGGUGAGCUUCAGUCUCUUGAUCUGCAUCCUACACUUCUGUUGCUUUGAAUUGUCGUCAAUGAUCUCGUUGGUGGCGCUGAUGAUGGUGCGGUGGGCAUCGGUGAUAAGUACGAGGGCUGCAAAAAGAGCUGCUACAACUGCGAGUCUUGCCAUUGUUCUUAGUCUUUGAAUGACGGUGUGAUGGUGGUGACGGGUACUUAUGAGAGGUUUUAGGGAUUGCAUGCGAUGAACGUGUAAGCAAGAUGGUAAAUGCUGCCAUGAAAUUUUGUUUGCUAAUGGCAUUUGUUUUGGAGUUAUUUGAAAGCUUGGCUUAUGCUUUAACUGAAAAAAGGCUGAAACCCCAAAGCUAAAUUCUGGACCUAGAAAUCCACAAUAUGUUGUAAUGGUGCUAAGUCUCUGGUUCAACAAUUGGGCUUGAAAGAAGAAAAAUGAGGGUAACCAAGAAGAUACGUAUGGCUCAACAUUACUGAAACUAGGAAACCUCAAGUCCUCUUUGAAGAAGUUGAGGAAUGAGGGACGUCAUAUGACACUAUAUAUAAGAAUUGAGGAACAUGCUUUUCACUUUUCAAAUGGAUGCCCUGGUCCAAAACAUAUAAUGAACAUUUUGUAGUGCCUUCAACUUUCUAAUUAAUCAACCCAUGAUGCAAUUUGUGGGCACCCAGGGUGACUUGGUCAAGUGGUUGACUAAGUGGAGUGCAGGAUAAGGAGGAGAAGCUGGGAGUGACGCACAACUACCCCUAGUAAUGUGAGGGUGGAUUGCCUGAAAAUAGAGAAUCAUGAGUAAGUGGAUGAGUGCGGAAACAACGCGGAGCAUAACCCGUUGCAAUCCACAGUAAGGGCAGAUAUAAAUACCCCAGCAUCAGAAAAGAAAGGUUAAAAAAAAAAAGGGAAAAAAGAGGAAAAAGCGAAUCUUAUCCUUCCUUUGCAAUCCAACUGACUUAAUAAUCAUCUGAGGGGUCUGCCGGGAACGAACCUUGCUUGCAGCUGCAUUUGGUGGCCGGCAUAAUUCGUUAAUUUAAAAAAUUUAUUUUUUACUCCUAUAUCGUUUAAUGCAGUUCACAUCAAGAACGCUCUCAUGGACAGUUCUGCAUGCAUAAAUAUACCAUACAAACCAUUAAUAUGAGCUAGCACCUUAAUAAGGAUCAGUCUCUCCAUUGGAAGGACUAAACAAAUUGGAGAAAGAAGCAUUCAACGUUAACUAAUCCUUAUUAAUUAAAGUUUGUUUCAUGAGAAAAUCGGGCUAAAGAACUCAAGACUUGGGCAGUUAUUCCUCGUGACAUCAAUUUAUUCAAGAGGCUUGACAAGAAAGCUAGAACCACGAAGCCGAUACACGCAGACUCACACUUAACACAUGAUGACGUGCGUUUAUUAUAUGGUAUUAUUAUUAUUAUUAGCAUCGCGGGUGCAAUGCCCUAGAACCAGAGUAGCGCACCAACAUCUCUGCAGAUUUGUCCGGAGCCACACAUCUGCGGCAGUUCCCUGGCCCUCUGCUUCAUCUCCCGCAGCUGCUGCCUGUGCACUAUCUUCUUUAGCCCCUCGCACUGGCACUGCUCAUCUAUAUUCUCCAAAGAUUGGUAGCAUUGCUGGAGCGACUGCUGUCUACAUUGCCGUUGUUGGUUUCUUAUGCCCUGGAAAAUCAGUUCAUCCUGUCCUUGUUGCUGCUGCUGCCUCAAGUACUACUCACACUGCCGGAAUUGCUGGCUUUGUAUCUGCUGCCUGCAUCUCUGGCCCUGCUGGGACUGUCCAUAUUCGGACUCCUCUUCAUUGGUGAAAAUGGUGGUUUGGUGGAUGGCGGCAUUGGAGAUGACUAGAAGGAUUAGAAGAGUGGUUGCAAAGAUUGAGAGCUUCUCCAUCUUUGUUACACUGUUGGAAUGGCGGUUAUUAGGAUUAAAGACAACAAGGGAAACAGGGGAUUUUAGAUUGAAGAAAACAGAGGACUUGUUAUUCACACAAUGCUGAAACUGAUUACUAGAGCUUCUUCAAAUAUAAGCUUAUAACAUACUGUGAAACUACUUUCUUAACUUUGAGAUUUGUUCUAAAAGACUAACAAGUAAGCCAACUAUUUACAAGUUAACCAUUGACCUUAACAGCGCCCCCUCAAACUCAAAGUAGAAGACUAUCUACUUUGAGUUUGUUUCUUAACAAAGGAAACUUAGAGCUGGAAAUGGGCUUUGUCAAAACAUCUGUCGUUUGAUCUAUUGAAGGAACAUGUUGAACCAACACCUUCUUCUGUAGAACUUUCUCUAUGACAAAGUAUAGAUCUAAUUCAACAUGCUUUGUCCUAGCAUUCAAUACAAGAUUUGUUGCAAGUUGUAUUGUAUUCAAAUUAUCACACCUAAUUAUAGGUAUUUUAGUUGUAGCUACCCUUAUCUCCUCAAGUAAAGAAGUUAACCAAGUUAAUUUUGCUACAAUGUUUGCAAGACUUCUAUAUUCAGCUUCUAUAAAUGAAUGGGAAAUAGUAUGUUGCUUCUUAGAGUACCAUGACACCAAGUUUUCACCAAGAAAUACACAAUAACUUGAUGUAGACCUCCUGUCAUUUGGAUCCGUGGCCCAAUUAGCAUCACAAAAUCCCACCAAGUUUAGUUGAGAUGAUCUUCUAAGAUGUCAGUCAUAAUCCAAAGUUCCACUUAAAUAUCUUAGUAUCCUCUUGACCGACUUCUGGUGAGAUUCAAGUGGAUUUUGCAUGAAUUGACACACCCUAUUAACACAAUAAGAGAUCUUUGGUCUAGUAAUGGUUACAUAUUGCAAGGCUCCAACUAUGCUUCUAUACUGUUGUCCAUUCUCUAUAGGAUCAUUUCCAUAGGCAAAUUAUUUGAGUCUACUAGUCAUUAGUGUACUGCUACUCUUGGGAAACUGCAUCUUGGCUUUGCAAAGUAAAUCCUUGAUGUACUUAGUUUAAGAGAGAUGAAGUCCUUCAAUUGUAUGCCUUACUUGAAUGCCUAGAAAAUGGUCUACUUCACCAAGAUCCUUUAAAGUAAAGCUCUUAUUCAAUUGAUUGAUGAUAGUUUGAACUUCUUCACUAUUGCACCCAGUAACUAAUAUGUCAUCAACAUAGACUAUAAGAAAUAUAGUAUGAGUAGUAGUAAUCCGAAUAAACAAUGAUUGAUCGAAUCUAGCUACAAUGAAUCCAAAGGCAAUGAGAGCAUUACAUAGUUUCUCAAACCAAGCUCUAGGGGCUUGCUUUAAUCCAUAUAAGGACUUGUGUAAUUUGCAUACCAAAUGAGGUUGCUUAGAAUCCACAAAUCCAAGAGGUUGUUCCAUGAAUACCUCUUCCUAUAAGUCUCCAUUUAAAAAUGCAUUGUUAAUAUCCAAUUUCCUAUUAACCCAAUUCUUUGCCAAGGCAAUAGUUAACACCACUCUGAUAGUUGUUGGCUUAACUACAGGGCUAAAAGUUUCAUUGAAGUCUUUAGCUACUAACCUGGCUUUAUACUUGUUAAUUGUCCCAUCAUAAUUUUCUUAGACCUUGAAUUACCAUUUGCAUCCAAUUUCUUUUCUUCCAUUUGGUAGAGACACUAAGGACCAUGUUUUGUUUCUCAUAAGGGCCGAGAAUUCAUCUAUUAUAGUUGUUUUCCAUUGUUCUUGUUGCAAAGCAUCAGCAACUAAGCUAGGUUCUAGUGUUGUAGCAUAAACCUUUGGCUUGAAAAUCCCAUUUUUUGACUUGGUUACCAUACUGUGAGAGUUUCCACUAACUUGGACCUGUGCUGGAAUAGAGGAACCCACCAAAAUCUGUUCAGCAAUAGGUUCAGUUGUCUUAUCCUAAGUAGCAAUAGGUUUAAUCGUCUUUUCUAAAGAAGUUGACAAAUUGCAACUAUUGUCAAAAAUAAGACUUUGCUAACCAAUAUGUGUUUCAGUAUGUGUUUAGGAUCAAUUAAGGAGAUAACCAUCAGAAAAUGGAAGAAAAUGAUGGUGAAGAACCAUAAAUUAAUGAGACGUUUGAUGAUUGUGAGGCUAAAGAUGUUUGUGAUGAAUUUGAAGAAGAUAAUGGGAAGAAGUGUUCAUAAAAAAUAACAUCUCUAAAGAUAUAAAUCUUUUCAUUUUUGUCUAAGCACUUAUAACCUUUAUGAUUUAAGCUGUAACCAAGAAAAGUACAUUGAGUUGAUCUAAAAUUGAGUUUAUGCAUGUGUAAGGUCUAGUAUUUGGAUAACAUGCACAUCCAAACACUCUAAGCAUAGAGUGGUUUGGAGAUGAGUGAAACAAGACUUCCAAAUGAGUUUUCGAAUGUGAAACUAAAGUAGGCAGCUUGCUGUAUAGGAAAACAACAGCUCUAAAGGCCUCAUCCCUAUAUUUUAGAGGCAUAGAAGCUUUAGCUAAUAAAGUAAGACCAUUUUCUAUUAUAUGAUGAUAUUUUCUCUCCGCAACCCCAUUUUGUUUAUGAGUAUGAGGGCAAGAAUUUCUAUGAAUUAUACCAUGAGACAUUAAGAGAUCAGUAAAAACUCUAUAUUCUCCUCCCCAAUCAGUUUGAAUAGCUUUUAUUUUAUAACCAAGCUACAACUCAACUUGUGUCUUAAAAUUUGAGAAAGUUUGAAGAACAUCCUACUUAUGCUUUAGCAAAAAGAUCCAAGUGAAAUGAGAGAAUGCAUCUAUAAAGGUGAUGUAAUAUCUAUAACCAAUGGAUAACAACAUUGGAGAGGGUCUCCAUAAGUCAAAGUGAACCAAUUGUAAAGGUUCUAUGUAGGUUGUAUCAGACAAUCUAAAAGGAAACUUAUGAAUUUUACCAAUGCAACAAGCUGAACAAAAAGAAUGAGAAUUUGAAUUAGGAAAAGGUAUUUUGCAAUUUGUGAGUACAACUUUUACAAAUUUCUCAAAAGGAUGACCUAAUCUAUUAUGCCACAAAUCAUACAAUGAACAAGAAUGAGAUAGAAUAGAUACAUGUAAGGCAAGAACAGAUGGUGCUGGAAUUGUGACCUUUGAGGAAGACAAUAGAGGCUAUAACUACUUGUUGAGAUUAAUUUGAGUGUGGUCAAAGACAUACAAUCCAUUUUUAAGCUUUCCCUCCAAUAGCACAGUCUUGGAAGUCUAAUCUUUCACAAAACAAGAAUGUGAGUGAAAUUCAAAGAAAACAUCAUUAUCAUGGACGAACUUUGAAACACUACGUAAAUUUUUUGUUAUAGUUGGGACAUGUAAGAGUUACUUAAGAGAAAGAAUUUUAGAAGUAUAAGGAGAGGAAAAUAUAGACUAACCAACAUGCUUAAUGGAUAGACUCAUACCAUGUCCAAUAUGAACUUGAUUUAAUCCAUAAUAUUUAGCCUUAGUCAUCAGGUGUGUAGCAUCAGAAGUAACAUGGUUAGAAGCUCCUAAGUCAAGAUGCCAAUUGGUAUCACUGGCAACUUUUGGUGUAGCAAACAUGGUUGUCAUUUGGCUUCAUGCACCUUGAAAAUGGCUUUGAAUAGAAGACUAUUGAUUCUGGAACUAAGAUGGUCCUAUGAAACUUUGAUCAAAAUGAUAAUAACAGUUCAUCACCACAUGCCUAAUCUUUCCACAAAGUUGACAUUGAGGUUUGUUUUGAGACCAAAAACCUUUCCCACCAAAUUGACCAUUAAAUUGGCCUCCACGACCUCUUCCUCGAUUGGCAAAACCAAAACCUCCUCUAGCAUUGUUCUAAAAAUUGCCUUUUUUACCAAAAAAAUACUGACCACCAAAGGUGUUUGGACCACCAAAGUUGGAACUGGAAUUUUGUUCAAAACCAUUAGUAUACCUUUUUGUGCUUUGCUAAGAAUUUUGACCAGCAACAACAAUAUUUGCCAUGCUAGGUUGUGCAGAAUCUAACUCCUUAUUCUUCUUCUCUAUCCUAGCUUCUUGAGCUAACAACAAGGAUUCUAUAUCAUCAAAUGUAUAAAGGUCUAUGCGUGAUUCAAUUGAAAGAAUAAAGGUGUCAUAAUCUGUUGAUAAACCCUCAAAGAUGGCAUCAAUGUGUUCUUUUUCAAACAUUGAAUAACCAACUAAUCCUAGCAAAUCAAUACAACCUCUAAUCUUUAACAAAUAUUCAUUCAUAGUCAGAGAAUCUUUCCUAGUGUUUCUCAAUUGUGGUUUAAACUGACACACUUUUGCUCAAAUUUGAUUAGCAAAAUAUCUUUCCAAAGUUCACCAUACCUAAGUAGAGUCUCAUAGUUUACCAUACGUGCAAGAAUCCCUUUAGACAUUGAAGAAAGAAGUCAAGACAACAACAACUGAUCUUGUUGUUCCCAAUCAAGAAAUUUUGGAUUUACAUUGUCCACUUCUUCAUCUCUUGUUGUAAGGAACUUCACUGGUGGGGGUUUUGUCCCAAACACAAAAUUCUAUAAUUUGUGCCCUUGAAUUGCUGCAAAAACUUGCUUUCGCCAAAGCAAGAAGUCGUUGUUAUCCAAUCAAACUGAAACAGAGUGACUAAAAGAAAUAGGGAUGAACCUUGAAGCAAAUGAUGAGGCUCCACCCAUUUUGGAAAUUGAAAAGCACUCCAUUACUGGCACUUCGAAGCUCUGAUACCAUAUUAGGAUUAAAGACAACAAGGGAAAACAGGGGAUUUUAGAUUGAAGAAAACAGAGGACUUGUUAUUCACACACUGCUGAAACUGAUUACAAGAGCUUCUUUAAAUAGAAGCUUAUAACAGACUGUGAACUACUUUCUUAACUUCUAGAUUUAUUCUAACAAACCAACAAGUAAGCCAACUAUUUACAAGUUAACCAUUUACCUUAACAGCGGUGAGGUUGGUGAUGAAAGGCACGUAUUUAUAGUAAAUUCUAGGAUUUGCAUGUGGGAUAUACGUGGAAGUGGGCUAGUUAGGGCAGGUUUUGGUGGCGGAGGUGGACGUGUGGGGGGGUGGUUUGCAUGGUGGUUUGGCUGCAGUCAUGGCUACAAGGUGAAGGUGUGAUGUAAAUGCUGCCAUGAACUGAUUUUGUUUGUAAUACUGCUUGCAAUUUAAUGCUGCAAUAAAGUUAUUUUGUUUGGUUUUUGAAGUGUUUUGGAGUCAUCAAUCAUGUAACCGUGCAUGUUUCGACAAUGGAGAUCGGUUCAGAAGUAGUAGUUGGGUUCUCUUUGGGAGAAACAAAACAGCACCAACUUCUUCCCAAGGAAACAGUUGGUCUCAAUUAAAGCCUAUUAAGUUGUAGCAAAAAUCAUUUUUUUAAAAGAAUAAAUAUAUAAUAAUAAAUUUGAAAAAAAAAAAAAAAAUCUUCUUGAGCCCUUGAAGCUCUCAGCUGACAGGUUUUUCUUCAAACUUUAAAUUCUAUUUUCAUUUUUCUAUUCUUUGUUAAUUUUCGUGUUUUCUAUUUAAACUUCCUGCCUCUUUCUGCUACAAAACCAGAACAAUGAGCCUUGCUAUUGUUCCUCUCUAUGAAUACUGGAGGUGGGUGGUGGUGGUGAAGGGUAUUUCGAUAACGCUUGAGGGUUUGCGCGUGAAGUAUGUGUAACGGUGUAAUCAGGAUGGUGAGUUUAGGUUUUGGCAUGGUGUGUGUACUGGCUUGCUGCGUGACAUGGAUUGUAUCGAGCUUCCGCGUAACAUCUAAUGCAGAUACUGCCAUAAACUAAUUUGCUUUGUUUUUCUCUAUGGCAUUUCUUUGGACUUAUAUGGAAGUGAAAUCAUCUUUUGUUUUAACUGAUCAAAAAGCUGUAUACACCUAAAGCUGAGUCUGAACUUAGAGAUAUAUCUACAAUUUGUGAUAAUGGAGCCAGCCUCUGGUUCAAUAGUCGGCGGGGAUUGCAGGAAGAUGAUAAGAUGGAAGGAGGGAAACCAAGAAGAUAUGACUAAUUUCAAUCACUGGAACCAAGAAUGCUCUGUUUUCUUGGAAAAUUUUAAGAAUUAGGCCCAUAUGGCUAUUUAUAGAGGUAGUAUAUAUAUCAAGGUUGAAAUUGAAUAUCCUUCUAAUAGGACGUCUUUCCCUGAAAUUUGUAUGAGCUUUUGACAGUUUCAUCAACCCUCUAAUCUUCCAGUGUUGUUGAUGAUCAUCACAAUUUUCACCUAAUACUCCUCAUUAACUUCAAAGCUACUGUCUCCCUCAGGCUUGUUCAAAAGGACUGGUUUACAUCAGGAGCACUCUUAUAAACAUGAUGUUAAUUUGCAGAAAUAUAUACCACUUGUAUGGAACAUCACACAAUCCCAUAAUCUGUUGUUUAGUCCUUGGCUAGGGUUCUUAAAUUGAUAAGGUUCUACAGGUUGGAGUCAAUUAGUACAGUUCAAUUAUACUUCAGGGGAACCCUCCUGCCAUGGAAAAAAAUAUGGGUUCUGAUUGUGCUCUGAAAACGUGUGCUGGCUAGUAGAGUAAUUCCAUGACCCCUUCAUUAUUUCUUCUUGUUUCUGCUUCCUUCCUUGGCAACCAGAAGAACCUCUACUCAUUUUCCUGUUCUCCCACUGGAAAGGCAUGCGAUGGAGUUGAGCAACAUGAUCAUUAGUGGAAGAGGGUAGUUAUUAAUCCAAGUUGUUUCCAUGAGAAAAUUGGGCUAAAGAACUGAAGAAGAGGGAAGUCAUCCGAAGUGACGUUAAUUUAUUAAAGAGACUGGCCACAAAGCCAAAACACAGAAACACACACGAUAAUGUGUGAUUAUUACUAUUGUUACUCGUUUCCAGUCACCGUAAGUGACUGUACUUUAUUAUCAACACCGCUGCAAAAGCCCUAGAACCAGACAACUUGCAUGCUCUGGCAGGCUUGUCCGGAGCCGCACCUUUCCGGCAGCUUCUGUGCUAUCUGCAUCAUCUCCUGCUGCUGCUCUCUCUGACCCUGACCCUGUCCCUGACCCUGACCCUGACCCUGACCCUGACCCUGACCCUGACCCUGACCCUGCUGCCUUUGCACUAUCUGGCGGAGACCCUCACACUGGCAUUGCUGAUCCAUGUUCUGCAACGCUUGGCAGCACUGGCGGAGCCAUUGCUGUUCCUGUUGUUGCUGGUUUCGGAUGCCCCGUAAAAUCAGUACGUCACCCUGCCCGCCCUGCUGUUGCUCCGCUUGCUGCCUAAUGUACCGUUCGCACUGCUGGAACUGCUGGCCUUGUAUCUGCUGCCUGCACCUCUGGCUCUGGCUCCCCUGGAACUGCCCAAAUUCGGACCCAUCAUCCCUGGUGAUGACGGUGGUUUGGUAGAUGGUGGCGUUGGAGAUGGCUAGGAGGAGGAGGAGAGUAGCUGCGAAAAUUGAGAGCUUCGCCAUCGUUUUUUUGUAAUGAGAGAGAGGGAUCGAUGAUGAGUGAGUGAAGAGGGGGAUGAAGGGCAGUUAUUUAUAGUGAAGUCCAGGACUUGCAUGGGGUGUGUACGUGGAAGUGGGCUGGGGAUAGGGCAGGUUUAUGGUGGGAGGUGUGGACGUGUGGAGGUUAGUUUGCAUGCUGAAAUGGAAGCAUUCAUGGAAAGGCUGCCAUAAACUGAUUUUGAUUGUAAUACUGCUUCCUAUACAUUUAAUGCUGCAGUUAAAGUUACCUUGUCCUUUUUUUUGGAGGUGACAGACAUGCUCAUUAACAGCAAGUAGUAUGCUUCUGUUUGGAGAAGCAAAGCCCACCCCAUUAGGAAUGUUUCAAAAUAGACCUUAUUUAGGAUUCUUGGACCUAAAACAAAGCAAUAAUUUUGAAGGGCAGUUUUGGUAGGAUUUAGGUUUAAUUAAAGGCUAAAGAGAUUCCUGAGGCUUAUACAAGAGGGCAAAAUUUUUUCGAAUGGAUAUGGACUUUGAACACAAGCCUCUCAGCACCAACCCACCAACUCAAUUUGGGCUGUAAGGCUCCGGCCCAACCUUCACUCUUCAACUGGAUUAAGCCUCCGUAUGGGCUACUCCAGCUCAAUAUAACCCAGUCUCUCUCUUCAGGCCCAGUUUCAGAAAGUGCCACUCACAAGCCCAGAGCGGCCACAACGCCCAACAACCGUACCGCCCUGGAAAACGACGUCGUUCAAAGUCUCUAGCCCACCUGCCUGGUCCCCGCUGAGUCCAGCCUUGGUGCAGCCCAUAUCCUAUCAACGGUAACUCUUUUUCCAAAAAGCAGACGUGACGGACCAGACUAACGCUUUACAAAUCGCUAUAAACAUAUCAUCCAACCGUGAAUACAGGAGAGUACAUAUAUAAUCCGUACUUCCGCGAGUAGCGUUUUCCCUAACCGACGUAAUCCCACCCCACCUCAACUUUAUAUAUUCGAGAACUACUCGAUUUCUGACUCUAUCUUUAGGUUUCUCGGACUUAUCCGAUCUAGGGUUUCUUAGCUCACCGAUAUUCAUUUCUGAAACCCUAUUCUCGGAUCAGGUGAUUUUCUUUUCUUUUGUCUGAAUCAUCUUAAUUGUAUUUCUGAUGUGAAUUGCAGUUUUUUGUCUUAUAAGAUCUCAUCCUCUGCGGGGAAUUUUUAAUAUUUUGUAUUCAUGAUUUGGGUUUUUAAAAAAAAUAUUUCAUUGGGGCUUAAUUUUGGUAGAUUUUGGGUUUCCGGUGAUUUCGUGGUUGGAUUGCGUGUUUUCCCCCCUUAAGGAUCUGAUUGUUUUGAUGGAAAUUAAUUGGUUGGAAAUUUCCUUUUCGGGAAGGAAAAGUGAAAAAAUUUUAUCUUCAAAGAGUCAAGGUUAAAUUUUGUUCAAUAACUAUGCUCUUUUUGUGCCCGGUUCCCUUGAUUUUGUUUAUAGACGAUUAUGCUUUCUUUAGUUUUGCUAAGAAUCGAAGAAAAAAAUAUAGCUUGAAUAUUGUAAUUGGUUGCGAUUGAAGCCGCAAAUUGUUUUGUUUUUCUGCCUGCUAAAUCUGACUUUAAAUUAGAAGGGCUACUUUUAUGUACAAACAAUUGGAUCUUAUUUGGAGCCCUAGCUCUUUGAAAUUUGCAAAUCUUGAUCGAGGUUGGGGAGAUUGGGCUUUUCUCGAAUUUAAAUUUAUUUUGAAAUUUUAUUUGGAAAACAAGUGCAUGCAAAUUUAGAUUUUCCUAUCUGGUUUAGCCUCGUCUGUGUUUAAGCCGUUAUAUCCAUUUGAUGCUUUAUGAUAUUCAAUCAGAGGAACGCAAUGAAAUCACUGUGUUUGUAAGGUCCUUAAAUGGGUCUUCUUGCUUAUACAGCUUCUGUAAUUACCCCAUUUGUUUUAUGUUGGAGAUCAUCAUGAUUCCUCUCCAGCCAGUAUGUUCUGUUUAUAAUGUUGCUGAGGUGCUUUGAUGUAAUUUAAGUUUGGAAUUAGAGCAGAUUGAUUCUAGGCGUUACCUAUGUGGUGGUAUAAUUGAUGAAUUUGGUUCUGGCAUACCGAUAUAGAGAGUUUAUCAUACAUAUGUAUUCAGCGAUGUUGCUACAGUUAGGAGUAUCGUCAUUUGAGAUAGUAAUGAGAUUCAUAGUUUGAUUUGGUAUACAAGUAACUAUUGUACCCAAACACCCACUGGAACAAGUCAUCGAUCUGUGAUUCUUCCUUGAAGCAGUCUACCAAAUUCUAGAACUUGAAUCAUUUUUCUUGUUGAUGAUGCUGAUUUCUCUUUUUUUCUUAUAAUCCAGGUCUGAUUACUCUGGUUGUCAGGUUCGAUCAAUUUCCAACAGCCAAGUUUCAUGUCUGAACUCGACAUCCAGAUCCCCACUGCUUUUGGUAUGCUAAUAUGAUGAACUUGCUUGUGUACAAAUUUUUCCAAUUAUGUUCUUAAAGUUUGGUUGGUGUCUACUUCUUUUGCAACUCUGAUUAAUGGUCUAUGUUAUAUUCUUCCAAUAUUAGAUCCGUUUGCUGAGGCAAAUGCUGAGGACUCAGGUGCUGGGUCAAAAGAUUAUGUGCAUAUCCGCAUACAGCAACGGAACGGAAGGAAAAGCCUGACAACUGUCCAGGGUCUGCGAAAAGAAUUUAGUUACAACAAGAUCCUCAAGGACCUCAAGAAGGAAUUCUGCUGCAAUGGUACUGUUGUUCAAGACCCGGAACUAGGCCAGGUGUGUGUUUCAACUCCUUUUAUGGAAAACCAUUUGUUUUUAUUUUACCUGCUGUCAUAAUAUGCCUAAUUCGAUUCACAUACGCUGUUGUGCAUUUGUAGGUUAUUCAACUUCAAGGUGAUCAGCGAAAGAAUGUUUCAACCUUUCUUGUGCAGGUAAUGUGAUGUUUCUCCCUUUACCAUCAACUUUGAAAAUCAAAAAUCAAAUACAUAUCCAUUCAAGCACAAACAAAUUGAUGUGGUUUGGUUAUUGGCUUCCCUGCAACAGGCUGGCAUUGUGAAGAAGGAGGAUAUCAAGAUUCAUGGUUUCUGAUUUGCUGCGGAUCGAUUUCUGACAGGCGAAUGCUAUCCCCUAUCCGGAUAUUAGAAUAUAAACCCAUAAUAUUAUAAUACUAUCAGUGCAGAGCACUUUUUAUCUGAACUUCAAAAUAUAAACCGAUAACAUCGCCGGUAUGUUGAUUUGAUAUACAAUCAUACUUGGUUUGGGUCUUUAAGCUGCCUUUCUCUGUAAUGUGGUUUGAAAAUGGAAUGUUCGACAGUGCUGAUUUCAGUCCAGAAUAAUAAUUAUGAUUAUCAAGUAAUGCCCCUGACUACCUUUCUUUGUGGUUUUAGUUUUAGUCAUUGGUGCAUGAUUCUUGGUUAUAAUCUAGUCGUGAAAUAGUUGGGUUUCAGGCCUUACCUGCAAAACAAUUUUGGAUAUGGAAAACAGUUGGUAAGUAGUGUUGCUCUAUUUCAAUGAGGUUGCAGGUUUCUGGUGAUUUGUUCUUUGAAUUGCUGGCUGUGUUGCCCAAUCCUUCGCUUAAGUCUAAAGUUUUUAUUUAUAAAAUGGUGCUCUAGCGACUUUUGUACUAAAGUCUGAAUAUUUGUUGUGAAUUUGUCAUAAAUCUCACAAUAAUGGACGGAAUAGAUUCUCACACCACUUUAUAUGAAGUGUAGUAUGAUGCUAUAGGCUAUUAUGCUUAUGGACAUGUGGGAUGUUAUCUCCUUUGCAACCAUGCAUCACCUACCUAGCUGAUGAGUAUGCAAGAGAAAGCUAUAAGAGACCUAGUUGGGGAAAAACCAGGUUUGCAUUAUAAUUCUCAUGUAUUCCUUCACAUGAUCGUCGAAGAGACUUCCUCGAGCAUCCUUUGUUUUGGUAGAUGUCCUUCCACCAAGGACUAAGGAAAGGAUGUUUGUUGCUUUACCAAAACCAAAUGAAAUCUAGCUCGCAACACGACCCUUUUUUAUGCUCCAACAGAUGGUAGUUAUGCCACUCUCCUCUCGCACAUUACCUAUAGAUGUGAUGAUUUACUAAAAGAUAUCUAAGAUUGAUGGGUCAGCAAUUGAAGCAACCUAUAGAUUUUAUGAUCUACUAAAAGAUAUCUAAAAUUGAAUGGUUGGUAAUUGAAGCAGGUGUUGGAGUAGCGGAGCUAGUGCUAGCAACAAGAAAAACCUACCUUACUCAACCAUAGUGGGUAAAUUGUGUUGGACCUUACCCCAUGUUAAAACUUUGUUUAUUUUUAAGUAUGCAAUUAAUUUUAUAAUUAUAUUCUUUCCAUAUUUACCCUAAUCUGUGAACCAAAUAAAAAAUUGUUUUCUGAAAAGAUAAUUUUGAUUUAAAAACUAAAUUUUGAAGUUUUUAAAGAAGCAACUUUAAAUUUUAAUUUUAAAAUUUAUAUUAAAAUUAAUUUUUCAAAAGAUAAAUUCAAUACAACCCUUUAAGAAACAACUUCUCAAGCGAAUUUUAGAAAUUGCAAUAGAUUUGAAAAUAUUUUUUCUGUUAUAAUAAAUCUCAAAUUUUUCUAUAACUUCAUUUUUUUCCAAAUAUUUAAAAGAAAUGAUAAGAUUAUAAAAAAAAAUGGGGCUUAGGCUAACUUGUUUUAAUUUAAUGUCCAUGAUAGUAUUGUAUACUUCUUUACUAGACAAAGGUGUCGACCUAUUUUCCUUAUUUCUAAUAUUUAUUAACAUGUUUUGAAAAAAAAAUCUAAAAACAAUUUAAAUUUGUUGUUAAAAAACACGUUCUAUUUUUAAAACAUCUCUUAAAAAAAUUAUUUUCAAUCAAAAUCUUUUAAACAUAUUUUUAAAAUUGGAAACGUUGUUUCCUAUUAUAAAGUGUUGAAAUUUCAUGUGCUAUUUUCUUGAAUUUAAAAGUUUGUUUUACAUUGUAAUGUCAAAUUGAGUUUGAUGCUACUCACUCUACCAAAUACACAAAAUAAAUAAAAUAAAAUAAAAUAAUAAUAAUAAUGAAGUUCAUUCAUUAAUUACAUCCUAAAAUAAUAAUAAUGAAGUUCAUUCAUUAAUUUCAUCCUAAAAAAAAUACAGGUAUAAUUAACGUUUCUACUUUUUACUUAUCAGAUUAUGAAAAAUCGGGGAUACGGAUCGAAAAUAAAUCUGGAUUCCAACGAUGAAAUCAAGACUCAGACUAAAAGCAAAUCCACUAAGAAACCUUAAAGUCAACCUGACAGUAAAUCCUAGUCUUAACAAUUCAUUAGUAUCCUAUGAUAGAAAAUUGUUUCAAGGAUACGAAUGGAAAAUAAAUCUGGAUUCAAACAAUGAAAUCAAGACUCAAGAGGCAGACUAAAAGCAAACCCAGUAAAAAACCUUGAAGUCAACGUACUCCAACAUGUACUUAAAUCCCGGUCUUAACAAUAUAUUCAUGUUUUUUAUAUUAAAUAAUAUAAUUAUUAGUAUCCUAUGGUAGGAAAUUGUUUUACCUAUAACUGUCAUCAAUUGAUGUUUUAAUUAUAACCAUAAUCAAUUGACUCAUUUCCCAUCAAAUAAUUUGAUGCUUAGUAUCCUCCAAUACCUUAUUGACAAUUAUACAUUUAGGUGAAAGCCUCGUCAUUUUUAAAGUGAUUGAGGUGAUGUUGAUUGCAAACGGUGGGCAUUCAUUCUAAUGCUUGAUAUAAAAGCCAAUAACAUAUAUGUCUCAUGAUUUUUAAAGUGAUUGAGGUGAUGUUGAUUGCAAACGGUGGGCAUUCAUUCCAAUGCUUGAUAUAAAAGCCAAUAACAUUUAUGUCUCAUGAAGGUAACAGAAUGUCACGCAAUUGUCGGUGUGGGCCGUCCGGCUGGCGUGUCAUGUAAAUAGAAUCAAACAAGGAUUACACUUUUUUUGUUUUGAAUUUAUAAUGUACAAUAAAAACUUUUGCUUAUAAAUAUUGUUCGAUUUCAAUAGAAUAAUAGUUGAACAAAUCCACGUUUUAAGACAAAUAUAAAAGUCAAAGUGAAAUUGAUCCUUAACUAUUCAUAAUAAUGAAAAUAAUAUAUUUAACGCAAAUAAAUUAUUCUUAAGUGCAACUUUAAUUUAUUUUUAUUUAUUUUAACUCUUUUAUAAAAAAAAAUAAAAAAAUUUGAAAAUACAUAAGUUUCAAAUUACCUUUAUUUAUAAUUGAUACUUGAGAAAAUAAAGACUAAUCUUAAAUGAGAAAAACGUCCAAGAGAGGGGUGAAUUGGAUUUUUUAAAAACUUUUUCAACGCAACAAAUUUAAGCACAAUGGAAGCAAAAUAUAAUGAGAUAAAGUUAGAUAAUUCAAACUCAGAUUUUAUAGUGAUUCGACACUUCCUUACUUAUAUCCACUCUCCUCAAGCUCCUAACUGAAUGAAGGUUCCACUAACUUGAAGUUUCAAUCAAACUUCUAAUCUUCUUUAUACUUAGAUUCCGGCUCUAAUAGGCUCUUACACAAUCUCUUUAAGAUUCAACUCACUUGAAAACUCUAACACUCAAUUUUAUAAGAAUGAAUCCCUUAACCUAACUCAAUGAUAACUCAAAUACAAAUCAAAGCUAGGAUGAAAUACAAAGGUGCACUAAAGGAUAUGCAAGUGAAGAUUUAAUGCACCAAGAAAGAAAUAAGAGCUUUUAAGGUAAGAACAAGUGGGUAGACAAUUGAAUGCAGUUGUUCUCUAUGUCACAAAUGAAGUGGAUCUCUCAAUUUAUAGGUUUCUAACAUUAGAAGCCAAAAAAAACAAAAAACAGUCUCAACCGGUCAAGUUGAGGGUCAACCGGUUCACUAGCCGUUAGAGCAUUUAAUGCUUUUGCAGGUUACUGUUGCUUCGACCGGAGGUAGACCGUGAAGAAGGAUUCCUCAACUGGGAAAGGAAUGCUACUAAAUGAGAGAGUAUUUUCAGCACUCCUCGACUGGACCUCGACUAGACAAGGGCAACCGAUCGACCGGUUCCCUUGCCGAUUGAGCUGGUUGGCCAGUGUCUCAACCAGUUCGACCUUUUGGCCCCAAAAACCUUUUUUUUUUUUUUCUGUUGACUAAUAUGCCAAUUUUGAAAUGUUUUGCCUAAUGUACAUUUGAUAAAACUUAGGUUUCAAUGAAAUUGUAACUUUAAAGAAUAAACUGAGUUUUCCAAAGAUGCAUGAAAUGAAAUAUAAAACCUAAGUGCACUCAUUCAUUCAGCUUACAAUUGUUUCCUAUGAUUAAAAGUCUUCUAAAUGUCUUGAUCUUGUAUCCAUUAGGUCAUUUGAUGAAUUUCUAAAUUAAUACCUGAGAUUCUUUACAAAUCAAACCAAUUAGUAACUUAACCAUGGUUUGUUAUUAUCAAAACUUGAUUAGGAGAACCCUUGGACUAACAAUUGCUUUUAGGAGAGUUGGUAACACCUGAGGUCCUACAAGUGGUAUCAAAGCCGAGGUCACGGGUUUGAACCCCAUGAGUGUCGCUGAGGGGGAGAUUGUUGGCAGAUCGGAGAGUUGGCCACAUCCAUCAACUCUUCUUGUGUUCGUCGUUGGCGCUUAGGUGAAUGCACUAUAAGGUUAGGAUAUACGCCUUUUCUAACAACAAUUGUUUUUAGGAGAGUUGGUAUCGUUUGAGGUCCUACAAUACUUUUAAUAUUUUUUAUAAUAAAAACAAUUAUGGGAAAUCAUUUCUAAAUAUAGUUUUCGUUAUAACUUGGUCCAAUUCUCGAAGUAUCUUUCCAUUAAGUUUAUGAUUUAUUCUAAAUUUUUCUAAGAUAAUUUUUAUUAUGAGAUGGCCCGUUUUGUUGUGUAUACUUAAAAACUUUUGCUAUAAUAAUAUUUUACUUUGGGUUAAAUGGUUGCCUUUAUUAUUAAGAAAUAUAACCUAUAAAUACUGAUUAUGAUAAAAAAUUCUAUUAGUUUGUUUUAUUUUGGUCUUAUAAAAAUGAGUUUAUUCAUAAAAUUAUUUGUAUAAUGGACUAAGAUUUAAAAGAUUAAAAUUAUUCAUGUAUAAUAUAAUCUCUAAAUACAUUAUCAUUCAUAAAAUAAUUUCAUACAAAUUAUAAUUUAAUUUUAUAUCCUUUAAUAUAAAUAUAUAAUAAAACCAAAAUAUAUUAUAAUUUUAAUAAUAAUAUGUUUUUAAAUUCUAUAAAUAAAAACUUAUAGAAAUAUUGAGAAAACUUCAAGAAAUGGAAAGAUAAGAAUUUUUAUAUAUAUCCAUCAAUAUAUCCAUGAAAACCGAUAUUGAUAUUUUGAUCAAUAUAUAUACAUUGAAGAGUUCUUAUCUUGUUAUUUCUUAAAGUUUUCUCAAUAUUUCUAUAAAUUUUUAUCAAUUUUUGUCUCAAAAUUUUCACUCAUAUAUCACAAUAUAUCUAUAAAACCCAAUUAUCGAUAUAUUCGUCAGAGAACCAUCAAAGAGUGGCAAACACCUACUAAGGUGAGUGAACUAAGAUUGUUUGGGCUAUUCAUUGUAAGUUACUUAAAGAUGGUUCGACUCAAAAAUCCUCUAGAAUACACGAACUCAUCAUGGCACUACACUAAUAAAAAAAGUGUCUUAAGAGUUUUUGAGGACUUAAAAGGGUUGUGAUUGAUGACCCGUGUUACGGAUGUCAUAUUACACUAAACCAUUGGAAGUACACACAGAUGCAUACUAUGCCACCAUGAAAACCGAUAUUGAUAUUUUUAUCAUUGGCUAUGCCAUGAAAUAUCUCUUUUAAUUAUCCUUAGAGUAUAAUUGUCCCUAAAUUAUAUUAAUGUUAACCAUCAACAAAUCAUUUAAAUUAAAUAAUAUAAUUAUGCUAUUGCACUAAUUUAUUAGCAUAGUAUCUUCUAUCCCAUAACUAGUUGAUUAUCUUCAAUUUAUGGAAACUUUUGGAAUCUGAACUUGAUUCAAAGCUCUUCCAAAUCUAAAGAUAGAUCUCUUAAAACAAACUCACAAAAUUGUGCCAUAUAUGUAGCAUGAAUACAUUAGAAAAUUAUUCUUAAUGUAGAGUGUUAAGGCACAAAAAUUAUGAAAUUCUUUUUCUAGGUUAUGGAGUUAAUUUUUUUUCAUGCAUUUACAAAUUGUGCUUUAAAACAAUGAAAAAAAAAAUUGUUUGUUUAUUGCAACUCAAGUAAACUUUAGCUUCAUGGAAAAAACUGAGUGGGCUCGAACUGGAUAUUUGAAAUCGAAAUGGAAUUUGUAAUCUUCGUGGUAAAAGGUAGCCCACCACCUAAAAUAUAGCACUUGUAGUUUAGGGUAUUUUGAUAAAAAUAUAGGAUUUUUGAAAAAUAUAUUUUUAUAAUAUGAUAAUAGAAAUAUAAUUUCCAUAUUUACAUGUGAUGAACCAAGUAAAAAAUUAUUUUUUGAAAAGAUAAUUUUGAUUUAAAUAUUAAAUUUUGAAGUUAUUUAAAAAAAACAUAAGAUAACUUUGAUACUUUAAGAGACAAUUUCUCAAUCAUAUUUUACAAAUUGUUAUAGAUUUGAAAAUUUUUUUUAACUAUAAGAAAUUCCAGGUUAUUUCUGUAACUAUGAUUUUUGACAAAUAUUUAAAAAAAAAUGGUGAGAUUAUGAAAAAGAAAAUAUUGUGUUUAGAUUAACAUGGUGUUAAAUAUGAAAAAUAAUUUUUUUUAAAUGUAAUUUCUAUGAUAUACUUGUUUACAAUACAGAAGUUCUCGGUCUAUUUUCCUUGUUUUUUUAUUAAAAUUUUCUAAAAAAACACCUAAAUAUGAUUUAAAUUUGUUCUAAAAAAUUGUUUUGCUUUUAAAAUAAACUCUCAAAAAUUAUAUUCAAUCAAAAUAUUUUAAAUAUAUUUUUGAAAUUGAAAAUGCUAUUUCCUAUUGUAAAGAAAAAAAAAAUCCCAUCAAAUUAAAAGUUUAUUUAAAAUCAUAAUAUCAAAAUGAGUUUGAUACCACCUACCAUACCAACUAAAUAAAAAUAUUUAAUAAUCAAGCUCUUUCAUUAAUUUCUAGUUCAUCUUUCACAAAAAAAAAAUAAAAAGUACAAAUAUGAACGGAAACACAACAAAGAAUUCAAAAACUGGAAUCCAGAGAUACCAAAAGUAAACAAAACCAAAAAAAUAUAUAUGUACUUAAAUUCUAGUCUUUACAAGUUAUUAUUUGUUAAUAUCUGUAAUAAAUAAUUAUUUUAGGUAUAACUGCCAUCAACUCACUCCUUUUAUAUGAAGUAAUAUGAUCUUUAGUAUUCUCCAAUAUCUCAUUUACAAUCACAAAUUUAGAUAAAACCCUCUUGUAUUGAAAUUUUUGUGAAACCCUCAUUUUUAAAGUCAUUGACGUGAUGUUGACUGCAAUGGUAGGCAUGGAUUCUAAUACUUGAUAUAAAAGCCAGUAGCAUCUAAUAUCACAUGAUGGUAACGAAAUGUCAUGCUUGAUGCAUGAUUGUGGGCCUGCAUUUGGUGUUUCACGGAAAUAGAAUCAAACAAGACCACACCUUUUCUGAUAAUAUACAAUAAAACACUUUUAUAAAUAUUAUUUAUUUUCAAUAUAACUUCAUUUUCAGUUGCAGUGGAGUAAGUAAUAUAAUAAUAAUUACAUAAAUUCAACAAAUUCACCUUUUAAGGUACCAUUUUUUAAGAUAAAUAUGAAUGUAAAAUUCUAAAACAUAGUUAAGAAACUAUCAAAUUCUUUAUUAAACCAUACGGAUUUUGUUAUUUACGUCAUGCUUACUUUCGAAAAAAUUGAGGGAAUUAUAAGGGAAAGAAAAUAAAAUAAAUAAAUAAAUUUAAAAACAAGGAAUCAUUUUUAUAUAUUAUUUCAUUCCCCUUUAUUUAUAUUUGAUUAAAAAGAAAGAGUAUAGAUGAAUGCAUCAUUGCCCUGAUUUUUUUUUAAUAUUUUUAUAAUUAAAUUAAAUAUGAAAAAAUCAUUUAUCUUUUUAUUUUUCUUUAUUAUUAUUUUUUUAAUAUUUUCUAGUAACCAAAUAUAAAGUAACAUAGUUUCAAAGUAAUAGAAUAACCAGCAUAACAACAAAUUGGAAUAGUGAGCAAUUACGGCUAGAGCAGUCAUGGAGCAAAGCUUUCUAUUAUAUUCUCACUCUUCUCCAUCAAUGGUAAGAUCAGUUUCCGGGGCACAACAUUGCCUUUGGUGGCCAGCUGGUAAAGAUAAAAUCAAUUCUUUGGACCAUCAUGUGGCAUUAUGUCACCUAAAUGCCAUCCUUUUUGUAGUAUUCCUUUUCUCAUAAUGGUCAUGAUGAUGAAACCAAGUGUUCAGAAUAUCGGUCUAUUGAAUUUAUGAAUAUUUUAUUAUUUUCUAAAGAUAGUUUUCAUUGGUCCAAUUCUCGUAUCUUUCCAUUAAAUAUAUGAUGACUUCUGCAUUUUUCCUUUUUCUUUUUUUAUAAAUUCAAAAAUAAUUUAAAUUUGGUCUAAAAGUAUUAUUUUCAAUCAAAAUCUUUUACAUAUAUAUUUGAAGGUUGAAAAACUAUUUCCUAUAAUACAACUUUUGAACUUAAAUUUUUUUUUUCCUAGCUUUAUUUAAUUUCAAAAUGAGUUUGAUGCAACCUGGCCAAGUACAUAAAAAUUGGUACUAAGCAAUCUCAUUCAUUAAUUUUCAAACUUCAUCUAUUAUAAUUUAAAAAAAAAAAUAGAUAUUCAAUCAAAGGAAAAGGAUUGAUCACCAAUUAUAUUUGUGAAAUCACCCUUUUAUGUUUUGGAUGUUUAAUGAAGAAUAAAACCUUUUAUUUAUAAAUAUUAUUAAUUUUCAAUAUAACUUCAUUUUCAAUUAAAUGGGAGUAAGCAAUAGAAGAAUAAUUACACAAGUUCAACUUAUUCACGGGAACAUUUUUGAAGAUAAAUAUAAAAAUAAAAUUCAAGAUUUUUUUGUGUAGGUUGUUUAGUUUCAGAAAAUUUGUGGAAAUUUUUAAAAUUUUUAUGAAGGAAAUGAAAGAAAAAAUAAAAUAAAAUAAAAUAUAUAUUUAAAAUUAAUAAAUUAUUUUUUAAUUUUACAUUGAUUUAUUUAUUUAUUUAAAUUUAUUUUAUUUAUAUUUGAUUUUCUUAAAUAUUUUUCAUAAUAAAAUAACAUAAUUAAUAGUUUUUUAAGUAAAAAAAUAAUUAGCAUAACAACACAUUACAAAUAGUGAAACAAGUUUAGUCGUAACAGUUACGGAGGAAAGACUCAUCCAAGAAAGCCGCAAAGCCUUACUUUGUAUUUUUUGUUCUAUUUUUCAAAUAUCGUGACGAUGAGAUUAAAUAUUCAAAAUAUCAUUUAUCAUUUUAUUAAAUUUAUAAAAAAAAUUUAUCUUUCGUUUUUUUAUAGGUACAUUUUAACAUAUCUAAUUUGAAAGGAGAUUAAAUAUUCAAAAUAUCAUUUAUCAUUUUAUUAAAUUUAUAAAAAAAAUUUAUCUUUCGUUUUUUUAUAGGUACAUUUUAACAUAUCUAAUUUGAAAGGAUACUUAUAUAACCAUGAUAAAUUUUUUUAUAGAAAAUAUAUAAAUAAUAAUAAUAUUUCAAUAUUCAAUCCUUCAUUAUAUAUAUAUUGGAAAAAUGAAAUUAAGAAAAUAAUAAAACUACAUAUUCUAGUUUCUCUAUAAUUAUAGUUAGUUUCCGUUUGAAUUUGAAUGGUAAUAUUAGCAAAUUUGCAACCUAGUUAGUUUUCAUUUGAAUUUGAAUGGUAAGAUUUGCUUAGUUUGCAACCUACGCAGCAUCCUCCAUUUUCUCUUUCUUAGUUAUCUUGUAUUUUUAAAUAAAGAUUCUAGUUUUCCAAUAAUUAUUUAGUUAGUUCACUUUUCACCCUGUCAUAAUCAAGUAUCUCAUUUACUGCCUUCCCAUUCCAUACCCGUUUUCUGAUCAUCAUCAUCUGAAUCACAUUACACCCUUCCAUACCUGUUUUCCGACGACUCCCGAUGCCACAGUAUUUCCUACUCUUCAAUCAAUCCACCUAUAUUAAAUAAUAUGAUUGUUAAUAUCCUCCACUAUCUCAUUUACAAUCACAAAUUUAGGUGAAACCCUCUAAUGGAAUUUUUUAAAGUCUUGAGGUGUAUGUCGAUUGCAAUGAUAGGCAUCCAUUUUAAUACUUACAUAAAAGCCAAUAGCAUCUUUAUCACAUGAAGUUAAUGAAAUGUCAUGCUUCAUGCAUGAUUGUCGGCCUCACUGCCAUUUGGUGUGUCAUGCAAAUAGAAUCAAACAAGGACCACACCUUUUUAUGAAUUUAUAAUAUACAAUAAAAGAAACUUUUAUAAAUAUUAUUCAUUUUCAAGAUAAAUACGAAAAUAAAAUUCAAACGGAUCAUUAACCAUCCAUACCAAAAGAUGAUAAAAUAUGCUAAUAAAUAUAUUAAGAAAAAUACAUUAACGAUUACAACUCUAUAGGAUUUUGUUAUUCAUGUUAUAUUUAUUUCCAAAAAAUAUGAGAAAAUUAUAAUGGAAAGAAGAAAAAAAAAAGAAAAUUAAUAAAUUAUUUUUAUAUAUUAUUUCAAAAUUUUAUAUAAAAAUACAUAAAUUUCAAAUUAACUUUACAAAAUAUCAUAUUUGCAUAUAUUAAAUUUCUCUUUACAUUUACCUUGUUCACACCUCCAUUUUAAAACAUUAAUUUUAUUAAUAUAUUCACCUGUAAAUUUAAAAAAUACUUAAAUGAUUUGAGGUAUUCCUCUCUUUCACACUCAUCUUCUUUUUUUUCUCUUUCAUAAAAAAACCUAAGAAAAAUUUUUUUUUAGGACUUAUUUUUUUAUAUAAAAAAUAUAAUAAAAUAAUUAAAAAAACAAAUAAAAAGAAUUUAGAAAUGACUUAAAAGUGAGAAAUCAUGAAAAAACUGUAAAAAAAAAAAAAUAAAUAAAUAAAUAAAUAAAUAAACCUCAUUUUAUGGUGUAUAAACCUAAAAUCGGACAAUGAAACAGAGAGUGUAUUUUUCGUAAUUUGAUUAUUUCAUUAAUUAAUAUUUUUUACUAAAAGCUGAUUAUGUAAAUGAAUGCUGAGAGAAAGGAGAUAGAUGCAUAUAUAAAUUCCCUUUAACUUUAUUUAUAUUUAAUUUUUAAAAUAUUUUUUAUAAUAAAAUCAAAUAUGAAAACAUCAUUUAAUUUUUCUUCUCUUUACUACUUUUUUUUAAUAUUUUCAUGUAACGAAAUAUAUAGUAACAUACUUUUAAAGUAAGGGAAGAACAAAUUGGAAUCGUGAAAUAGUGAAACAGGCUGUAUAAAUAAAAUAUUUGCAAUUAAAGCUUUAGCAGUCAUGGAGCAAGGACACAUCCAACAUAGCUGCAAAGCUUUCUAUUAUAUUCUCACUCUUCUCCAUUAAUAGGAAGAUCAGUUUCUGCGACACAGCAUUGCCUUAGGUGGUUAGCUGGAUAAGAUAAAACCAACUCUUUGGACUUCCACGUGAUUUUAAUAUUUUCAAACUUGACAACGACCAGGAAAAAUUAUCAAUCAUUGUUUGGAUUAAUGGUUAAACCCUGUCGAAUUGGUAACAUUAUAAAUACAUAAUUUAUAUAUUAUUAAAAUUAAUAAUAAUAAUAAUAAUAAUAACAUAUAAAUUAAAAAUUAAUAAUAUUUUAUUUUUUAUAUUAUUAAAUUAAAUCAUGCAUAAUAUAUUUUAAAUAUUAUUAUUAUUAUUAUUAUUAUAUAGCAUUUAAAUAUAAAUAUAUUGAAACUGAAGUAAAAUUAAAUUGUUUAUUUUUAACUAAUUUUAUCAUUUUAAAAAAAUAUUAUAUUGUUUUAUUUAAUAUCAUAAAUUUUUAGAAAAGAGUAUGUCUUUUUGUUUGUUAGACGUAACAUGAAAAUGCAUGUAGCCGAGUGGUUCUAUGUGGAACUUUAAUUGGUUCAUAUCCUAUGGAUUUUCUUUUAUAUAUUUCAUGAACUUUAAUAUCAUUAACAAAUGGCAUUAGGAUUGAGCUUAAGAAAUGUAAAAGGGCGAAUCUAGGCCUAUAUUAGUGGGCUUUUGUGUGAAAACAAUCUGAUUUAUUGGUUAAAUGGUAGGUUCAAGCCGCCCUCAGCCAGUUAAAUGGUCAAACGGUCCAAAAGGAAGGACCAAAACAAGAAGGUUGUCAACGAUUAGACCGAGUUUAGUAAAUCAACUUAAUGACUUAAAGUGAUUUAAUUUAUAUAAUCUCAAAUCUUUUUAAUAUAAUUUUAGAUUUAAAUAAAAAUAAAUUAACUAAUUUUUACUUAAGACUCAAAAUCAUUUUUAAUUUUAAAUUGUGAUAUUAAUUUACUUUAAUAAACAUGUUUAAUCUAUUUAAGAACUUAAAUUAAAUUAUUAAAUCACUUUAAACUAUUAAAUUGAUUUAUCAAAUACCUCUCAUCUUUUUGUAAUUUUCCUUUUAUCACAAUGUUGAUGAUGACACCAAAUAUUCAAAAUAUUAUUUUAUUGAGUUUAUGAAUUUUUAUUAUUUUUUUAAAGAUAUUUUUCAUUAUGGCAAGAAUCAAUUUUUAAGAAUAUCUUUCCAUUAAAUUUAUGAUUUCUUCUUAAAUUUUAUAAGACAUUUUUAUUAUGAGAGGGCCCGUUUGUUUGUGGUUGCAGGUAAAAUAAUGUUUUUCAGUUUUUAAGUAUGAAAAACAAACAGGCCCCCUCUUAAUAAAAAGGAUAUUAGAAAACUUAAGAAGAAAUCAGAAAUUUAAAGGAAAGAUACUCUAACAAUUGAGGCUAAGCUAUGACGAAAACUAUCUUUAAAAAAUUUAUAAAAAAAAAUCAUAAAUUCAAUAAAAUGAUAUUCUAAAUAUAUGGUGUAAUUAGAUUAAAACAAAAAAAAAUUACAAAAAGGAUGAGAGGUGUUUGAUAACUCAACUUAAUGGCUUAAAGUUAAUAACUUAAGUUAAUUUACAAAACACCUUUCAUCUUUUUUGUAAUUUUCCUUUUGUAAUGUUGAUAGUAAUGACAUCAAAUAUUCAUAAUAUCAUUUUAUUAAAUUUAUGAUUUUUUAUUAUUAUUAUUUUGGCUCAAUUCUUAGAGUAUAUUUCCAUUAAAUUUUUUAUUUCUUCUAAAUUUUCUAAUAUCUUUUUUAUUGUGAGAGGGCCAUUUAUUUGUGGUUACAUGUAAAAUAAUGUUUUUCAGUUUUUAAGUGUAUAUAUAGAAAAAAAAAUUAUUUUUCGAUAAAUGGUUGAUUUUACUUUUAAGAAAUAUAUAUAAUCCAUAAAGAUGAUGAAAAAUUAUAUUAUUUUGUUUUAUUUUGGUUUUAUAAAAAAUGAAUUUAUUUGUAAAAUUAUUCAUAUAAUUGAUUAAGAUUUAAAAGAUUAAAAUUAUUCCUAUAUUCUCAUCUUACUUUUAUCAUUUGUGAAUUGGAAGUAAAUUUUAACUAAUCUAAUUUGAAAACAUAUUUAAUAAAUAAACAAACUUAUAUCGAUGUGUUUGAUGAUGGUUUUAGAAAACGGUUUUAGUCUUUUUAACAUUGGAAUAACAAAAAAUUUCAAAUAUUAGAAAGAUUAAAAACACUUUUUAAAAUCACUAUUAAACUGAUUCAUAAUAUCCUAAAUACAACUUUUAUAUAUAUAUAUAUAUAUAUAUAUAUAUAUAAUUAAAUAAUAAUAUUUUAAUAUUUUACCUUAAAAUAAAGAAUAUAUAUAUAUAUAUGAUGUAUUUUACCACUAAUAAUAGGGAAAAGAAAGAAAUUGGAUGUGAAUAAAAAAUUAUAUAUGAAAAAAAAUCAAAGAAAUGAGAUGUGAACAAGAAACUCAGUAGCGUGAAUAAGGAAAAAAGAAGACCAAAAUUUAAGAAUGAAAUUAAGAAAAUACAAUGAACUAUGAAUUAACUAUGAUACUCUUUGUCAAAGCCAGACAUCUAUUUUAAUAGUGGAUGAUAAAGUAAGUUAUGGAUCAUGUAAAAACAACGAACUAAUCAACUCCAUUGCUUAAAAAAUGUAUGUAGUUAUCAUUAAGUAUAUCAUGAAAAUAACACCAACAAAGUACCACGACUUCAACAUUUUGCAGCAAUGUGAUGAAAGCCAAAUUGAUUUAUUAGAAAAAGAAAAAAAAACAUUAAAUAGAUUUUGUCACUUAACAAAGUCUUAGAUAGAAACCUUACUAAUUUUAUAAAACAAUUUGAUUUUCAAUUUUAUUUGAGUAAACGUGAAAUUCAAUCUCAAUCAAUGAAAUUAAGAAAAUAUUAAAAAUACAAAUUUUAGGUUAGUUAAUUUGUAAAAACCAUAAUUUCCACAAUCUUUAUGGUAUAGUAUUCUCACAAUCUCUUUCUUCCUCUUCUCUCCAAAACCUCUAUCAAAAUACCAUCAAACUCAAUACCAAUUAUAUAAUAGCCACCAUAAAUAAUUUAAAUAUUUUAAUUAUCCUAUAAAUAUGAUUAAAAAAUUUAAAAUAAAGUUCUCACAACUUUUUGUAAUGUUUGAAAAAAAAGGUACGAAAUAUGAAAAAAAAAAUCAAAAUAAAAGCAUAAUCCAAAUUAAAAUUUAAAAAUUAAAAUUAAAAUCAAAGAUAAAGACAUCAAUUUUUUGUUUUUCUUUUUUUUUUUAAAAAACAAUCAUCUAAAAGAUUGGUAAAAAUUGUCUUUCCAACAAUCGGACAUUCGUGGCUGCUGAUCUUUUCGUGAUUUUUCCUGAUAAAGUCGAUUUUUCGGCCGUAGAUCGUACACUAAAGCAUGAUAAAAUAUCCUAAUAAAUAUAUUAAGAAAAUAUCAAGUUAUUUAUUAAACAAUACCUUAACAAUUACAACAUAAUAGUUGUGGACCCCACAUUUCGACUCAAUGCGUUUCCCACCCGAUGGCGAGCUCGAUUUUUAUUUGAAAAUUUGAUUUUUAUUUAUUAUUUGAAAAUGACUUGGAGUCGCCCCUUAUUUUUGUUUUAUUUUUAAAGGGUAAACAAAAUAAGAAAGAAAAACCCUAAGUGUGACUCCUUAUUUUGGAAAAGGCGGUCUGUGAAAAACCGGAUCGGGUUCGGGGGUCAGGUUACUUAUCGGGAAUGUACGGUAAAGACCGUAGCACCCCUCUAAGUCCCUAAAGUCGGGUCUCUACUAAUAGACUGAAGCUGACGUGGCAAUCAAUGAGGAAAAUCAAUGAAUACUCAAAUCGAUCAUGCACAAUAUGAGAAGCAAAGCAUGUAUAAAGAACAAGCAAAAUACGAAUAGAUGCGUACCUGGGUGACGAGCCACAAUGCGCUAUCAAGAAGUGAGGUUAGCACACAAUUAAGGAAUAAUUUCGAGCAUGUCAUAGAGCAAAAUAAAAUCGAUCAUGCAUGGCAAUUAAAUCAAACAAAUAAUCAAUCAAUCAUAAGGAAAUCACAUAUGUUAGGCCCCCACCAAAACCCGAUUUAUAUUGCAUGAAUUAAUCUCACGAAUCCCAUUAUUUCGGAAUUAUGAAGAUUCAUCAUUCUUGCUUGUGUAAAAAUCAAAAGAAAUAGAACAUUAUUUAAAAAUCGGAGUGAAAUUAAAACUAUUCGAGAGAUAACUGGGUUUUUUGAGAUUUAUUUGGAAAUUAGAGUCUCGAAAAUUAUUUGAAGAUUAGAGUCUUGAAAAAUUAAAUUUAAGAAUUGGGAUUUUGGAUAUUAAAUUUGAAAGAAAUUAGAAUUUUAGAAAUUGGAAAUUAAGUUCAAAAAUUGGAAUUUUGAAGAAUGUUUAAAAUGGAAUUUCGAAAUAAAGAGCUAAAGUAAUAAUAAUUUAAUAGAUUAAUGUGAGUUUUGGAAUUUUGGAAUUAGAAAUUAAAUUGGGAGUUGGAAAUUUUAAUGAAUUGUUAAGAAUGAAAUUUUAGAAUAAAUAAAUAAAAUAAUAAUAAUUAAAUAGAUUAAUGUGAAUGUUGGAAUUUUGGAAUUAGCGGAAGCGGAAAUUUUAAUGAAUUGUUUAAAAAUGGAAUUUUAAAAUAAAUAAAUAAAUUAAUAAUAAUUAAAUAAAUUAAUGUGAAUAUUGGAAUUUUCAUGAAUAUAAAUUUAAUUCGGAAAUCGAAAGUUUUAAAUGACUGUUUAAAAUGAAAUUUUAGAAUAAAUAAAUAAAAUAAAAUAAAAUAAUUAAAUAGAUUAACGUGAAUAUUGGAAUUUUCAUGAAUAUAAAUUUAAUUCGAAAGUCGAAAGUUUUAAAUGAACUUUUUAAAAUGGAAUUUUAGAAUAAAUAAAUAAAAUAAUAUAAUUAAAUAGAUUAAUGUGAAUAUUGGAAUUUUUGGAAUUAGAAAUUAAAAUCGGAAAUGGAAAAUUUAACGAAUUGUUUAAUAAUAAUAAUUAAAUAAAUUAAUGUGAAUAUUGAAAUUUUCAGAAAUAGAAAUUUAAUUCGGAAGUCGAAAGUUUUAAAUGAACUGUUUAAAAUGGAAUUUUAGAAUAAAUAAAUAAAAUAAUAACAAUAAAUUAAUGUGAAUAUUGGAAUUUUCAGAAAUAGAAAUUUAAUUCGAAAAUCGAAAGUUUUAAAUGAACCGUUUAAAAUAGAAUAAAUAAAUAAAAUAAAAUAAUUAAAUAGAUUAAUGUGAAUGUUGGAAUUUUUGGAAUUAGAAAUUAAAAUCGGAAGUGGGAAAUUUUAAUGAAUUGUUUAAAAUAUAAUUUUAGAAUAAAUAAAUAAAAUGAUAAUAAUUAAAUAAAUUAAUGUGAAUAUUGGAAUUUUUAGAAAUAGAAAUUAAAUUCGGGAUUCGGAAGUUUUUAAAGAAUUAUUUAAAAUGGAAUUUUAAAAUAAAUAAACAAAAUAAUAAUGAUUAAAUAAAUUAAUGGUGAACAUUAGAAUUUUUGGAAUUAGAAAUUAAAUUNNNNNNNNNNNNNNNNNNNNNNNNNNNNNNNNNNNNNNNNNNNNNNNNNNNNNNNNNNNNNNNNNNNNNNNNNNNNNNNNNNNNNNNNNNNNNNNNNNNNNNNNNNNNNNNNNNNNNNNNNNNNNNNNNNNNNNNNNNNNNNNNNNNNNNNNNNNNNNNNNNNNNNNNNNNNNNNNNNNGAAUUGUUUAAAAUAUAAUUUUAAAAUAAAUAAAUAAGUAAACAAAUAAAACAACAAUAACACAAUGCUAAUAAUAAAUAAAACCCCUACUUUAUGCUAACAUCUUUGGCUCACAAGUGCCUCCAUUAAAACUCCCUUAAAAGAAUAAAUAAAUAAAAACCUUUGCUUCCACACUUUCUUCCUGCAACUCCCCACUAACCCAUUCUCAGAAAAUGCCUCAAGCUCAACGCAAACACCAAUGACCCUUCUCACAACCAAGAUAUUAAAAUAGCCUAAUUUUUCUGCAAAUCUCAUACCGAGCAUCCACGUUUUCCUCCACAAAACUCCCAAAUCAAAACCCACAAAAACCCUUUUCAAAUCAUCAAACAAAUGCACCAGCAUCAAGGCCUAAAUCACCCUUCCCACCCAAAACAAAUGGAAAAGCCAAACGAAAUCCAAAAACAGAAUACAUUAUUAAGCCCAAAAACCCUAAACCGACACAACCUACGUGAUAAAAUCGUCCCGAGCUUAUUCCAUGGAAGCCCGAAACCCGAAAGCGCACCAACCGCAUCAAGAUUCUUCCAUCCUCCGCAAAGAAGAAUUUAUUAGGAGACAAAAACCCAAAAAUUUCUUUAUGGGUUAUCCCAAUAGAAAUAAUGAAGAGAAACAAAAACCAGAAAUGAAAAAAAAAAUAAAAUUCAUGGCCAUACCUGGGCUUCUUCCCGCAAAUCUCUCUCAGCUUUUCCACCUCCCAAAACCCCCCAUUUCGAGCUCCCCCCUAGCUUCAGGUCCACUACCGAAAAAAAACUCUUUUUCCUCUCCUGGCAGCUUCUUUUUUUGCUCCUUCCCAAAAACCCUCCUCCGCGAAUGCUCUUCCCCCCUCAGACCUGCUCUCCUUUUUCUUUCCCGCCCAUUCUCCUGUCUUUUCGUCCCAUCUCGCCGCCACCACCAGCUUGAUUUCGGGGUGGUCAGAUGAAUAAACAAAGAAAAACCAUCAUCAUGAAAAAAAAAACUUUUACCCUUCGGGGGGUCUACAAUAGUAUACGCUAUGUUUACUUCUAAGAAAUUCGAGGGAAUUAUAAGAAAAGUAAAAUAAAAAGAUUUAAAGAUGUUAAAUUACUUUAAUUUAUUUUAAAGUUUUAUAUAAAGAUAAAAUAAUUUCAAAAUACAUAAAUUUUAAAUUAAUUUAAAAUAUAUAUAAUUACAUUUACCAAAUUUCUCAUACCUCUCAUUUUAAAACAUUAAUCUUAUUCAUACAUUUACAACAAAUUUUGAAUAUACCCAAAAGUACUCUUUAUAUUCUUUUCCUUCCCACUCAUUUUCUUUUCUUUUUUUUUUUUUCAAUUUUUUUUCUUUUCAAUAAUAAAUCCUAAGAGAAAAUAUAUUUAAUGUUUAUUCUUUAUGUGUAUUUAAAAAAAACUUUGUUAUAAAAAUGAUUAAAAAACAAUUAGAAGUAGGAAAUCUUGAAAAGUGAAAGAAAUAUUAAAAAGGAAAAAAAUUAUGUCAUAAUAAAUUGACUUGAAAGGUUGGACACAAGAAAAAUGUAUCAACAUUUUUUUAUCCUCAAAACUAAUUAUUUGGAUGGAUGCAAAGAUAAAUCGAUAAAUGCAAAUAUAGUUUCCUUAAACUUUAUUUAUAUUUGAUUUUUCUAAUAUUUUUAUUAUAAAAUUAAAUAUUAAAAAUGUUUUCUUGGAACCGAAUAUAAAGUAAAGUAAGAGAAUUGUAACCAGCGUAUUGCAAUUACAGCUAGAGCAGUCAUGGAGCAAGGACAGCUUUCUAUUAUAUUCUCACUCUCCUCCAUUAAUAGUAAGAUCAGUUUCUGCUGCACAACACUGCCAUAGGUGGCUAGCUGGUAAAGACAAAACAAUUCUUUGGACCUUCAUGUGAUAUUAUGUCAUCUAAAUGUCAUCCUUUUUGUAAUUUUCCUUUUCUCAUCAUGCUGAUGAUGAUGACACCAGAUACUCAGAGUAUCAUUUUAUUGAAUUUAUAAUUUUUUUUUAAAGGUAGUUUUUGUUACGAUGUACUCAAUUCUUAGAGUAUAUUUCCAUUAAAUUUAUGAUUUCUUCUAAAGUUUUUCUAAUUUCUUUUUUUAUUAUGAGAGGGCCCGUUUGGAUGUGGUUACAUGAAAAUUAAUGUUUUUUUUUUAGUUUUUACGCGUAUAUGCUGAAAAACUUUUGCUAUAAUAAUAUUUUAUUUUAGGAUAAAUGGUUUAUUUUAUUUUUAAGAAAUAUAAUAUGUGAAUAUUGUUAUAAUGAAAAGUUAUAUUAUUUUGUUUUAUUUUUGUGUUAUAAUUCAUAAAAUAAUUUGUAUAAUUGAUUAAGAUUUAAAAGAUUAAAAUUAUUAAUAUAUUCUUGUAUUACCUUUAUCAUAUAUGAAUUGGGUAUAAAUUUUAACCAAUCUAAUUUGAAAACACAUUUAAUAAAUAAAUGUACAUUUUAAUAUUUAAUCUUAAAAGUAUAUCUAAUGUAUUUCACUAUUAUUAAUAAAAUCAAAACCUUCAAAAACGUUUUGAUUUAUAAAAAAAGUGAAAGAAAAUGAAUGUGAAUAAGAAAUUAACAAUGAAUAAAAAGAUACAAAAGAAAUGAUAUGUAAACUAGAAUGAAUGACAACGGGGAGGGUUCAGGACGAGUCGCCCCCAUCCCAACUCCGCCCCGUUUAUUCAAAACAAAUCUCAUUCCUGUCUCAUUUAAAAAAUUAAACGGGAUGGGGCGGGUAUGAUAAAUUCCCAUGCCCGUCCCGCCCUUUUUAAUUUUUUUUUUUUUUGAAUUCAUAAUUGAAACAGUCGCCCCUCCUUUGCAUACUGCCGCAGUGCCGCCAUGAUCAGAUCUCCGACUGUUGAAUCUGGCGACAUCACAACCUGGACUGGCCCUAAACUCCUUUGAACGGUGAGAUUGAGCAGCAACUUGGUCAACUGUGGCCCUCCCUCCACCGACAGUCCAAAGACACUCCUACCUGAGAGUAGGUCCGGCAAGGUCUUUGGACGGCGAAGCUCAGCCUGCGGGGCCAUAGUCAUCGGAAUACUGGAGUGGAACGACGACGAUCUCUGGGCCAGCUUCCCCUUCAGGUUCUUUUCUUCGUGUCCUCUCCGGUGAGUCUUGGAAGUAGACAUGAUGAUAAUAGUAGAAUUCUAAAAGGGCGGGAAGGAAAUUUCAAUGAACAGAUUAUCUCAAUCGGCGAUAAUGGAAGAAUCUGAGGUGAGGGAAGCCAAGAAAUGGAGAAGAGCUAAUGCUCUUUGAUUUCCGGCGACAGGAAGCUACCAUACCCAGAACAGUGGAAGAGUGAAUAAAAGAAACAUUAAUUGGGGUGGGGCGGGGUGGGGCAAUACCCGAACUCGCCCCGGGUUUUUUAAACAAUUCCCAAACCCGUCCCAAACCCAUUUAUUAAAAUUUAACCCCGUCCCAUUAGGGGCGGGGCGGGUACCCGAAAAAACCCGCCCCAUUGCCAUCCCUAAUUUUUACGCGUAUUGAAAAACUUUUGCUAUAAUAAUAUUUUAUUUUAGGAUAAAUGGUUUUUUUAUUUUUAAGAAAUAUAAUAUGUGAAUAUUGUUAUAAUGAAAAGUUAUAUUAUUUUGUUUUAUUUUUGUGUUAUAAUUCAUAAAAUAAUUUGUAUAAUUGAUUAAGAUUUAAAAUAUUAAAAUUAUUAAUAUAUUCUUGUAUUACCUUUAUCAUAUAUGAAUUGGGUAUAAAUUUUAACCAAUCUAAUUUGAAAACACAUUUAAUAAAUAAAUGUACAUUUUAAUAUUUAAUCUUAAAAAGUAUAUCAAAUGUAUUUCACUAUUAUUAAUAAAAUCAAAACCUUCAAAAACAUUUUGAUUUAUAAAGAAAGUGAAAGAAAAUGAAUGUGAAUAAGAAAUUAACAAUGAAUAAGAAGAUACGAAAGAAAUUAUAUAUAAACAAGAAUGAAUGUCUUCAUUGAUUAAUCACUAAUGUCAAAAAAAUGAAAAUAUAAGUGAAUUUUGUCAGCUACAAUAAAAUUAAAAUUUAAUCAUGCAUAUAAUUAGUGACUUUUAUAAAAUUUUAAUAAAAGGAAUAAAAAACAAGCCUAAAAUCAACUCAUCAAUAAAAGUCUAAAUUAAAUAAUAUAAUUGUUAAUAUCCUCCAAUAUCUCAUUUAACAUUGCAAGCUAAGCUAAACAUCUAUUUUAAUAGUGGAUGAUAAAGUGGAUAGGUUCUCCAUAAAAAAAUGUUCAUGUAGUAGUCAUUAUUAAGUAUAUCAUGAAAAAAACACCAACUAAGUAUCAUGACUUCAAUAUUUUUCAGGAAUGUCAUGAAAAUCAAAUUCAUUGAUUGAAAAAAAACAAAAGAAAAAAAAAUUAAAUUGUUUUUGUCACUACAAAAGAAAGAAAGUCUUAAUCUUAAACCUUCCUAGUUUUUCGAUACAAUUUGAUUUUCAAUUUUAUUGGAGUAAACAUUGGGGAAUUAACGAUACCAAGUUGGGAUAUGAUUUUUUAAGAUGAAAAGUAAAUAAAAAUUCAAUCUCAAUCCUUAACCAUUCAUAUAAUAAAUUGAAUAAAAGGGUGAUAGUCAUUAUAAUAAACAUAUUAAUUAUUAAAUUCUCCAAACUUAAGAUUAAAUUUCCUAGCUUUCACAAUCAAAGAAAUUUGAUUGAUUAUUUGUGAAAUUUUGGUGCCUAAAUUUAUUAUGAACUGCCUUCAAAUAUCAAAGGAAUAUAUUUUCUAAAAUUCCAUCCCACACCUUCCCAUCCUUUUCAAUACUUUUUAAUUGUGUUUAUUUUCUAAGUGGGACCAACUUCAUAAAAUACUCAAUCCCAAAACAUAAGUAAGGUGAAACAUAUUACAUAAUGGUUUCUUUUUUUAUUUGGAUAAAAAACAUACUUCAUUCAUUUUUUUUUUCCCAUGUUAUAGCAAGUACUUUUUGAAAAAUUAGUUCAAAGUUAUAAAAAUAUUAAUAAUGAUAUGGAGGAUGUUUUUUCAAAUGUGGUGAUUAUCUUAUCUAUACACAAAUAUUUCUUGCCAUUUGUUAAUAAUUUAUAUGUUAAAUAAGUUUAAUUAUAAUGAGGAAUAAAACAACUAAAAAUUAAGCCUAACUGAAACUCUAAAAUGUAUAAAUAGGCUGCCAAAAUUAAUGUUUUUUUAUAUGGGUUAUUUGGACACAUGAGUCAUAAUAACUAUCAAAUUGUAAAAAUAACCUUCCCUUUUAAUUUUAUUAAGAAAUGAUCCUCUUUGGACAUUUUUACUCCUCUAUAUUUUGUUUAUCUUCAAAAACAAUGUAUAAUAUAUAUAUAUAUAGAGAGAGAGAGAGAGAGAGAGAUGCGCAUUUGGAAUGUGUCUUCUUUCUUCUUCUUGGAGAGCAUGCACUACAUGCACACACACACUUGGACUGAAGCUUUGAGAGAAAAGGGAAAAACUCAUUGAACCCUAAUUCUCAUACCAUCACGGACCUGGAGCAGCUUCUUGGAUAUCAGUGGAGGAAGAAAUAACUUUCUAUGGCAUAAACAAAGGUAACCGGUUCAUUUUUUGCCGUUCAAUGCAUGUUUAAAUGUUUACAUGUGAUCCUAUGCAAUUUCAAUUCUCUUCACUUACUUAUUUUAUUUAUUUUAUGUUAUAACACUUUUAUCUAUUUAAUUUAUUUUUUCCCCAUUCUGUAAUUAUUUUAUCUCUCAAACGAUUCGUUAUCAUUUUCAUUUGAGAUAUUUAUAUAGAUUAAAAUUUACUUAUUACAAAAUUAAAAAAGAUUAAUUUCUUAUUAAAAUGUUCACUUUAAUUGUACUUAGGUUUGGUUCACAGAAACUUAAUUAAGUUCCUACUCAUAAUGGUAUCUUAAAUAUACCAUGGUUAAGUUUCCUUUACAAAUAAUUUAAUUUGGACUAAAUUUCCAUUUUUUGUUAACUUGAAUUAUACUGUUAUUAAUUUUAUUUAAAAAUUUUGCCUUAUUUGCAAUUUUCGUUUUAUUUACAAAAAGCUUGAUGAACUCAACAUCUUCAUAUUUUAAAAUUUUAGAUGAAACUAAAAAAAGACACAACAGAUUAACUGAAAAAUAAAAAUAAAAUAAAGAAUAAAAAAUAUAAACCAACAAAAUGGCAAAAAAAACCUUUACCAAAAUUGCACGCAAAAAACCUAAUCCAAAAACCAAAUAAAAUAAAUAAAUAAAUAAACAUCAAUCAAAAUUCCAAACCAAAAUCUCAAUAAAAAAACACCAACCAAAAUUUCAUUACAAAAAACCUUAACCAUAAUCUCAACAAAAAAAUAUAUGAAAAACCCAAAUAAAAACAUUUACAAAGUACCCAAGUAAAUUAAACUUAUAUUUUAAAAUAUAAACUAUAGUUCCGAUAAUAAUCUAGCUAUUUCUUUUUAUACAAUUACAUCAUUUUCUAAUUAGUUACCUCUUAAUGAUCAAAUAUCUCAUUUACUCUUUUUUAACUAUCAAUGCAUUGUAAAUAUUAGGCAUCUUGCCCAUUAUAAUUUUAUUCUUUCAAGCAAUGCAAAAUCCAACUAAAUUUUUUUAUGAGAAUUACUCAUUCCGGUCAUCAUUUCAAUCACAAUACAUCCUAAGAACUAUAUGUCCAUGGACCCGCAUACUCUUUUGCUUCUGACAACAUUUGAGGCGGCGAAACCCGCUAUUCUACCCUAAAGUUGUUCCUUCUCAUCCAUCGUUGUUGCCAUCCAGUCACUUAAUUUAUAUUAAAUCAUUUUGAUCAUCAUUUCAAUCACAAUACAUUCUAACAACUACAUGUCCAUGGACCCACAUACUCUUUUGCUUCUGACAACAUUUGAGGCGGCGAAACUCGCUAUUCUACCCUAAGUUGUUCCUUCUCAUUGAUCGUUGUAGCCAUCCAGUCACUUCAUUUAUAUUAAAUAAUAUGAAGGUUAAUAUCCUCCAAUAUCUCAUUGACAAUCACACAUGAGGUGAACCCUCUCAUGAUGGAAUUUUUUUUAAGUCAUUGAAAUGUAUGUUGAUUGGUAGGCAUCCAUUCUAGUACUUGAUAUAAAAGCCAAUAGCAUCUAUAUCACAUGAAGGUGAUGAAAUGUCAUGCUUCAUGAGCAUGAUUGUGAGCCUCAUUGGUAUUUGGUGUGUCAUGGAAAUAGAAUCAAACAAUGACCGCAACUUUUUAUUUUUUGAAUUUGUAAAAUACAAAAAAAAAAAACUUUUAUAAAUAUUAUUCAUUUUUUAGUAUAACUUCAUUUUCAAUUAAAUUGGAAAAUUUAUAAUAUACAAUAAAAAAAAUUUGUAAAUAUUAUUCAUUUUCAGUUAAAUUGGAGCAAGUAAUAGAAUAAUAGUUACAUAAAUUCAAUAAAUCCAUACCAUUUUUUAAUAUAAAAAUAAAAGUGAAAAAUCAAACGGAUCAUUAACCAUCCAUACUAAAAGAUGAUAAGGCAUCAUCAAGUUCUUUAUUAAACAAUACAUUAACGAUCAUAGCACUAUAGGAAUUUAUUGCUAUGCUGUGUUUAUUUCCAUAAAAUUUGAGAGAAUUAUAGUAGAUAGAAAUGAAAAUUUUAAAAUAAAAAUAGAUUUGAAGUUAAUAAAUUAUUUUUAUAUAUUACUUUAAUUUUUUAAUUUAUUUUAAUUUUUUAUAUAAAAAUAAAAUAAUUUUAAAAUAUAUAAAUUUCAAAUUAACUUCUUAAAAAUUAUAUUUGCAUAUAUUAAAUUUCUCAUUACAUUUGCUUUGUUUACACCUCCACUUUAUAACACAAUUUUAUUAAUAUAUCCACCUACAAAUUUGAAAUAUAUCUAAAAGAUUCUCCAUAUUCUUCUCUUCCACAUUCAUCUUUUUUUCUUUUUCUUUUUUAACUUUUUUUCUUCUGAAUAAUAAACCUACAAAAAAAUCUUUUAGGACUUAUUCUUUAUAUAAAAUAAUUUUAAAACAAUUAAAAAAAAAUUAGAAAUGACUUACAAGUAAGAAAUCGUAAAAAAGUGUUGAAAAAAAAGUAAAAAUAAAUAAAUAAAAACCCAUUCCAUAGUAUACAAACCUAAAAGGCCGAAUUUGUGCAAAUGUCAUCAUACAUUGAAGAGAGAGUCAAAUGUACAUUUUUCCUUAAGAGUAAUUUGGUUAUUUGGACAUUUUUAUCCUAAUCUAUAUCAAUCUUUUUUUUCUUUUUCUUUUUUAUAAACAUAGUUUUAAAUUUAAGUACGAAUAAAUUAACUUUUAGACUUAAUAUUUAAAGUUAUUUUUAAUUUUAAGUUAUAAUAUUAAGUUAUUUUAAUAAAUAUAUUUAAUCUAUUUAAUAAUUUAAAUUAAGUUAUUAAAUCACUUUAAAUCAUUAAGUUGAUUUACUAAACACUCUCUUUCAAUUUUUUUUUUUUAAAAUUUUUCUUUUUUCAUCGCAUUGUUGAUGAUGACACCAAAUAUUCAUAAUAUUGUUAUUAAAUAUGAAAUUUUGUACCACUAUGGUAACUUAUGGAUGAUCAUCCAUAAACAUCUUUUGUAACUCCCUAUAAAAGGAUAACCCCUAAUAAAAUUGAAUAGAGUUUUCCUAUUGUAGACCCCCCCGAGGAGCUAGAGAUUUUUAUUAUUUUUCUUGGUUGUUUUUCGGAGGGACCUCCCAAGUAGGCUGCUCUGGGGGCAGCUAGAGAGGAUAGGGGGCUGCUUUGGGCGGCCGUGGGAUGUGAUUGGGCUAGCUGGUGAUGGCGGCGAGAGGGGACAGAAGAAAGAGAGAAGAGAGACUUGCCAAGGAAGAGGAAAAAACAGGGCUAGGGGAGGAGAGGGCGUCUGGGAGGAAGGCGGCGAGACGGAGCUUCUCUGGAAAACUCAGGUAUGGCCAUAUUGGAUGCUUUGGCUUUCAGAUUUCUUUUAUUUCAUUUCGUUUUCACUUUUAUUAUUCCUCCUUUGUCAUUGCUGGUCUUGAACGUCUCUUGCUGAGGAUUAGACUUUGUUGAGCUUAAGCUGGUUUCACUUGCUCUGUUUUGUUCUCCUUUUCCGUUUCUUUGUUCUCUCUUGUAAAUUAGUGAGGUAUCAGAUUGUUUUUUUUAAUUUUGAUAUUCAUCUAAUCGCAUGAAUGCUCGUUGUUCGCCCCACCCGUCGGGUGCAGUAAGAAAAUGAGUUUAGCGUGACUGUGGAACCUGCUCUGUUCCUAAGGGCCCGUCCAAAACCUCCAUGAAAACCAACUUCCAUGAAAACCUGAGACUUAUGUCUGCCGAGAACCUCCUCCAACAUAUGCUCAUCAUCAACUCUAUCCACGCACAUGGUCUCAAAUCCAAAGCUAAGCACCCUUCACGCCUUCACCACCUUAAACAUCCAUUCUUUUUUUAUGUACCCAUUUUCCUCCUUCGUUCCCUGUUUCUUCUCCUCUGGCAUCUGUGACGACAAGGCAGCACCGUUUGGCAGUAAAGACGACGAAGCCCUCCGUCGCACCCCAUGUUCUUGUCCUCCUGCCCGCGCGGUGGUUCAUGGGCAGCAGCUCCCACUCCGUUCCCCCAUUUCAUCCCCGGCGUCGUCAACGUGCAAGCCAUACUCUUCACCGCCAGCCUGCUUUGCACCCUCCAUCUGUAUUGCCCCCCAUUAAAUCUGCUCCAGCAUCUGAAAUGACCAAACGUCACAUACCUUUCAAACCCACCAAUCACACCCAUUUUCCAUACCCACUAAGCCCAUUUGCCAUGCAUGGUCAUGCAUGGCCGCGUGACGCCCGCCACACCCAUUUCUUGCUCAGCAUACCCAUUUUCUCUCUCUAAACUUAUUCACACCCAUCUCCUGCACCCAGCAGCCGCAAACCACCCAUUUUCCAUCUCAACCCGUUCAGCUGUUCUGUGAUUGAUGGACCUCAUGGUGACAUGGGUCUCACGACUCUUAAAAAAAUAGGUUUUCGUUGAAGAAACUCUGGUAUUUGGAGGACGCCCAGCCCACGGGCAAGUACCUGCUGAAGCCUUUUUGUUUCCCAGUGGCAUUGUUUAAACAAAUUGGUGGAUAAAAGUCAAAGACAUGAGUUUUUUAUAUUAUUUUUUUAUUCUCCAUUAUUAGUGGCAUGGUUCCAGCAGGCUUCAAGGUGGUUUAUUAUUAUUUUUUCUCUUUUCUCCCACGUGCCAUCAUUUUGGUUUUUUUUUUAUCUUUUAUCAUUUUUUUUUUUAUUUUAUUAUUUUUAAUGUUAAAAGUUCUGUUUCUUUGAUUAUUUUAUUUAUUCUUUUAUAUAUAUAUAUAUAAUCUCCAUUAACUCUUUUAAAAUUUCCUAAAAUUUCAAAGUCCCAAAUUUGUUCACUUAUUUAUUAUUUAUUAUUUAUUUAUUUAAAAAAUGCCAUUCUCGAAAUAAUUUUCUAAAAUUCUAAUUUUAAAUUUAAUUUCCUAAUAAUCAAUUUUUUAAAUUUAAUUUUCCGAAAAUUCCUAAUCCCGAAAAUUUCCAUAAUCCCAUUAAUUUAUUUAAUCAUUAGUAUUUUAUUUGUUUAUUUUAAAACUCCAUUUUAAAUCAAUUCAUUUAAAGCUUUCGAUUUUCGAAUUAAAUUGCUAUUUCUGAAAAUUCCGAUAUUCACAUUAAUCUAUUUAAUUAUUAUUAUUUUAUUUAUUUAUUCCAAAAAUUUCAUUUUAAACAAUUCAUUUAAAAACUUUUAGAUUUUUCGAAUUAAAUUUUCAUUCCCUGAAAAAUUCCCAAAUUUCCCGAUAAUUUAAUUACUAUUAUUAUUUUAUAUUUUUACUCCAAAAUCCCUUUUAAACCAGGGCCCCACAAUACGUGAUUUUAUGAUUGAUUGAUUGAUUGAUCGAUUGGUUGAUUUAUCUGCCAUGCGUGAUUGAUUUGCUAUGUUCCAUGAUAUGUACAUAAUCAACCUGCGUUUGUCGCCCUAUUUUGUGAUAGCGCAUUGCCGUUUGCUGAACAGGUACGUAUCCACUUCCACUUUGGUUAUUCUCUAUGCAUAUUCUGAUUCUCAUAUGUGCAUGAUAGUUCCGGGUAUCCAUUGUUUCCCUCAUCAAUUGCCAUUGAUUACUUCAUUUUAUUAGUAGAGACCCGACUUUAGGGACUUAGAGGGGUGCUACGGUCUUUAUCGUACCUUCCCGAUAAGUAACUUGACCCCCGAACCCGAUCCGGUUUUUCACAGACCACAUUUUCCAAAGUAAGGAGUCACACUUAGGGUUUUUCUUUCUUAUUUUGUUUACCCUUUUAAAAAUAAAACAAAAAUAAGUGGCGACUCCAAGUCAAUUUUUCUUAAUCAAUAAAGAUCAAUUUUUCAAAAUAAAAAUCGAGCUCGCCAUCGAGUGGGAAACGCAUGAGCCGAAAUGCGGGGUCCACAAAAUGGCGACUCCGCUGGGGAAUUUUUUUAGAGGGUCAAGCUUGAACUUAGGGUGAAGUAAACGUGGCAUUUGAUUGGACGAUCAGUGGAUGCUCAUCUCUUGAUUGCACAUUGAGGAUUUCUUGAUGCAUGCUUAGAUGUCGUUUUCAUUUGAGAUUUUGACAUGCUGGAUUAUUGAUGAUUGAUCUUAUUGCAUUGCUUAGCGUAUUGAUUCUGAUUUUGGCAUGAUUGUUCUGAUCACUUCACAUGCAUACACUCACCAUUGUAUAUCACUCAGCUUGACAUGUUGAUUUUCUGACUUGUAUACUAUU